rnacentral:lncRNA from 1 species
AUGAUGUGAUGAAAUGCAAUGCAAUAUAACACCGUGUAAUGAAUUGUCUCAGAAUACCCAGUACACACUCAACCGUAUAUACAUGAUACUCCUCGGAAAUACAUCGAGAGUUCAUGACCCAUGGGGGACUCGCGAGGUCCAUAUACCGACACGGACGAUCUUCACGUGUCUGUGCGGACAAUCUCAACGCACUAUCAUAAUAUCAAACAAUUUCAACCAAACUCCAAAUCUUGAUACAUAUUGGUAUGCCAAUUUUUUUCCAUACUUGCUAAAUUUCAAGCCAAGAACUUAACUCUAACCUCUUCAAAUGGACUAAAAUUCAAUGUUAGAUCAUAUAAAAUAACACCUAAUAAUUAAUUACCAAUCCCAAUAUUAAAAACUAGCAUUUUAAUAUAUGAAUAAUACAUGAACCAAAUUUUCACCCAUUGGCAGAAGUGGAACGCCCCUCCCCUUUUCCCUGUUUUUUUUUAUUCGUUCUACAUGCCAAUUAAAGCAUCUCCCAUUGUUGGUACCUUUAAAUUCUGAGGUGUGAGUAUACCCACCCGACCUGAGCAUAACUCCGAGAAGACAACCUCUGGUUUAAAGAAAUUGAUCACUGCCUUAACUUCUUGGCAGGAUUCCGAAGAAACGUGAGCAGUGCUAACAACAUACACAUCGCGAAUGCCUCCAUUGGCAGAAGAUUGUUUUUUUUUCUUCCACAUCUCCACCAAUUCUCCCAUUAUAAAUAUAGCAUAAAAUAAUAACACAAUCCCAAACACUCCGACAAUAUAUUACUAUAUAUAGAAUUGAAAAGAAUGAAUAUCUCAUAUCUUUACCUGAACAAUGGCUAUGAUUUUUCUUCCUCUCGCUGGUCGCCUGUGGUAAGGUUUCGCCUCCCUACUUUUUGUUUUCCUGUUCUUCUAAAUAAGAAAUUAUUAACUGUGAAACUCCACUAACCUAUUAUCUAAUUAUUUAUUUAAUAAAAGUUUCAUCAAUUGUGUACUCAUAGUUAUCUAAAAGCUUAAAAAUAACCCUUUAAAUUUUCAAAAGGAGUCAAACUAGUCCUAGUUCUCAAAACGACCUAGCGGGUCGUUACAUCACCUACCACUUAAACAAAUGUUCGUCCUCGAACGUAAAAAGAAAAGAGCUAACCUGACCUCUCAAAAAGAUGAGGAUAUUUACUCCUCAUGUCUGCCUCUAUCUCCCAUGUAGCUUCCUCCACUGGACGAUGCUUCCACUGAACUUUUACCGAAGCAAUCUCUUUGGACCUUAGCUUCCGAAUUUGCCUAUCCAAAAUGGUGAUCGGCUCCUCCUCAAAAGUAAAAUUCUGAUCAAGUAACACUGAAUCCCAUUGAAUCACGUGAUCACCACCCUGAUGAUACUUCUUAAGCAUUGAAAUAUGAAAUACAGGUUGGACACCUGACAACCCAGGUGGCAAAGCCAACUGAUAUGCCACCUUACCAAUACACUCCACAACCUCGAAAGGACCAAUGUACCUUGGACUCAACUUGCCCUUCUUUCCAAAUCUCAUCACACCCUUCAUGGGUGAAACCUUAAGUAGAACCUUCUCUCCAACCAUAAACUCCAAAUCACGAACCUUCCUAUCUGCGUAACUCUUUUGCCUACUCUGAGCCAUGAGAAGUCUAUCUUGGAUCAACUUGACCUUGUCUAAGGACUCCCUCAACAAACUGUACCCCAUGGUCUAACCUCAAAUGCAUCAAAUCAGCCAAUUGGAGAUCGACAUCUCCUACCAUACAGAGCCUCAAAUGGUGCCAUCUCAAUGCUCGAGUGAUAACUAUUAAUGUAAGGAAACUCCGCUAGAGGCAUGAACUGGUCCCACUGACCACCAAAGUCAAUCACACAUGCCCGCAACAUAUCCUCAAGAACCUGAAUAGUCCGCCCAGAUUGACCAUCAGUCUGAGGGUGAAAGGCUGUACUAAGAUCCACUCGAGUGCCCAACUCUUUCUGCAUAGACCGCCAAAAAUGAGAUGUAAAUUGCGUGCCACGAUCUGAAAUAAUAGAUAUAGGAACUACAUGCAAACGAACUAUCUCUUGAAUAUAGAUCUUGGCUAACUUCUAUGAGUUAUAGGUAGUCUGAACUGGUACAAAGUGUGCAGACUUAGUCACUCGAUCCACGAUGACCCAUAUAGCAUCAAACUUACCCAAGGUACGUGGCAACCCUACCACAAAGUCCAUAGCAAUGUGCUCCCACUUCCACUCAGGUAUGGGCAUCCUCUGAGUCAUACCUCCAGGCUUUUGGUGUUCAUACUUCACUUGCUGACAAUUCAAACAUCGAGAUACAAAAUCUACUAUGUCCCUCUUCAUACGACACCACCAAUAGUGUUGCUUCAAGUCACGAUACAUCUUAGUAGCCCCCGGAUGAAUAGAGUACCUCGAACUAUGAGCCUCCUCCAUGAUCAAUCUUGUCAAAUCACCUGUACGAGGAACACAUAUACGACCCUUAAUCCUCAAAACUGCCUCACUAUCAAGAAUUGCAGCCUUGGCUUCUCCUUUUAAAACCUUAUCCCUAAUCUUACAUAAAUCACCAUCAUCAAACUGUUGAGCCCAAAUCUGCUCCAACAAGGAUGACCUAGCAGCCAUAUAAGCCAACACCUUACCAGAUUCUGAAAUAUCAAGUCUAACAAAGCUAUUGGCCAGGGAUUGGACAUCCCUAGCUGAAGGACGCUCGCCAACCUGUAACAUGGCUAGACUACCCAUACUUACUGCCUUCCGACUCAAGGCAUCUGCUACAACAUCUGCUUUACCUGGGUGAUAAAGAAUAGUCAUAUCAUAGUCUUUGAGCAACUCCAACCAUCUCCUCUGCCUCAAAUUUAGAUCCCUCUGAUUGAAUAUAUACUGUAGACUACGAUGAUCCGUGAACACCUCACAAUGCACACCAUAAAGAUAAUGCCUCCAAAUCUUUAAUGCAAACACAACAACCACCAACUCUAAAUCAUGAAUAGGGUAGUUCUUCUCAUGAACCUUUCACUGCCUCGAAGCAUAAGCUAUCACCCUUCCCUUCUGCAUCAACACACAACCAAGAACAACCCGAGAAGCAUCAGAAUAUAUGACAAAACCCUCUCCCUCCACGGGUAGGGUCAAAAUCGGUGCAGUAGUCAAUAAAGUCUUGAGCUUUUGGAAACUAACCUCACAUUCGUCAGACCACUGAAAAGUCACCUCCUUCUGUGUCAAUCUAGUUAAUGGAGAUGCAAUGGAUGAGAAACCCUCAACAAACAGUCAAUAAUAACCUGCAAGGCCCAAGAAACUCCGAAUCUCAGUAACUGAAAUAGGUCUGACCCAAUCUCUAACCACCUCAAUCUUCUUAGGAUCCACCAUGAUACCCUCCUUGGACACUACAUGUCCCAAGAAUGCUACCGAACUAAGCCAAAACUCACACUUUGAAAACUUUGCAUAAAGCUUCUUCUCCUUUAGAAUCCCAAAAACAAUCCUCAAAUGAUGCUCGUGUUCCUCCUUAGUGCGUGAGUAUAUCAAUAUAUCAUAUAUGAAGACAAUAACAAAGGAAUCUAAAUACGGUCUGAACACUCCAUUCAUCAAGUCCAUAAAAGUUGCUGGGGCAUUAGUCAAUCCGAAAGACAUCACCAAAAACUCGUAAUGACCAUAACGUGUUCGAAAAGCCGUCUUAGGGAUAUCCUCCGCCCUAACCUUCAGCCGAUGAUAGCUAGAUCUCAAGUCAAUUUUGGAGAAAACUGAAGCAUCCUGCAACUGAUCAAAUAAAUCAUCAAUACGAGGUAUCGGAUUCUUGUUUCCGAUGGUUACCUUUUUCAACUGCCGAUAGUCAAUACACAUACACAUAGAUCCAUGUUUCUUCUUCACAAAUAACACUGGAGCACCCCACGGAGAUACACUUGGUCUAAUAAAACCCUUGCUCAACAAAUCCUGCAACUACUCCUUCAACUCUUUCAAUUCAGUCAGUGCCAUACGAUAAGGAGGAAUAGAAAUAGGCCGAGUGCCUGGCUCCACAUCAAUACAAAAAUCAAUAUCACGAUCUGGUGGAAGACCAGGCAAAUCGGUCGGGAAUACCUUUGAAAAUUCACUCACCACUGGAAUAGACUCAAGCAUAGGAGUCUCAAUACUAGUAUCUCGAAUAUGGGCCAAGUAAGCCAAACAUCCUCUCUGUACCAACUGAUGAGCCUUAAGGAAUGAUAUCACACCCUUAGAAGGAUGACUAAGAGUACCUCUCCGUUCUACUAUAGGAAUUCCAAGCAUAGCUAAAGUGAUGGUCUUGGCAUGACAAUUUAAAAUUGUGUGGUAAGAAGAUAACCAAUCCAUACCAAGAAUCACAUCAAAAUCUAUCAUAUCUAAGACCUUUAAAUCUGCAUGAGUAUCACACCCCAUCAAAGUAACAGUACAUAAACAAUACACCCGAUCUACAACUACAGAAUCCCCUACAGGAGUAGAAACACAUAUCGGCAAAUCAAGAGUCUCACACAAUAUAUCCAGACUAGGAGCAAAAUAUGUGGACACAUAAGAAUAAGUAGAUCCUGGAUCAAAUAAGACAUUAGCUGAUCGAUGACAAACCGGAAUAAUACCUGUGAUAACAGCAUCUGAAGCCUCAGCCUCUGGCCUACCUGGAAAAGCAUAACAGUGAGAACGACCUCCAUCAGAUUGUGAACCUCCACGACCACCACCUCGACCAGAAGGAGAACCACCUCUACCUGAAUGAGAACCACCUCUACCAUUCUGUGCACCACCCCUAGCUGGAGGUUGUGCAGCCCUGGAAGCCGAAGCCUGAAAUCCCUGAUGUAAGCCACCACGUCUGGUCCUAGGGCAGUCUCUCACAAAGUGUCCCAUAUCACCACACUCAAAGCAACCCCUACGAGACGCAGGCUGAUGAGAGGAACCUGAAUGACCAUAAUUCCCUCCACGAACUACAGGUCUAGAAGAUGAACCCUGCGAAGUAUGUACCGAGCUUGAAGAGUUAUGCCCAGCGUAACCAGCCUCAGACGCUGGUAUAGAAGCAUGAAUGAGUCUGCUGGACUGGGGGUGAUAACCUCUGCCCAAGUAACUCCGACUCCUAGGCGGAGCACCACCAUAAUCACCUGAAUAACGAGUCCUCUUGCCCUCUUGCUGCUCAAAUCCCUCACGUCGAAUCAUCUCCAACUCCUUAGCAGCAUCUACCACUUUCUGGAAUGGAACACCAGAAGCAGCAACCUGAGAAACUCCUAGACGAAUUGGAAUAAUCUGCCCCUUAACAAACCUCCUCACUCUCUCAGCCUCUGUGGGAAGUAUCAUCUAGGCAUGCCUAGCCAAGGCAUGAAAUUUACCCUCAAACUCUGCAACAGACAUACCAUUUUGCUGUAAACCCUCAAACUCGGCCCUCUUGCGCUCCCUCUCACUACGUGGAACAAAUUUGGAUAGAAAUACCUGAGUAAAUUGAGUCCAGGAUAGUGGAUGGGAUCCAGCUGGCCUACUACUAAUAUAAUCCCUCCACCACUGCUUAGCAGAGCCAGUCAUCUGAAACGCUGUGUAGUCAACUCCAUGAGACUCCACUAAUCCAAGAUUAUGCAACCUCUCAUGACAACUAACUAUAAACUCAUAUGCAUCCUCACCUAAGUCACCAGUAUAAGUAGGAGGAUUCAUUAGUAUGAACCUCCCAAACAUCUUUUGCUCAUCAAUAGUCAUAGAAGGCCUGUUCACCAAAUGUGAUGUCAUAUCUGGAAACUCCAUACUAUCCAAACGAGAAGCUACAGCGGCAGCUGGCUGAGUCCUGGGAGUCUGAGAAUCUGGAGCAACUAUCGAAUCUAGAGUUUAACCUCUAACACGGGUCUGUGAGCCAUCAGAAGUGACAGGCAAAGCUCCUGCCUGGGCCAUCCCCUCUAAGAUUCCUAACAUACGAGUCAAGGUAUCUUGAAGCAUUGGGAGAACAAUAGUACUGGUUGGAGCCUGAGCUGGCACAUCCCCCUCGACACGAUCUUGCACAUCCCCAUGAAUAAUCUCUGCAUCAGGAGGUACGGUCCUAUCACAACCCUGGGUAGCUACUGGUACUUGAACAUCCAUAGGUGUUGCAACACGGCCCCUACCCCGACCUCGAGCUCGUCUCCUACCUCUACCUCGGAUAGUGUUCCAAGAAGCAGGCGCAGGAAUAGGAUCCUGACCACCACUUGCCGAUGUACGAUUCCUCGCCAUCUGAGAGAGAAUGAAAUAUCAAGAUUAGAAUUUCUACAAGGUCAAGUGUGCACGAUAAUAAAUAAAAGAACAGAUUAUAUCCUAAAUGUCCUAUAGCCUCUCGAAGAUAGGUAUAGACGUCUUCAUACCGAUCCGCAAGACUAUACUAGACAUUGCUCUUGUACUCUUGAGACCAAUGAACCUAGGGCUCUGAUACCAAGUUUGUCACGACCCAAAAUCACGAGUCGUGAUGGCACCUAUGUUCCCAACCAAUAGGUAAGCCAACCAACAUAUUUUAACAAACUUAACUAGUGAAUAAGUGAAAAGACAACAAAUUUCCAAAUCUCCAACACAGAGUUCUUUAUAAGUACGAAUGCGGAAAACUGAAAAAAAAAAUACUGCCCAACAAUUGGUGUCAUAAGUACAAGAGAUUCUAGAAUACGAUGCAAGUGUGAAACUAAAAUGACAAAUCUAACUUAAGGGAUAUCCUGUCUGAAUACUGAAUAACAGAAUACGUAAAGACAGAGGGAGGUGUGGGCCACGGAACAGCCAAGCAGCUCACCACAACUCCAAGAACUUCAAGCCGGAAUCAAUUUGCUCCACGAGAUGUGCUCCUACUCGGAAUCGAAUCUGCACCACAAGGAGUGCAACAAGCGUAGUAUGAGUACGAACCACGUGUACCCAGUAUGUCUCAUUGACCGACAACGAAGAAGUAGUGACGGAAGUUUAUACAAAAAAAAAUAGAUUUGUAAAUUAUAUAAGUAUAUAUAUAUAUAUAUAUAUUACACUUACUAUUUAGGUUCCAUCAAUAAAGGUAAUCAAACAUCAAGUAUUUUCCAAACACCAAACAAAACACAUAAUCAUCAAAAUAAAUGAUGUGAUGAAAUGCAAUGCAAUAUAACACCGUGUAAUGAAUUGUCUCAGAAUACCCAGUACACACUCAACCGUAUAUACAUUAUACUCCUCUGAAAUACAUCGAGAGUUCAUGACCCAUGGGGGACUCGCGAGGUCCAUAUACCGACACGGACGAUCUCCACGUGUCUGUGCGGACAAUCUCAAAGCACUAUCAUAAUAUCAAACAAUUUCCGCACGGACGGUUUCCACGUGCCCAAAUUAAAAUCUUAACAUCUCACCAUCCCCAGCACGGACGAUCUCCACGUGCCCAACUUAUACUCAAUCUCAUGUCAAUGCAUGUAUACAAUAUCAUUUCAAUAUAAGGGGAUAAUGAUGCAUCUCACUCAAUCAAUAUCAACAUAAUGCAUAACCACCUCAAUUAUCACAACUAUACGGGUGUAAUAAAGAAAACACAAUCACACAAACAUUUCAAGUCAAUAAUAUAUCAGCUAAUGCCCAUAUGCUUUGGCAUUCUCAAAUUACAAUCCACAUUCUAUAGUAGUAAUUUAUCUUUUUAUAACACCGGUACUCGUACCAAUGCCCGUCACACCAUUGAUACGAGACCCCAUCUUUCGCCCUUACCCCUUUGUCUAUUUUCAUUUUUUAAUCUUUAAUUAGAAAAACGUCCUUCAACAAGUCUAAAAAGUCUUAACAUACCUCAGAUGCCGAAGUUGUGCCACGAAUCUUUUAAGAUUUUUCCUUUCCUUUUCGCAAGGUUUCAGAACGUUCCCAAUCUACCAAUUUUGUAAUAUUCGUAAGUAAGCAAUUUUUUGUAGACAUUCAAAUUAUUAUAUCUCUAUCAUAGACACUAAAACUCACUCAUAUUUUCAACCAAACUCCAAAUCUUGAUACAUAUUGGUAUGCCAAUUUUUUUUUUCAUACUUGCUAAAUUUCAAGCCAAGAACUUAACUCUAACCUCUUCAAAUGGACUAAAAUUCAAUGUUAGAUCAUAUAAAAUAACACCUAAUAAUUAAUUAACAAUCCCAAUAUUAAAAACUAGCAUUUUAAUAUAUGAAUAAUACAUAAACUAAAUUUCCACCCAUUGGCAGAAGUGGAACGCCCCUCCCCUUUUCUCGUUUUUUUCUAUUCGUUCUGCAUGCCAAUUAAAGCAUCUCCCAUUGUUGGUACCUUUAAAUUCUGAGGUGUUAGUAUACCCACCCGACCUGAGCAUAACUCCAAGAAGACAACCUCUGGUUUCAAGAAACGGAUCACUGCCUUAACUUCUUGGCAGGAUUCCGAAGAAACGUGAGCAGUGCAAACAACAUACACAUCGCGAAUGCCUCCAUUGGCAGAAGAUUGUUUUUUUUUCUUCCACAUCUCCACCAAUUCUCCCAUUAUCAAUAUAGCAUAAAAUAAUAACACACUCCCAAAUACUCCGACAAUAUAUUACUAUAUAUAGAAUUGAAAAGAACGAAUAUCUCAUAUCUUUACCUGAACAAUGGCUAUGAUUUUUCUCCCUCUCCCUGGUCGCCUGUGGUAAGGUUUCGCCUCCCUACUUUUCGUUUUCCUUUUCUUUUAAAUAAGAAAUUUUUAACCGUGAAACUCCACUAACCUAUUAUCUAAUUAUUUAUUUAAUAAAAGUUUCAUCAAUUGGGUACUCAUAGUUAUCUAAAAGCUUAAAAAUAACCCUUUAAAUUUUCAAAAGGAGUCAAACUAGUCCUAGUUCUCAAUACGACCUAGCGGGUCGUUACAUCUUGCUCUCCUCCCUCGCCUCUAUCGCUUAUACAAAAAGAAAUGAAUUGUAUAAAUUGUGUUUUUGUUUGUAUAAAGCAAGAGAAAAUUGUAUAUAAAUAUGUAAAUACAUAUAUCUUCGUCUUGUAUACUUAUAAUUAUACAAUAAAAAUACUUCUCUGUCCAGUGUAUUUUGCAUUUCUCUCUUUCUCGUUUUAUACAUAUUCAAAUGGCAUAGAAUUUUUAUCGUUCUUAUUUUAUACAAUUUGAUUCAAUUUUAUAUUCCCUGCCCAAACCUCUUUUACCAUUCUCUCUUUCUCAUUUGUACAAAUUCAAAUUGUAUAUAAUCGUCCUAUAUAAAUAUAAUUACACAAUACAAAAUUUUUCCUGCCUAUGUCUCUUUUUAUUUUCUCUUAUAUAUAUAUAUAUAUUUAUAUAUUAAAAAUGAUCAGAACUCGCUUCUUAACUUAGACAAAUUUUCCAGAUUUUUCCUUUCUUUCCAAAAAUGAAUAUUUUUAAUGUUUUAGUUUACUCUUUGCUAUUUCAAAUUGUAAGAUGUUAUACAACUCAACAAAAAUACUAUAACAAUUACAUAUUCUCAAUAACAAGCUCAAUAUUCAUCAAUCAAAGUUUCACAGAAAGGCACUCACAAGAUCAGUAAAACUAAAUAUCAAUUUCUCUAAUGAUAAAUAUGUGCAAUGUAAUGGAAUGCAAUAUCAAAUUUAGUGAUGCAUGUCUCACCUAGUGAUACACACCCGUUGUCUCUCAUUCUGGGACCCAUGAGGGAUAUAUCUGUACAUGCAUAUAUCGUGGCACGCGAUACGAUCCUCGAUAAUAGUAAUCACCGCAGCGCAUUAUAGGUCCUUUGAAAUGUAGUAUCCAUCACAUCUCGUGAUACAUCCCUCAAAAUGGUAAAACCUCUUUAAUUUCUUAUUCUUUAUCAAUUCACAUUACAUUUAUCACAACCAUGUCCUUGAACAAUGCAAAUGACAAGUUCACACAAAUAAUGAGGAGAUGACCAUGUUCAUAACGUUGCAAAAUUCACAACAACACAAUCAUGAUACAACAUAAAGAAUGAUUCAACAAGCCUUUCAAGCUUUUCUCAACACAUCGCACACAAUUAAUUAAUCACAUUGUUUUUUACUAUCCAUUUUUCAUCAUUAGAAUUAAUCAAUGAGGACAAGUCAACCCAUCACCAAGUUUCAUUAUCCCCGAACACAUAUUAUAAGGAAAUACCCGAGUCCUAUUCACUUAACAAGGGUUUAGAAAUUCACCUGCCUCAAUCAUUCAAUCCACUCCGAGACUUGAGUCUUCCCCUUUCGUUGAAUUUCCAACUCAAAACAAUCUAUUCAAAUAAAUGACCACAAUAAGAUUUAAAACUAACAACAUCAUAUUACUGUAUGUCUAGUUUUGAAUGAAGAACUUAUCCAAUCUAAAAUUACUUUCUUUAGUCUUGAUGCUAAUUAACAUGUCAACUCUUUCAAUUUUUCUUCAGUUUUCAAGUCUAGGGUUAUGUACUAGUUUCUCUGGAAAUAACACAAGUCUAAAGUUAUUCACAAAGUAUAAUACAUUUAAUAUUUAAUUAUCUAUCUCAAUAUAUCAAAACUUGAAUUACAUGCGAUAAUUAUAAGAAGGAAUUGAAGAUUCACUAGAAAUCCAAAUUCAUGAACAUAGCAUUUUAAUUCACGGGAAAACCAACAAUAAAAUAUCCAAUUAUUGUCCUAUGACUAUCCUAAAAUCAGUAGGUCAUUAUUAACCAUAUUUUCACCCAUCCAUAUAUAAUAAAAUACAUUCUAACCACGUAUUGCAAAACACAUGCAUUUUUUUCUUUACAUUAUUUCCAUCAACACAUAAAUAUAAUAUAAUAUUAUCACCUGACCAUAAACUAAAUCAUUAAUUUUACAUACAAAGUUUAAUUCAUACCUGCACUGGCGGUAGUUUCAUUGGUUAGCGAUGCCGCCAGUUUCCUUGCUUUUAUUUCCUCUUAAAGUUGGGAUCUAAAAUUGUUAACCCCUAUUAUUUAUAUUAAUAAAUAUGGGUCAAGUGGUAUAGGAUUUUAAAUGAAUUUCAGACUUUAUCCAUUAUUAUCAACUAAAUAAAUCUAUAUCAUUUAAGAAAUUGUAGUUAUCAAAUACUUUAAAAUUCUUAAAUCAACAUCACCAACUAAUAUAAAAUACGAAAAAGGCUCAAAAAUAUCCCUAAACUAUUCGAAAUAGCUCAAAGUUACCAUUAAACUAUAUUUCGGUUCAUAACUACCUUUUCCAUCAUACUAUUGAGUCAAAAGUGUCCUUUUUAUUAACGGAAGCUGUUAAAUACCAUGUGGAUGUCAUAUGGAUACCACAUUGCAUGCAAAUAGGGUUCAAAUUCCACAUAAACUAAACAGAAAAGGGUCAAAAAUACCCUUAAACUAUCUGAAAUAGCUCAAAUAUACCCUUAAAGUAUAUUUCGGCUCAAGAUUACCCUUCCUAUCAAACUAUUGGGUCAAAAGUACUCUUAUUACUAACGGAAGUUGUUAAAUUUCAUGUGGAUUCCACAUUGCUUGCCAAUAAGGUUCAACUGCCAUAUAGACUAAAUCCCUAAAUCCUAAUUACUCCCCCCCCCUCUCAUUUCAUUAUUUUUCCGAAAUGAUUCACCCAUUCUCCAUUAUUUCGCGGCUAGGGUUUCACAAUUUUCUCGUGGCUGGGUUUCAAAGUGGAUAUUCAUGGUUGUAGGUUAGUAAAUCUUUUUUCUUACGUUAUUAUGUUUACGAUUUCAAAGCAUGAUAGUCAGGAUUUCACAUGUUUUCCCUUAUUUCACGGCUAGGGUUUCGUAGCGCUUUCUUCGAGGCUGAAUUUCAAAGUGGAUAUUCAUGGUAGUUGGUUAGUAAAUAUUUUUUUCUUAUUUUAUUAUGUUUACGAUUUCAAAGUAUGAUAGUUAGUAUUUCACAACUUUUCCCUCAUUUCGAGGCUAAUGUUUCAUAACUUUUUUCGGAGUUGGGUUUCAAAGUGGAUUUUCGUGGUUGUAAGCACAAUAAAAGAAGAAAAAAGUUUUACUAACAUACAACCACAAAUAUCUACUUAUAAACCCAGUGACGAAGAAAACUAUGAAACCUUAGUCGCAAAAUGAAGGAGAAGGGGUGAAAUCGUUUAUGCAAAAUAAGGAAAUGAGGGGAAAACGAGUAAUUAAGAUUUAGAGAUUUAGUCAAUGUGGAAGUGGAACCCUAUUGGCGUUCAAUGUGGAAUCCAUGUGGCAUUUAACAACUCUCAUAAGAACGUCACUUUUGAUCCAAUAGUUUGAGGGAAAGGGUAAUUCUUAGCCGAAAUAUCGUUUAAGUGUAUAUAUGACCUAUUUCAGAUAGUAUAAGGGUAAUUUUAACCCUUUUCCUUUUUGCCUAUGUGGUAGUGGAACUCUAUUAGCGUGCCAUGUGACAUCUAUAUGGCGUCCACAUAAUUCCGUUAAUAAGAAGGGCACUUUUGAUCCAAUAGUUUGACGGGAGGGCAGUUUUGAGUCGAAAUAUAGUUUAAGGGUAUAUAUGAACUAUUUCAGAUAGUUUAAGGGUAUUUUAACCCUUUUCCGUAUAAAAUAACUAGGGGAAACUAUUGUGAGGGGUAGAAUCGUAAUUCUAUGAAAAUUUCUAAAAUAUGACCUUUUCAGGUCAUUACAUUAUCCACCACUAAAGAUCAUGUUCGUUCUCGAACAUAAGUAAGAGAAAAGAAAGGAUAAUCGAUGUUAACAAAAAGUUGAGUUAUGACCUAUUAGUCAGUGUACAUCUCUCUAAGUGAGUUCUUCAUCGAGACAAUUCCUUCAAGAUCAACAUCUAAUAACUGCACUUUUGAAUCAAGCUUUGACAGACCUACAAAUCAGGAGCUAUUACCAAACCAGACACUAACACAUGAAUUUAUUAUGAUUAAAACCCCUAGACCAUAACACAACCAUCAAGACAAAUCUUUCCUCACAUAACCAAUAUGACAUUCUGAAUUAAUACCGGCUACAACAAGAAGUAAUCUUGAACUAACCACCACAUACUCAUAAUGCAUAAACCAUCGGAUAUCUUAUCAAGUUUCCUUUUUCACAACUUAACUUUUCCGCAAGCUUAAGCUAUAAAAAUAUGAUCUUCGGAUAUUGGGUACUCAUCAAGGGAGAAUUAAACUUAUCUUACCCAAGAAAGAACAAGAUCAAGUAACCACCCAACAAGAGGUUCACCCAAGAUGCAGAACCUUCAACAACAUUGUUGAAUAACAUAAUGAUUCAUACAAGCUCUUCUAUAAGUUCUCAUAAGCAAGGUCGUGUGUAUUACUACUACUAGACAUGUACACGUGCGUUGCACGUGUAAGCCAUGCUAAGUUAUAAUUUCCUUUCUCGAGAUACAUUUAUGACCUUUAUAUAUAUACUUGUAUAUAUAUUAUAUUGCUUUUACCAAUGCGUAGACAUCAACGUUAAUGUGACAAUUGUAUCUUGUAAGAUAAAAUACGGGCAACAUAUUAUGUAAUGAAUAUAAUAAAAUAUUAAAAUAGAGUUACUUCUUCAUCGACGAAUAUCACUUGCCAACGAAUAUCCUCAUAUUUGCAUUUUUAUACUAUCUUGUUAAGCUCCGUAGAAUGACUAAUACUUUAAUCACCCAUGAUGUUGCAUAUUUCUUCAACUGGCUAAUAGGUAGGCAUUGAUUCUCGAGCUAUUCCACAGUUAUCAUUGUAAGGUUGUAGUAGUUAGGAUGUACUAAUACAUUACAGAUUUGUGUCGUAAAUGUUAAUUUUUUUGUGUCUAAUUAGUGUUCUUUUGGUCGAACAAUAAAGAUACUGAAGAAUAUAAUAUUCACUAGAUAUGCUAAUUCUUCUUUUUUAUUUUAACUUUUAAAAGCAAGCAACUUCAACUAAUAAUAGUAUAAAUAUCACGUUAAUUGAAGAAAAUAUAUUCAAGUUGGAUAAACAUUACCAAUUUUGAUGGUGUUGAAAGGAAGAAACCUAUUAAAAGUACUACAACGCUAAGAGAUAGUAAAUGUACUGAAAAAAUGAACUAGAUUCUCUAAAUCAUUUCACUUUUCUUUUCUUUCUAAUCAAGAUUUUUUUUUUUCAUUCACAUUUUUGUGCUUUGUAUUUUUUUUGGUAGAACCCAUAUGAGAAAAAAUAAAAAAGAAUGAAGAAAGGUGUGUUUGAGUUUUAUAGUGCGUGUAAAUUCACCACUUUUGUGUUGAUUUUUAGUUGUCUUUGGUUUAUUUUCAGAUCUGUUAGCUAUAAAAAUCUCAUCUUGUCUCAUUUCAAGAUUACCCUUUUUGUUCAUUAGCUUGGAGUUAUGAGUAAAGAAGAUUUCUGGAAGAUCCAGGUACUUGUUAUUUCCUCAAUUGGGUCAUUCCAUUAAUGUGUGUGUAUAGAAUUGUUUUUUGGGGGUUGCUUGAGUUUCCAUUUUAUGAAUUGAUUAGUAUCUGUUUGAAUGAAAGAUCAAAAUGUGUUAUGAGUUUAUUCACUUUUGUAUGUUUUUUGUCUUGUACAGUUUGACUAGGUUUGCUUGUGCAUGCAGACUCGUGUCCUUAAAUUAAAUAUACAUUGUGAUGGGUGUAAGCAUUAAGUAAAGAAAAUUCUUCAAAAGAUUGAAGAUAUUUUUCCAAGACUCAAUUUUUUAUUAUCUAAAUAUCCAAAUAUAAUUUAAUAUAUGACUUUUUUUAUUCUUUGUUGGGGUUGUUUUAAAAUGAUUUUAAUAUCCAGGGGUUUAUAAGACAAGCAUGCCUGUCCUAAAUUGACUAACAUGAUAUCCACAAAUGCUUAGAUAUCAAAGCUCCUGAAAAACAGCUAUCACGGAGACAAGUUCUUCUACUGAACUGUAUAUAGUCAAAAAUCAUUAGAGAUUUAAAACAUAAGACAUUUACCAUCAAAACUAAAAAUCGGAGAAGCAUUUCACAACUACCAUCAAUACUUUAAUUGAGGUGAUCCUAAUUUCAAGAAUCUAACGGCGUAAAUAUAUUUUCAAUUAGCUUUAAAAUAGAGUAAAAACAAAGAGUCAAGGUGAGGAGAGUACAUUAACCUUAAGAAAACAACCUCACAUAUUCUCCUCUCCAGCAAAGUAAAGCACCUGCAGCGUGAAAAAAACCCAGAAAAAGAACAUAAAACUUCACUUUCACUAAAACAACAAAACUACAACAGUGCAAAUAUAAUGAUAAUACACAGAAGAAUUCGUUGUAUGAUUGACCAAGACACUUUUUUUUGAAUGGUGAAUAAAACUAAAAAAUAAAAUUGCAAAUCAAUGAUUGAUAUUGUAGCCUGCAAAAUACAUAUUAAUAUCUACUUUGGAGUCAAGAGCAAAACUGCCAAAUAAGAAGGAGGGCAUUCCUCAGCAGAUUUUGACCCUUAAAUUUAAGAUAUUUGAUAAACAAGUUAGUUUAUUGAAUGCAAGAGCAAGGCAACACAUGAGAAUGAAUACAAAUAUUUCUACGUUCCCAUAAGAAGAUGCAACAACAUGUUGGAAUAUCAAUAUAGCAAACUGUUGCUGUUACACUUGCUUCCACAUCUCUAAAAUCAUUUUGCAGAAUUUAAUAUUUAAUACAACUGUUACACUGAUCGAGGGAGGUAGAGGAAAACCUUUACGUUUUUAUCAAAUUUAAUUACGGUCAAUUUUUUUCAAUAAAUUAAUAUUUAACUAAUAAAAUAAAUACUUAACUAAUAAAUUAAUAAGUAACUAAUACUAUAGGGUCAAAACGGUACAUUAACUUUUAUAUUAAGUUCUUCCCACUUAUAAUAAUAUAUGAUAAAAAAAAUACCAAAUCUGUCAUAAUACAAAUGAAAAAGUCCGCCCAAAAAUCAUACCAUAUCAAUAGGAAAUAAGAGAAUUAGUGUUACAACCGGGAAUAUUUUUGAGCUAAUACUUGAAUUGUUAUUCUUAGUGAGUGAUAUUUUACCAAAUAAAAAUUUUUUUAUCAAGUAUUAAGGUCACUAGAUGUAGCACCUUUAGUUCUUAAAGAACUAACUUGGAAAUAGAAAAUUUUGAAAUUCUUGAGGUUUAAGCUAAGUAUGAGUUUUUGGUCUACUUCAAAUGACCAUAACUCCUACCACAAGAUGAUUUAGCUGUGCUAAAAUAUAACAUGGGAAAUAUCUUUGGAUUAUCUUUCCAAUGCCACCAAUAUUUCUAAGUUUCGGGUUCAGAUGAGUGAGAUAUAACCUUUUGAAGUUAGGGUGUUUAGUUAAGGAAAAUUAGAUGAAUACAGUGACAGGUAUUUUGGUAUUUUUCUUACCCAAUCAGAUAUAAUUCAUUUUAAGGAAGGUUAUAAGGGUCGAAUACUAUUAGGUUCAAUUUUAUAAUCCUAAUAUACACCUAGGUUUUAGUUGAGAGUUCAAGAAGAGAAAGAAGAGAAAAGAGGAUAAAAGAGAAGAAAGAGGAUAGGUCAAGUAUUCGUCGCGAGUCUAGUGUUAUGUUGUAGAUUUUCAUCAUGACUUUAAUCCCUAAGAGGUAUGUAAGCUUCCAUGGUGUUGGGUUUGUUCACCCAUACGCCAAACAUGUUAAUUUCAGUGUAAUUUCAUUCUCAAAAAGUUAAAUGAUUUAAGUUCUUGAUAGGUGUUCUUGAGAUUCAUUAUAAAUCUUAUCUUGUUGGGUUUGUUCACCCAUACGCGAAACAUGUUAAUUUCAGUGUAAUUUAAUUCUCAAAAAGUUGAAUGAUUUAAGUUCUUGAUAGGUGUUCUUGAUAUUCAUUAUAAAUCUUAUCUUGUUGGGGUUUUGAUGAUUUGUUGAGAUGAAAGUGAUUGUUUGGAGUGAAAUUUUAGUGUAUUAUUGUGUACUCAGGCUGGGAAAUUGAAUCUAAAAGAAAAUUUGAGAAAAGAAAUCAAUUAAAAAAAAUUUAGGGUCAGAAAACGAGAGGUGAAAUUUGUCGAAAGCUUACCUGGGGAAAUACUGGCCCGGUACACCCCAGAUGCGCCCAAGGGGAUGGGAAAGCGCGUCAGCAGUGCGCCCAAAUGAUGUCUCUGAAGUUAGGGGCUAUCGCCCUGCACCCGGAACACGCAAUGUCGCCUGUCCCCAUUCCUUUUCCGUCGAUUAUCCCGUUUGAGCUCAGUCAAAGUGUAUCUUCACUCCUUUUGAUUCUAAACACUUUAAACUACUUCUAAACACUUAUAAAUCACUCAUAACAUUAAUCAUAGCCUUUAAUUAAUAAUUCAAGUUCAAGUUAAAGUUAAUAUGAAGUUUUUAGAAUUCUUCUAAACCUUUUGAGAGAGUCCCUGUGAGUCUUUUUGUGGAGUCCUCUACAACAUCUAGUAAAUUAUUUGAAGACUCAAGCAAGUGAGUAUGAGGAUGAAGAGAAUUUAUUCAUUAGUCUACUUUUUUUUAUCAUGAGAUCCUUCAUAUCACGAAUCAUAACUCUUGAUUUUUAUACUGAAGAAAGAGUUAUGAGUAGAGUUCAACAAAUCUUUUGAGUUUAAUUGUGAAUUCUUUGAGAUCAACUAUUAAUUUGAACUAAGAUUUGAGUAAGUAAGUAUGAUAAUGAGAAGAUUGGUAUACGUAAGUUAACCUUUCAGUCAAGUCGUUCAUGCUCAUAACUUUCGUAUGAACCCCAUUGGUUGAGUACAUUUGAUAUGAGUAGUAUGUUCAAGUUCUAAGUCUUGAGUAUUGAGUUCCUUAUAUUCUUUGUGAUUAUAUUUCUAAUCAUGGAACUAUUACAUGUUACCCAUGAAGGAGUUGAAUUUUUCAUGCCCAUAAUUCCGCAUGAACCCUAUAAAUCAAACAAUCUUGAGAUGAGAAGUACCUUUGAGUUCUCAAGUUGAGUAGUCCAUGCUCAUAAUUUCGCAUGAAUCCUCCAAGUUAAAAAUCAUGAAAUUAUCCAUAAUCAUGAGAUCAUGAACCUUUUAAUACUUCAAUUCAAUAAAAGCUUAGAGUCAAGUUUAGAAAUUAAGAAACAAGUCAAAACAAAGCUUAUAAAGAUCUCAAAAGUCUUUUACAAAUGUUUUAACUUUGUUUAAGAGUAAAAGUUUCAAAUCAAGCUAAGAGUAAAGAGUUGCAUUCACUUCUCAAAAAUAUAUAGGGAACUAGUAUUCCCAAAGAAUUUAUAAAUGUUUUCACAUUUAAGAUAAGAGGAAACUAAGAUUUUCAAAAGAGUUUUGAGCAAGAAAAGGGAGGAACAAUUCUUAACGAGCUUUCAAAUCUAAGUGUUGAGAAAUUAUCUUAACUUAAAGAAAGAAGUUGUUUUAAAAACACAUGAGCUAAGUAUAUUUUUAGGAGUAGUAUAGAGCACCGAUAUGGGGAUGAGAGUUCAUAAUAACUCAAUUCUCCAUAAACCAUGUAGUCAUCAUAGAUAUUAAUGGGUCAUACUUUUUGGAUGAUCACAUAAGUUAAGCUAGUAGAUCCGCUAAGUUAAGAGUUCUAUAUGAAGGCAAAGUAUAGAACAGUUCUAGCAGCGUGGGAAAAACGUUGUAUCACCACUUAGGCUCAUAGUGGAGGUUGUCGCUUAAAGAAUCUCCCACAGAAACUAUAUCACUUUAAUAUAUGAGUAAAGAAGAGUUUGCUAUUGCAUUUUCUUUAAUGAACUAAGUUGUUUUUAAUGUUUUAUAAAGCUUUCUAUAUAUUGAAUGUGUAUUCUUUCUUUAUAUUGAGUUGACUAUCUACUGUUGAGUACACAAAGUCGAAUAUCAUAAAUUUGACUUGAGUAUCUAUUCUUUAAGUUGAACAUCUAAUAUUUGAGUUGAGUAUCUUGUCCUUAAGAGUACUUCUGAGUUGAAUACGUCUGACUGGUUUCCAGUAUCCUUAAGUAUUUCUUAAGUUGAGUAAGUUCCAAAAGAGAUAAGUAUGUUUCCAUUUCUGACAACUUCAAGCUUAUGUUAUGCUUUAGAUUCCCCUUACAUAUUAAUACAUUCCAGGGGCUGAGCCAUUUGGCUUGUAUCUUUUGAUGAUGUAGACAUAGGUAAUGAGGAUCAUCAACUGGAGUUAGUUGAUAUAUCUGAGAGUUUGAGUUAGAUAUGGUGAGCCAUCUUGGUUUCGAAGGAUUUCCUUUACUUUUCAGUUUAGUCAGGAUGUCGUGGGUCUUAUCCCGACCUCCAUUCUUGUUAGUUAGAAGCUUUAUAGAUAGUCUGUAUAGUUCAGGAGUCUAUAUUUUUAAUUUAUUUUACUAAAUUUUUUUAAAGACUUAAGGUUCCUAUUAUAUAGCGAGUUGAAUACAUUAUUUUACUCGAAGUUAUUUAUUUGAAUUAAAGAUUUGUAUUUCGAUUUAGCAAUUUUUUUCCAGUUUUUAAGCUUUUGUAUGCUUAAGUUAGUCUUCCUUUUGAAGUUAGGCAGGAUGAGGGUUCACUUGGGACCAGGAAUGGUCUUCAAGUGUCGGUCACGUCCAGGGUGUAAACUAAAGUCAUGACAAUUGGUAUAUCCCAUCUACCAUUAGGGAUUUACCCAUUGAUCUAGAAAUACGUGUAGCAUAAAUAGUGAAUCACAGUGCAAAGAAUGUCCUGUAGAAAAAGGUGGUUCCAUAAGAAUAUACUAAAGUAAGGUAGAAUAACACAAGAUACUCCUUUCAUAGUACUCAUCUCAAACAUUUUCAUUCAUCUUACUCCAUCUCCUUGAUUUUUAGCCAUCAACAAUCAAUCAUUUUGGUCUUUAUUGAAAUCAUUCAUAUACUCGAAUUAUGAAAACCCUACACUCUGUCACAAUAUUCCAUUAAAGCUAAAAAUGUUAUUACAAACAAACACUAUAACCACACCAUCCAUUUACCUUACUCUCAAACCUUCAUGAGUAUCAAAGUCUUCUUAUCAAACAAAUUGUAACCUUAAAAAUGAACUAUUGCUCCAUCUCUUUCCAUUUAAGCAUACCAUGAUAGGCACGGGUCCCACUCGAGGCUGAUAGAACUAAUUUCAAAUCUAAUUGUACUCUUCCAUUGACAUAAAGUUAUUAAAUCAGACAUAAUAUCGACUCCACAUAAUCUUUCACAUAGAAAAUUGCAACUAAUUAACAUUCCAACCUCAUAUAUCUCAUGCUAAAACCUAGAAGAAAUUCUAGGUCACUCCAACAAUUUGUAUACUAAAAGAUCAUAAUCUUUACUCACUAUCAAAUGCAUAACCAUGUGUAUUGUCUCCUGAAUAAAGUAGUUUCAAUUCCCUCGAUAUAUUCAUUAACCAUGUUGAACCGUCGAUCCGCACCAUUAUAUAUCCAUAAGUUACCUAUCAUAAGUUUAACAAUCUAGUUCGGUAUAACCACAUAUAAUCUUCCCAUCAUUACUUGUCAGCCAAAUCAAAAGUCAAUCUUUAUAGUAGUCAAACUAUACCGAAUCAAUUCAUAUUCACAAUCGCAUUAUAACUCAUAUAUGAGAAUCUAUGCACCUUCAACUUCGAACCAAGAUUCUAUAUGAGAGGUCUUAUCCCUUAACAUAUCUUAAUUCUGCCCAUGACGCAAAUUUUAAAUACCUUAAACUCUUCAAUAUACCUGAUUUUUUUUCUUUUCGCUGACUUUCUUACAAUCAUUUGACCAUCAACUCAUGAUAUUUUUACCUUAUCCUCUAAACCAAAACAUUACAUGAAACCCCUCUUAGGUAGAACAAUCAAAAGUAACCCAACUCAUGAUAUUUAUACCUUAUCCUCUAAACCAAAACAUUACGUGAAACCCCUCUUAGAUAGAACAAUCAAAAGUAACCCAAUUUAGGACUCAAAUUAUUUUUUAAAGUCCUUCCAAAUGCUUCAUACUCAAUUCAAUAUAUAAUUUCUUAUCUUAUCAAUCCAUACCUUGAAAAACACACAACCACAAACAUAAACUCAUCGUGAAAACUUGAAUUUUAAAUCCAAUUAUGUAACCCAAUCCCUUUUUUCUAUCAACAUUAGCUCAUACCUUGAUGAUUUUAUGUAACCCAAUCCUUUUAUCUAUCAACAUUAGCUCAUACCUUGAUAAUUCUAUGAAUUCAUGUAUCUUACCUUGUCAUUGAUCACAUAUCCAUCUACUUUAACCAUACUCAUUGUCAAACUCAAAAUCACAAAUGAAUUUAUCAUCACAUUCGAGUUGAACGUCUUUACACUAAUAUCUAAAAUUUUAUCCAAUAUUUCUUAUUGCCAAUAUGAUUAAUCCGUAACACUGUUAUCAUAAGUAGAGAAAAGUGGACGAAACCACGUGUCUCUAAACUCAAUUUUCUACUAUCUGAAAAUAUAUCUUUUGUCCUUGCACUCAAAGUAAAUAUCUUUGUUCUUGAUAUCCUCUUUUCAUAGACUAAUCUACAUUAUACUAAGUCUUCCCUUUGUAGCUAUAACUCAUUUCACGUCAUAAAACUUUUCAUAAAGUACACUACUUACCAAAUAGUAGCAAAUCAUAACUUUAGAUACUCACAAGUCAUCAAUAUAAUACGAAAUUCAUUAAACCAACAAUCCUUACCAUAUAGUUACAUUUCAAUCACAAUCUAUCACAAAUCCUUAUUAGCGUCAUGCUUAAAUAGUGUUGAUCAUCACGACGAAGUCAACCUUGUCAUCAACAUGACACCUUAAACUCUGCUAUGCCAGCCAUCCAAAGGACAUAUCUAACUUUUUAUGUGUACUUCCUUUGUAAAAUUCUUCAUUUUCUUUAUACAGUAAAUUAUUUGAAAAUUUUCUUUAUCCAUAAGAUUUUUAUUCCGAUAUCAAUCCACUACUUUGAAGCCUACAAAGAAAUCACCACUUAUUGAAAAUCCUUAAGAUAUCCUUCACAACCUAAAGACAUUAAUACUAUUACAAUGAUUCACCACUAAAAGCUGCCUUAUAAAUAAUGGUUAACCCAUCCCUCCGUAGUAACAAGGUAGUUGGUUAUGCAAAUAUGAAUGCAAUAUCAAAUUUUAUUAUAUAAUCAUGUCUUACAAUUGAUAUUUUCUUGAGUAGUUAGUAUUCACGCUUACAAACGACGUAUUCAUUUUCAUAUGAGACUAGUACCACAUGCAAAAGUUCCACCACUAGAACACAUGAUACCUAUCGAGAAGAUUGUACACAAAAAGCCCACACAUUUCUAUCAAUUAAGUAACUAUAAUGCACUACCAAAUUUGUUUACUCUCAUCCAAAGUGUUAUCCAUUCCUUCGUAGAUUAGGUCCAUACCUUUAACAAAGUAAGAAUUGGUACCAUUGUGAUAGUCGUAUCAUGAUCCUUUUUAAUCAUUCCACUCUCAAUUCUCAAACUACUCCACAUAUUAUCUAUACCACACAAGUACUAACCUCAAACAAUUCCUUCAUAUUACUGAACAUUCUAAACGUGACCACACAUCUUCUUACAAGUAUAUGACUUCAACAUUAGUACCAUAUUAAACAUCUAAGGCAUGCAUGACACCAACUACUCACAUUAGGAACUACGCACGAGUCAUCACAUAAGUGAGAGAGAAUGGAACAAAGUGAUACCAAUCAGAACAGACAAAGGAUGCACGAUAGAGAUUCAAGAAGUGUAGUUUUUUCUUAAAAGUCACUAUAUCCUCUCGAAGAUAAGUACAUACGUUUCCGUACCAAUCCUUGAGACUUUACCUAGACUCGACUUAUACACACGUGAUACCAAUGAACCUAGGAUCCGAUAUCAUUUUGUCACGAUCAAAAAAUGGACAUGAUGACACUCGUCUUAUCCCACCAAGACAAGUCAACUUCAAGCUCAGCCAUUACAAUAAAUGACUCAAAGAAUGAUGUUAAACUAAAUGUUCUUAACAUUAUUUAUAUUCUUGAGAAUUGAGAAGUGUUUUAAGGAGGGGAAAAGAAGUACCACAACUAUUAUGGAACAAUGGUUAAGGUCUAAGAUAGUAUCUACAAUUUGGGUUCCUUGUUGCUAAUAUAUAAUUUCUUAUUUUUCUUUGACAAAAUUUAGUGGUUUCCAUGUUGGUAAUAUCUAAUCGAAUAUUUUCUUUAGGAUAUAUUCCCUUUGUUUUUCAUAUCUAUAAAACCAAAGGUUGAAUCUUCUUUCACUUUGUCAAUAAUGUUGACAUAUCUAGACAACCAAAGGCUGAAUUUUCUUUCACUUUGUCAAUAAUGUUGACAUAACCAAAGGUUCCUUGCAAGGAUAGAACAUUUCUUGAAGCAAAUUAUGCUACUUUGAGUAAAGUUCUUAAGAGUAUCUAUGCCGCAAAUUUCGCUAGGAGGGAAAUAGAUCUCAUCUUUUUCCUUAAACAAGGCUUGUGAUUUCUUAUCAAAGUGAUUUUUGCUACAUAUUAAACAUAGAUCAUGUAUGGGGAUAGCUUGCAUGUGGAACAUUAGCGACUUUUGUUCUUGAUAGAGUAAAAAAUAUUUUAUUAACAGUUAUAUGUUUGGACAACAUAUCGAUUUCUUGCUGAUUGCAUGGGCUGCAAUGAAGAAUGAUGAGAUUUCUCUAGUUUCACUAUGUGUUUUAAUGUACUAAUGUUAUUUCCUUGUGUGUAGAACAAGAUUUACAUAUGCUCCCUGAUUGCAUUUAACAUUUUGUUGGUACCUUUUGAAGUAGGUUGAUAUAAAAUUAAUGUCUAUGGAAAAUUUCAAUUACAAGGAUCGGAAAAGUUAUUUAAGAUCUAUUCAAUGUUCAUAAUCUUAGAGCAACUAAUAUCUAGAAAAUAAUAAUUGUUAUCUGAUUUUUGAAAUGAAAAAACUUUUGCUCUUCAUGAAUUUCAUUAAAUUAAACAUAAUUCAUAAAUAUGACCCUUAACAUGGCUAUAGUGGAGAAAUAUGUCCUCCAAUUUUGAGAGUGCACAAGUUUACACUUAAACAUGUAUAAAAUUGAACAAGUAGAUAGACUCAUCUGUCCUACAUGAAGUAAUACACAUUGAACGCCACAUAGGACACAAUUUCCAUGUAGGGUUCUAUGUAGGAUGAAUGUAUCUUUUGUUCAAAUUUAAACAAGUUCAAGUGUCUACUUGUGCAAACACAAUAAUCGAUGAAAUGUACUCUUAUUUACCUUAUUUGAGUUUUAUUUUUCUUUUUAAGGAAAGCCUACCAUAGUUGCUUUUACUUUUUUAAAAAGAAAAAUAUAAUUUUCUCACAUAUUUGAUUUAUUCUUUCCUUAGAAAAAAAGGUUGGAACUCUAUAAAUUAGAGACAACAUGUUUUCGUACCACAUCAAAUUAAUGGAACUUACUAUGUAAUCAUUAAAAAGUUUUGUUAUAGAGGAGAUUAUUCUCCUAAUAGAGUUUAUAUUAGUUUUCAUGUAUAGGUCAACUGAUCAAACCAUAUUAUAAUAUAAUGUUUUUAAAGUUUUUGUCAUCUAAUUUAUCACAAACACGAUUCGCAAUUGUAAGCUUCCGUAUGACACCUUUAAUUCUUUAGAACUUAAUAGUUUGGGGUAUUUUUGAGGUUAAAAAUAGUUUUGCAAGAACCAGAGUUAAAACAUAAUGGAAUCGAUGGGUCUUUUCUCAAAUGGCAAUGACAUAGAGGAGUCAAAAUUUUAAUAGAUAAUAUAAAUAAGUCUUUUCUAAAAGUUAGAUAUCAUAUUUGAGCACAAACUUAGAUUCAACUUGCUACUGACUAAAUUCAGAUGUAGGGCGUGAAGAUGAACUACUCUAACACUAUGAAGCUAUUAGGCUGAAAACUUCGAUGGAGACUUCAUUCUUUUUUGAGCUCGAGUAAGAAAACUACGUUAAUUAAAAAUAAGAGGCGCUUUAGAAGAGACAUCAUGUGUCCACACAUACUUUUAACUACAAUGACAAUACAUGCAUGAAAACUAGAUUUAAAAGUCUAAAUUAAAACUAAAAAUAGUUGAAACCACAUAUAUUUUUUUAGUUGCAACAUAAAAUCACACAUUUUAAAAUUAUUCAAGCAAAGUACUUCAAAAUGAUCAAAUUAAAGCAAAUCAUUUUUAUUUUAAAGGAGCUCUGCAAGGAAUUCCCUUCCUCUUGCGCUUCUGCUUCGUCUUAGCAAUCUUUCCCCAUUUUGCUUCCACCUAUAAAUUCCAUCAUAACAUAUAUUAUUCACAAAAAUAUUUGUGAAUUGGCAAUGCAAAUGUAUAAUAAUAUUUUAUCUGCCUCAAUUUAAGUGUCUCAUUACUUUUUUUAUGUGUCUCAAAAACAGGGGGUUUCCGAUCCCCUAUAUUUUGUAUAAAGAACUCAAAUACAAUAUAACAAUAACUACUUCUCAACUAUAUUAAUAAAACUGAAGUUCAAUUACAAUUUCAAAAGUUGAUAUAGAAAUAUCAAAAGUAAGACUAGGGGUGUGUUUGGUAUGAAGAAAAAUGUUUUCCAUGGAAAAUGUUUUCUUAGAAAAUGUUUUCCUCGAAAACAAGUAGAUUUUGGAUUCAUUUUCUCAUGUUUGGUUUGUGAGUAGAAAAUAUUUUCUCGAAAUGAUUUUUAGUGUUUGAUUUAUGAAUGAAAAUGUUUUUUGAGAAAAAUCUUUUAUUUUUACUAGAGUAGAAAAUAACUUAUGAAAUUGAAAAUAUUUUUUACAAACAAUUUUUUGGGGGGUGUGGUGGGUGGGUGGGGGGUGCGUUUGCGGGGGUGGGCAGGGGUUAGGUGAAAAAAUAUAAUUUUGAAGUUGAAAAUACUUUUUGAAAAUAACUUUUUUUUGGAGGGGGGUGCUGGUAGGGGGCUGGCGGGGGACGGAGGGAGGGAGGAGUUUUAAAAUAAAAAUAUUUUAAAAAACGACCUCAAAGUUUUUUGGGUGGGGUGGGGGUGGGGGGCUGGUCAGUGGUGAGUGAGUGGGAUGGGGGUCAGGAUCGGGUGAAAAAUAUAUAUUUUGAAAUUGAAAAUAUUUUUAAAACGGGAGAAGGGUCAAAUAUGCCCCUAAGCUAUUUGAAAAGGUUUAGAUAUACCCUCCGUUUAAAGUUUGGUCCAUUUAUACCCUCGCAGUCCAACUUUUGGUCUACAUAUGCCCUUUUGGGCGUUAGUUGACCAACUCGAAAUAUCCAACUCAUUUUACUUUUAUUUAAAUGUCAAAUGGAUUUUCCACGUCAUUUUUAUGUAUUAUUACUUGACAUUUAUACUCAAGGGAAAAGGGUCAAACAUGCCCUUAAACUGUUCGAAAGGUCUAGAUAUACCCCCGUUUAAAGUUUGGUCAAUUUAUAUCCUCGCGUCCAAACUUUUGGUCUACAUAUGCUCUUAUGGGUGUUAAUUGGUCAAUUCGAAAUAUCCAACUCAUUUUACUUUUCUUUAAAUGCCAAAUGGAUUUUCCACAUCAUUUUUAUAUAUUAUUACUUGACAUUUAUAUUAAAAGAGAAAGGGGUCUUUUAUGCCCCUAACUAUCCGACCUAAUUUUAAAACACAUAUACGACCCGUCUUUUAAAUAAUCUAUACAACCCGACCCUUUUUUUAAAUACCCUAUAUGGGCCGGAUUAGGGCAUAAUUGAACCAUUUAAAUGGCGAAAACUAUCGUGCUCUGAUUGGAACCGCCGAGGAAUCAAUGGCACGACAACUAAAGGAAAAGGAAGUCGAGGUUUGAAAAGCGUUUUGGCGCAACGCAGAGCUGGAGGCGCAAAUCUGGCAGGCAAGGUCUAGAGCAAAGGAAUUCACCGCAACAACAUUACAGACACAACUGCAAGCUGCAGCAGGCGAUGAUGAUGUGAAUAACAAAAUAAUUCACACAUAUAUGAGUCGGAUUAGGGGCAUAAUUGAACCAUUUAAAAUACGGUCGUAUAUGUGUUUUAAAAUUGGGUCGGAUAGUUAGGGCAUAAGUGACCCCUUUCUCUUUUAAUAUAAAUGUCAAGUGAUAAUAUAUAUAAAUGAUGUGAAAUAGCACUUGGCAUUUAAAGAAAAGUAAAAUGAGUUGGAUAUUUCGAGUUGACCAACUAACACCCAUAAGGGCAUAUGUAGGCCAAAAGUUGGACGCGAGGGUAUAAAUGGACCAAACUUCAAACGGGGGUAUAUCUAGACCUUUCGAAUAGUUUAGGGGCAUAUUUGACCCUAUUUCCUUGAACAUAAAUGUGAAGUGAUAAUACAUAAAAAUGACGUGGAAAAUUCAUUUGGCAUUUAAAUAAAAGUAAAAUAACUUGGAUAUUCCGAAUUGGCCAACUAACGCCCAAAAGGGUAUAUCUAGACCAAAAGUUGGACGGCAAGGGUAUAAAUGGACCAAACGUUAAACGGAGGGUAUAUCUAAACCUUUUCAAAUAGUUUAGGGGCAUAUUUGACCUUUUCCCUUUUAAAAUUGAAUUUUUUUGCCAACAAAAUGUAAUUUGACGUUGGAGAAGAGUUUUGGAAAAUGUUUUCCUUAAUUUUUAAAGGGAAGUCAUUUUCCUUAAUUUUGUGGAAAAUGAGUUGAUUUGGAAAAUAUUUUCCAAUACUUUUGUCUCAACCAAAUAUGAGAAAAUUGGAAAAUAUUUUCCAUAAAUUGUAUUCUUUCAUACCAAACACACUCUAGAGAUUUGGGUAGAACUAGACUUUCAUACAACAAUAAGUCUAAUCUAUCUUUCCAACUUCUCUUCCUUUUUACUAGUUGCUAUUUGGGUAUGGAUAUCAAUUCAACCUUUGUGAAGGUCUUUUGAUCUUAUUACUUCUUGUUUACCUAAUACCUGAUUCUGUGAUGUCAAGUUCCACGUUGGACUGAGAUUGAUUCAUAACAUUUAGUACAGUUAUAUCUUUACUUAUAAUUUGGCUUUAAAAUACUCACUUUAUCUUUAAUGAGAGAUUUUGGAUCAAACAUUUUAAGUCUUUCUUUCUUUCUUAAAAUUUAUGUCAAUUCGAACAAUAUCACAUAAAUUAUGAGAGAGGGAGUACCUGUUUUUCAAUUUCCACAUUCUAUUUAGGAUUAUACAACAACAACAAUAACAUAUCUAGUGAAAUUUAACAACUUAAGGCCUAGAGAGAGUAAAAUGUACUCAACCUUAUACACUACCUUGUAAAAGAAAAGAGACUGAUUUUAAUCAAGCAUAGUUUCAAGAAUUCAAUUUCUCAAAAAUAUUAAAUAAUAAAGUAAAAAUCAUUGAGAAACAACCACUAAAUUUUAAACGGAGGGAGAGAUAAGUACCUGGCAAGCAAUGAAUGAGCCAGACCAAGAAUGUGGCAGAGGAUUCAAAGCAAUUAUCCAUUUCUUGUUGCAUUUGUAUGUCUGCACAUAGAAAAUUAUAUAGAUCUCAUCACUAACAUAUAGAUGUUAAUAAUGUAAAAAAGAAAAUAAUAAAUCUUUGUUGUAAGACUAUAUAUACAUGUGUGAAAUAAGAAUGUCUAAAUUUAUAUAUGACUAAAGUUCAACAAAAGAAAGUUGAACUUCAUCUAUAAGUACUUGAACUUCAGGCAAACUCAAGAAAAUCAACCAUAUGGAUCUUAUGUUCUAAGAGAAAAAGAUUAAACUCUAGUCAUUUUGUUCAAGCUUAAUUCCAAACACAAUAUGACUUAAUUAGUGGAUCCAAAUAGAGAUGGCUCAAGAAAAGAGCUAGUAAAACACUUGCAUUUAGACAAAAGGCUUCCAAAAAAUUAGUAAUCGUUUUACGAAUUUAUUAUCACUUAAAACAGAUGAUUAUGAUAAAAAGUACAAAUUUUAUGCAUGUAUGUAUGUUUACAAAACUAUUUGCUUUUAUCAUAAAUAUUUUACAACUUUGAACUAAAAUCUCAACUUUUAUAUUAAUAAACAAAACUUUUACAAUAACAUCCAAAAUAAUAACAACUGAUUAACAUCUCAUUAACUUAUAUUUAAUUAUCAUUCAAAUGUUUAAAUAAAUUAAUGUCUGGAGCAUCAAUUCAUAACCAAUAUAUGUAAUCUUCUUUCAUUUCUAGCUGUAAUAAUCUAUAUAAAUUUAAAUUUACCUGAAUUAGUUUGCAAUCAAUAUACAUCUUCAUCUGCUCGAGCGGAACAAUGUCUUUGUAAACAUGUCGAUAAAUUUUUAGCUGGUCAUGAUCAUUGUGUUUGUUUGUAGAGAUGCAAUACCUGCAUAAAUCGGAAUCACAUGUGAUACAGUACUUGCUCCUUUCAUUCUUUUGAAGUCUAUCAUGCACCAAACAUUCCCCAAAGAAUGUCUUCUUCAAAAGUGGUCCUAGCCAUGUUAGCAUAAUCCUGCUAGGUUUCAAUUCCCCCUGCAAAUAUAAUCAUUACAAUAACAGAUUAUGAUAUUUUUCAAGUGAUUUGAUUGGAUUGCAAAAGGUUUUUCUCACUUUUUAAAAUAUAGUAAAGUAAUAUUAUCAUCAAAUAUACAUAGUACGAGAAAAUAUAAAAUACCUAUCAAGCUAAUUAUCUUUUGAAACAGUCUUUCUCAUUAUUUGAACAGUAAUUUACUUGAAAUGAUAUUAUCAUCAAACAUACACAUAUCAAAAGAACUACGAAUAUAAUAACAUAUUUAUCAAGCUAAGUAUCUAUCAAGUAUCUCAUCCAACAAUUGUUUGAUGAAGAUUAAUGAACUUUAAAGGUCUAAAAAUGUACUAAGGUUUGUUUAGGAAUGAACCAAAUCCAAUCAAUUGAUGGGACUUAGCUAGUUUAGAGCUUAAGUUUUAGGAGAAAAAAAGACUUCACUUCUUUCUAGUUGAGGUUCUAAAAACAUCUACCUACAUUUUAUUUAUAAUAAAAAAUGUAUAUUAACAUUUUUGUAGGAUAAUAUUGAAUGAUGAAAAACUUAUAGUGUAAUAGAAAAGAGAAACACUUUCACAAAAUUCUGAGUUGAUGACAAUAUCCAUGUAAAUGAUUAUUAAAGAACAAAAACACAUGAACCAAAUCAUAUAUAUAUAGUUUUGGUCCACUUUCUCCUUAAUAUGUUGUCUGUGCGACUUAAAAUGAUCGUUUGAUAUGCAGACUAAAUUAUCUCGAGAAUAUAAUUUUAAUUAUAAUUCUUAUACUAAUCUAUCCAAUAUGGAAUCUGGAAUAAACUACUUUCAAAAUAAUCUCAAACUUAAGCAUGAGAUAUUUCAUCUUAUCUUGCACUCCGAACAAUCCUAUUACUCAUGGAAUUUGUUUAAACCCCAUCCGUUAUGUUUCCAUCGCAGAGAAAAACCACAUCACCUAUAGCUUUUGUGACAGAUCGUUUUUUAGAGAGACAUUUGGUACAUUCAAAACACACCAAUUUAGAUUUGGGACACAUAGAUUCCAUAAAGGGGAAAAUUUCCUUAGCAAGAUUUCUCCAUUUACAAGGUUCAUAUGAGAUAUUGGUUAAGAAUUAAGAAAUUUCAUCUGUAUGAUCACACCCUUGAUGAUGCACACCAAUUAUAGAAGGAAGGAAUGUUGUGUAGAGCUAGGGUCACUCACCUCACAAAACUUGAAAGAGGUGACAUUGGCUGAAUGAAUUAAUGAUUAUAAGACUCAAACAAAAUUUUUACGACGUGUGAGCUUGAUUCUUUUUAUUUAGUCAUUCAUAUGGAAGUACCAAAUAAAUGAAUGACUAUGAGACUUGAGUAAGCUUUUAUUUGAUAUCAAAAAUUUGGACGGUUCAUCAAGUCUUUUAUUGCCUCACCUCUCUAAUAGGAAUAGGGGUAAUUUACAAAUAGGGCUAAUAAAUUUGUCAAUCAAAAUAUAAGGACUUAAUAACUUAAGUUUCUUCAUUCGAAGUAAAUUCUUUCAAACUCAAAAUACACUUAAAGAUAGAGGAGUACCCUUGACAACAAUGGAUCUCCUACCAAGUAUAUAAAUAGGCUUAUUGAAGGGUCCUAUUGACAUGCAUUCAAUAGAAAUCAAGCCUGCUAAUUCAACUAAUAUGAGUCGGGUAUUUUCACAUAACUAACAUAGAACUAUUAUUUUUUCUUACAUCCUACAAUACAUGUAACAGAGUCUAGAGUUUACAUGUGAAUCAAAAUUUUAUUUUACUUCAUCUUUUUAUAUUGAUUUAUCAAGAAGAUGAUGAUAUAUCUAUAGGUUGAAAAGAGGGAUUGAAGCAAAAAGAUAAGAUCCUAACAUACUAGGAAGUUGGUUUGUAGCAAAUAGGAAGUUGGCUUGACAUGGUUAGGAGUGUUGUUGAAGUAUAACUAGGGGCUCAAAAUCCAUAUCCCAGAUUAAGAGAGAGAAGCUCAGAUCAAGUCCACGGCAAGUUGAAAGAAAUAACUCAACAAAGACAUAGAGAAUAGGGUUUUUGGAAUGAUUUAGGGUAAAAUGAUCAUUUCAUUCUAUAUCGUGAAAAUGCUCCUUUUCUAACGUGAAAAGAAGUAAAAUGAACAACUAAAAUAAAAAACCGUUCUAGUACAUGACUCUAGAGUAGAUUAUAGUUAAAAUUACACAAUCGUUACACGUUUAAUUUUACGAUACAAAUAAGUUAUUAAAGCACACAACGACUCCUGCCUCCCCUAUGACAUGACAAGAAAAUGAGACAUUAUAUCCUUUUACACAUUAAUACUUACCUAAAAAUUGUCAUUUCUUUUUCUUGCCAAAAUUAUUGGGAUUACAACAUUAGUGGAUAACAUUUCAGGAAUUGGUACGAUAUAUUUGUAAAAGAAAAUUUGGGGUUGAUGACUCAAUUUUCUUCUUGUCUUUUAUAAUUUUGAACUACUUAAGCAUAUCAUCAUACAGUGCAAUUAAAAAAUCUGUAAUCAUAGUAUACCUAGUGCUCUCUAACUCUUAUUUUAUCAUGUUUGCUAAUAAUUAGAGGAGGUUUGUUACCUUAUUAGGAUAUGUAAGUAAGAUCUAGUCCCCUGGUUAUAUAUACUUAUUCUGACUAAGAAUGUUUUAAUUUUAUUUUGUUAAUAAAAGAACUAUGUGACGUGGUAUAAAAUACCCAAAAAAAUCUUUUAUUUUGUAAAAACAUGUAUACAUAUCUUACAAGAAAGAGUUAUCAAGAACGACUUCGAAAUAUAAAAUCAAGAGUAAAUUUAAUAAUUGAAAUAUUUAAUUGUUACAUCACUCAAUUAUACCCUCUAAUUCGAAGAAAUUCUUGACUGAUUACAAAUUUUGUUAUUGAAAUAAAUCUUAAAUAACUGUAAUAUGUAAUUCUCUCAUAAAAUUAGUCUGGAAAAUUUUCCAAUAUAUUAUCAUCUUUAGUUUUAUAAGAAUAAAAUCAUAGCACAACUUCAUAAAGUAGAUCUAAAUUCAAUUUCUUGUAAAUUCGCCAUCUUUUAUACAAAAUCAAUUAAGAGGUUAUCAAACAUAUAGUCAGCCUAAUGAAAUUUUAUCAACAAUCAAAGGAAAAAAUAAUUUUCUUUUUCUUUUUGAGAUAUAAAUGCAUAAACAAAAUGGUAAGAAUUAGAUCUCACACAAAAAACACAGAAAUAAACAAUCAAUUUUGAAUAAAUUAAACCAAAGAAAUAGUUAUUGAAAAUUAGUAACACUACACAUAUAUAUGUAUGUACCUGCUCAUUUGUUUCAAAAGGUGAUGAAUCAGAGCUACCCAUAUUUUUUGUUCCACUUUUCUCCUCUCUAGAGUGUAUCAAUUUUUUGAAGAAGACAUAUAAAAACUAGUAGUAGAAUUUUAUUACAAGUAUAUUGUUCCCUUGAAGUGUACUUAGUUGGCAAGACAACAAUUGAAGUAAUAAAGACAAUUUUUUAGUCAAAUAAAAUUUAGUUUAGAAGAACAUAAGGACAAAUUUGGGCCUCCAAUUUUCUAAUUGUCCGUUAUAUUUCAAGAAACAAUAAAGAUAUGUUCAAUGAGGUAAUGAGGAACAUUUUUACCAGUUUUACCCUUAAGUUGAGGAGGCGAUAGAUCCAAGAGAGAUUUUCAAAUUGAUAAAACCUAGAGUUAAUGAGGUCAAAUUGUAUAUAUGUAUGUAAUGGACAAUAUUGUCAUUUCAUUUUGUGUGCCAAAUAAUGUGAACACGGAAAGAUUUUGUAAAUCUAUGAAUUUUUUCCUUUAUCUAUUCCAGUCCUCCAUUUAAAGUUUUCCCCCAAACCAUCCCAUAUGUAAAGUCAAACUUUCUCACUUAAUGUAUCUCCAAGUAAGGGGCUUGUACACAUCUUUGAUUUUACCAUAUAUGAGGUAAUUAGAUUUAGUAAAUCUGAAAUCAAGGCAAAAUUAGUAAUUGUGUGUGUUAAUUAAGAUUUAUACUUAAAAGGGAAAGAAAAUAAAAGGAAGAGGUAAUUCAUUGAUUCCCUCUUUACAUGUCAAGCUUGUUAAUGAUUCAACAAUAUUGUCUUGAGAUGCAACUCAUAAUAUAAGUAUGUGAUAAAUGGUCAUCGAAUCCAUUAACAAUUGUUCAGGUUGAAACUUGUUGAUUUGUCAAUAAAGUUAUGUAAUGUAAAUUAACAAGAAAAUAUUACGUAUAAAAUAUAGAAAUAUGCUUAAUUACGUAAGGUCUUCAAAAAAUACUUGCUAGCCAAAAUCUUGCCUCUUAAAGGUCAGUCUUAAUCGUUUCGAUUCUAAGUCAGAUUGGUUUACCUUUAGGUCUGAUUUAGGGGUUGGGGUUUUAAGAGAAAAUACUAGUUAGCUCAACCCUUGCCUCUUAAGGGGUUAGUCAUGUUGAAUGGGUUAAACUAAUUUUUUUCAUACUAUAUUGUAACUUUGUAUUAAUAUUUGAAGUUAUUGAACUUUGUACUUUGAUAAAAGGACAUAAGUUAUGAAUAAAACCUCAACGACUUAAUAGCUUUCAAUUUUUUAUUGAUAAAAAUUUUUUUUAUAAAACUUAGAACAGGAUUUAAUACUUGAAUGAAAAAAAAUUGAAAAAUCAAAAGAAGAUAGAAGAAGAGAAAUUAAAUUCAAACUCUAGAUGUAUGUAUCACCAAAACUAACAUCUUGUCAACCUCUUUUAAUAUGGGGUCAUUAUUAACUAUCAACCUCAUAUUUAACAAAAUUUUCAUUGAACUCUGUAUGUACCCUCUAUUCGAUCAUAUAAUAACCUCAUGCUCGAGCCGCGAGUGGAACCCACACUUAUCCUACUAUGUGAGCAAACCAACCAAUCUAAACCCCAACAUUUACCAAUAAUAAACAGAAAAGUAAUGCGGAAGGCUUAAACUCAUUAAUAAUAAUCAAUUAAUAACUUCUAAAAUUUAUCAGUUACUAUCCCUCAAAAUCUGGAAGUCAUCACCACAAGAACACCUACCCUCAAAUUCUAAAUCUAAGAGUAUCUAGGAAGCUAAAAUAAAUAAAAAGCUAGUCCAUGCCAGAACUUCAAGGCAUCAAGACAUGAAGAAGAAGAUCCAGUCCAAGCUAGAAGCAUUAGCUCACCCUGAAAUCUGGUGUGAUGAAGACUGGCUAGAGUUGCGAUUGAGUUUAAGUCGACGGUAUGUUUUCUGCACUCCAGAAAUAUCAAAGAGAAAACAUACAAGUAGGGGUCAGUACAAAACACAAGUACUGAGUAGAUAUCAUCGGCAAACUCAAAAUAGAAAGCAAUAUAUAUCAGAUAAUAUCAUAAAAUCAACUACAAUACUCAACCGGUAGCAACAACAAGUACAAGAAUCAUUGGUAAAUAACGCCAAGUACACCCAUGAGGACUCAAGCCUCCCUACCAUACUCAUUUGGGAAAUAGGUUCAUUAAAUUGAGUAAAUAACCAUAUUUCAAGUUUCAUUCUCUUUAAUAUCCUGGUGUCGAAAAGUGACACUCUGAUCCUCAUCAUACUAUCCUGGUGUCGGAACGUGACACCCAAUCCAUUAAUACUAUCCUGGUGUCGGAAAGUGACACUCCGAUACACAUCAUACUAUCCUAGUGUCGGAACGUGACACUUCGAUCCUCAUCAUACUAUUCUGGUGUCGGAACGUGACACCCGAUCCAUUAAUACUAUCCUGGUGUCGGAACGUGACACUCCGAUCCUUAUCAUACUAUCCUGGUGCCGGAAAAUGACACCCAAUCCUCUAACCUCAUUCUUUUAGUUCAUCAAGCCUUCUUUUAUACAAAGGCAUCAUCAUUAACAAAGAGGUUUUCAAGAUUUAGGAUUCAAUAGCCUCAUCAUGCUUAUUUUAUCGUAUUUAUAUAAUCACAUCAUGCAAGCACACAAUUAAGCAUAUAGAAGGCUUUACAAUACUACCCAACACAUAUCAUUCGCUAUUAAGAGUUUACUAUGAAAUAGUGAAAAACCAUAAUCUACCUCCACCGAAGAAUUCAUGAUCAAGAAACCUACUUUUCCAAAGCUUUUCUUUUCUCUUCGUUCUCUCCUCUUGAUCCAUCGUUUCUCCCUCUCUCUGUUCUUUCUAUUUUUCUUAUUCAAACCCUUUUUAUUUUACCCUAAUUAACAUAUAAUUAAGUAUAAAAGAUGACAAAAGUAACCCACUAGUUAACUCAAGGUUAUCUCCUUUAACCCCCAAGUAAUUGAAUUAUUAACAUUAAACCACUAACUUUAUAAUUAUAAGCAGGAAUAGUCCAAAACGCCCCUUAAAACAUUUAACAGAAAUCCGACCCAGGCAGGGUUACGCAGACUGUGACGCCCCUUCCUGCUGCUUCCGUCACAAAGUUCAGAGACUCAAUUCCUUGAAGAGUCUGUGACGGCCCGUCAUGCCUGUGACGGUCCGUCCUGCCACUUCGUCGCGAAGUUCAGAGAGUCGAUCUCAGUACCCAAAUUUCAGAAUUCUAAGUGUUUUGGAACGAGACACCCUCGACGGUCCGUCGUGCCCAUGACGGUCCGUCGUGGGAUCCGUCGACUCCGACUGUUGUUACCAGAAAUACUUUACUGCUCAAAACGACUAAACAGGUCGUCACAGUAGAUACCAAUUUACCCAUCGUUCGUCCUCGAAUGAUCACAAGAAGAAAAACAAGGGCGAGAAGGAGUACCUGAAUUUGUAAACAGGCGUGGGUAUCUUUCUUGCAUAUCAGCCUCCUUCUCCCAAGUGGACUCUUCGACCGGCCGAUUCUUCCAUUGAACCUUGAUGGAUGCAAUCUCCCUUGACCUCAACUUGCGGACUUCUCUAUCUAAAAUAGCAACAUGCUCCUCCUCAUAAGACAAAUUUUCAUCAAGCAGAACCGAAUCCUAACGAAUGAUGUAGUUUCAAUCCCCAUGGUAUCUUUUCAACAUAGACACAUGAAAUACCGGAUGCACUCCUGACAGUUCUGGGGGCAAGGCUAAUUCAUAAGCUACCUCCCCCACGCGCUUUAGAACUUCAAAGGGACCAAUAUACCUCGGACUAAGCUUACCUCGCUUACUAAACCGCAUCAACCCUUUCAUGGGCGAAACCUUCAGUAAGACUUGCUCACCCUCCAUAAACUCCAAAUUCCUAACCUUUCGAUCUGCAUAUUCUUUUUGCCUACUUUGAGCCGCUAAAAGCUUUUCUUGAAUGUAUUUCACUUUAUCUAGUGAUUCCCUCAGAAGGUCAGUACCCCAAGGUCUAACUUCAAAUGCAUCAAACCACCCAAUGGGAGACCUACAUCUUCUCCCAUACAGUGCUUCAAAUAAGGCCAUAUCAAUACUUGAGUGAUAGCUAUUGUUGUAGGAGAACUCUGCUAAGGGUAAGAAGCUAUUCCAUUGGCCACCGAAUUCUAUCACACAUGCACGAAGCAUAUCCUCCAACACUUGAAUCGUUCGCUCAGACUGACCAUCGGUCUGAGGAUGGAACGCAGUACUAAGGUCCAACCUAGCACCCAAUUCCGCAUGCAAUGUUUUUAAAAACUUAGAAGUAAAACUGCGUACCUCUAUCUGAUAUGAUGGAGAGUGGAACCCCAUGCAACCGAACAACUUACAAAAUGUAAAGUUUGGCUUACUUCUCUGCAUUGUAAGUCACCUUGACCAGAAUGAAAUGAGCAGACUUAGUUAAUCUGUCAAUAAUUACCCAAAUGGAGUCAUACUUACCCAUUGUCAUUGGAAGAACAACCACGAAGUCCAUUGCAAUUCUCUCCCACUUCCAUUCGGGAAUGGGAAUUUUCUGAAGGGUUCCUCCAGGCCUUUGUUGUUCAUACUUUACUUGCUGGCAAUUUGGACAUUUGGCGACAAACUCCACAAUGUCACGCUUCAUUCUACUCCACCAAAAAUGUUGCCUUAGGUCACGAUACAUCUUGGUUGCACCAGGGUGUAUAGAAUACCUUGAACUAUGAGCCUCUGUCAGAAUAGUGUUGAUCAAAUCAUCGACGCGGGGUACACAUACCCUUCCCUUAAUUCUCAAAACACCUUCCUCAUCGAUUUGUGCUUUCUUAGCCUCUCCUCGCAACACCUUAUCUCGGAUCCGGAUUAGUUUCUCAUCAGUAAACUGCUUUCCCUUAAUCUUGUCAAGAAAGGAAGACCUUGCCUCCACACAGGCCAAAAACCCUCCCUUCUCAUUUACCUCUAACCUCAUAAAGUCGUUAGCCAGAGUCUGAACCUCUCUAGCCAAAGGACGUCUAGAAACUUGCAAGUGAGCUAGACUUCCCAUACUUCCUGCCUUUCUACUUAAAGCAUCUGCCACAACAUUAGCUUUUCCCGGAUGAUACAAGAUAGUGAUAUCGUAGUCCUUCAGUAGUUCCAUCCAUCUCCUCUUUCUCAAGUUCAAAUCCUUUUGAGUAAAGACACACUGUAGGCUACGAUGAUCCGUAGAGACUUCACACUUCACCCCAUAUAGGUAGUGUCUCCAUUGCUUUAAUGCAAACACUACCGCAGCCAAUUCCAAAUCAUGGGUCGGAUAGUUACGUUCAUGCAAUUUUAAUUGCCUCGAAGCGUAAGCAAUUACAUUCUUCUCUUUCAUUAGCACUGCACCCAAACCCGAAUAGGAUGCAUCACAAUAGACAAUGAAAUUCUUACCUUUCACUGGCAGGGUAAGGAUUGGUGAAGUAGUCAACAAGGUCUUGAGCUUCUGAAAGCUUUCUUCGCACAAGUCCGACAAUACGAAUGGAACACUUUGCUUAGUCAAAUUUGUCAAUCGGGAAGUAAUAGAGGAAAAUCCUUUGACAAAUCGACGGUAGUAGCUAGCUAAACCAACAAAGCUCCUUAUCUCUUUAACAUUAGUAGGUCUCUCCCAAUUCUUCACUGCUUUAAUCUUAGAUGGAUCCACCAUCACUCCAUCCUUAGAAACCACGUGCUCCAAGAAGGACACUGAAUCUAGCCAAAACUCACACUUGGAGAAUUUGGCAUAAAUCUUUUUCUCCCUCAACAUUUCCAAUAGAAUUCUCAAGUGCCCCUCAUGUUCUUUCUUGCUCUUUGAGUAUACCAAUAUAUCAUCAAUGAAUACAAUGACAAAGAGAUCCAGAUAUGGCUUAAAAAUCCCAUUCAUCAAGCUCAUGAAAGCGGCAGGGGCAUUUGUAAGCCCAAUAGACAUUACUAAGAACUCAUAAUGCCCAUACCUUAUUCGAAAAGCAGUCUUGGGCACAUCCGUUGCCCGUAUUUUCAAUUGAUGGUAACCAGAUCUCAAAUCAAUUUUUGAGAAGGUACAAGCACCUUGUAACUGAUCGAACAAAUCAUCGAUGCAAGGAAGAGGAUACUUGUUCUUAAAAGUUACCUUAUUCAGUUGUCUGUAGUAUAUGCACAUCCGAAAAUUCCCAUCCUUCUUCUUCACAAACAAAACAGGAGCACCCCAAGGAGAUGCACUUGGUCUAAUGAAGCCUUUUCCUAACAGUUCUUGAAUUUGAGCCUUUAACUCCCUUAACUCCGCGGGAGCCAUUCUAUAAGGGGGUAUAGAAAUGGGGCGAGUAACCGGUUCCAGAUCAAUGCAAAAGUCAAUAUCCCUAUCUGGUGGCAUACCAGGAAGAUCUGCAGGGAACACAUCCAGAAACUCACAGACUACUGAAACCGACUCAAUUGAAGGUACUUGGGUACUAUCAUCUCUGAGGUGUGCCAAGAAAGAUAAACACCCUUUACUAACCAUUCUCUUAGCACGAAGAAAGGAGAUGAUACGAACUGGAGUGGAAGUGUAGUCACCCUCUCAAACUAACGGAUCUGUCCCAGGCUUGGCCAACGUCACAGUUUUAGCAUUACAAUCUAAUAUUGCAAAAUUUGGAGAAAGCCAAGUCAUACCCAGAAUUACAUCGAAGUCAACCAUUUCUAAGAUAACCAAGUCUACAUGAGUAUUGCUCCCCACAAAAUUCACCAGACAAGACCUAUAUACCUUUUCAACUAUCACAGUCUCACCCACCGGAGUAGACACACGAAUAGGCAUGUCAAGAAAUUCACAAGGUAAAUUAAGACCAGUAGCAAAUGAGGAAGAUACAUAUGAAAAUGUGGAGCCAGGAUCAAAUAAUACAGAAGACAUGCAAUCACAAACCAAAAGAUUAACUGUGAUAACAGCAUCCGAUGUCUCCGCUUCAGACCGCCCGGGGAAAGCAUAACAAUGGGCCCUAUCGCCUGUCUGCCCGUUGCCUCUACCAUGUUGUGCUGUAGUGGCUCCAGUUUGCCCGUCACCCCGGCCGUUUUGAUGACCACCAUUACCUCGACCACCAUGUCCUCCAGAAUGACGGCCUUUUCCUUGACCACCUCUACCUCUGACUAUUGGAGGUCUAUAACUCUGUUUUGGACAAUACAUCUUAAUGUGUCCAGUCUCCCCACAUCCAUAACACUCUCUGGAUUCAAGCAUCGGUCUCUGUGAGAAUGACGAAGUCUGGGGAUAACCUCCAAACUUAGAGAAAUGUUGACCGGUCUGCGGUCGACCCCCAACGACAGUCUGCAGUGAAGACUGAAUAGGUCGGGCUGGGUAACCUCCUGAACCCUGCCCUCUGGAGUAAGAACCAUUAAACUCACCUCCUUUAUGAAACCUUUUAGAUGUCGAUGCCAUGGUGAAGUCAUCUGGCUUCACUCCCUCCACCUCUAUCACGAAGUCUGCCACUUCUUGGAAGGAUUUUGCUGUAGCCGCUACCUGUAAUGCUGAAAUUCGCAAUUUUGACCUCAACCCCUUAACAAAACGGUGAAUCCGCUCUUGUGGACUGAAACAAAGCUGGGUGGCGUACCUAGAUAAUGCACGAAACUUAGCCUCAUACGCAGUAACCGACAUCCUGCCUUGCUCUAGGCUCAAGAACUCAUCUCUCCUCCUAUCCCUCAAGGUCCGGGGGAUAUACUUCUCCAUGAAUAAUCUAGAGAACGACGCCCAAGUCAUAGCUGGCGCCUGUGCGGGUUGACACUCAACAUGUGACCGCCACCACAUUUUGGCAUUUCCCUGAAACUGAUAGGUUACAAACUCAACACCAAAUCGUUCCACUAUGCCCAUUUUAUGUAAUAACUCAUGACAGUCAACCAGAAAAUCAUAGGCAUCCUCAGAUUCAGCACCCUUGAACACUGGAGGUUUCAAUUUCAAGAACUUACUGAAAAGUUCAUGUUGAUCACUUGUCAUUAUAGGCCCUGUAGUCAACCGAGGAAACGUGCCUAUUUCAAUUGAGGCAUCCAUGCGCGGAGCCACAGUAGCUGCAUGUUGUACCUCUGAAAACUGAUGUGCUGGUGCAGAAAACACUGGAGGUGUCUGGCCCUGAUCAAAUAACCCGCUAAGAUAACCAAGAACCUGAUUGAUCAUCUCUAGGGUAGGUUAGGGUGGUAAUUCCUCAUUCUGCACUUGUUCAUUCUCCCCUUCCUCACCCUCUCUUACCACUUCCUCAGUCGGUGGAGGAGUCACCACCCUAGUAUUUGAUGGGCUAGGUGCUUGUCCUCUUCCUCUAGAGGACGUUCUCCCGCGACCUCUUCCACGGCCUCUUGCCACUACUCCUCUUCGAGCUACAACCCUAGUGGCUGGCUCAGACGCAUCUUGUUUUGUCGGUGUUGGUGUUGGUGCAGUUGUUGCUCUAGUUCUAACCAUCUGCAAAAUAGAGUGAAGAUGGUCAGAUACCAAUUUGUAUCACCUAGAUACCAAUUGGAUUCAAGUAAUAGCACGAAAGAAAGAAAGAAAGAAUGGAAUUUUCCUAAAGUCUUAUAGCCUCUCAAAGAAAAGUAAAGGCACCCCCCUACCGUUCCUUAAGACUCUACUAGACUCGUUCUUGUGUGAUGAGACCAACGAACCUAAUGCUCUGAUACCAAGUUUGUCACGACCCAAAUCGAGCCGCGAAUGGCACCCACACUUAUCCUACUAUGUGAGCGAACCAACCAAUCUAAACCCCAAUAUUUACCAAUAAUAAACAGAAAAGUAACGCGGAAGACUUAAAAUCAUUAAUAAAAAUCAAUUAAUAACUUCUAAAAUUUAUCAGUUACUAUCCCCCAAAAUCUGGAAGUCAUCACCACAAGAACACCUACCCUCAAAUUCUAAAUCUAAGAGUAUCUAGGAAGCUAAAAUAAAUAAAAAGCUAGUCCAUGCCGGAACUUCAAGGCAUCAAGACAUGAAGAAGAAGAUCCAGUCCAAGCUAGAAGCAUUAGCUCACCCUGAAAUCUGGUGUGAUGAAGACUGGCUAGAGUUGCAAUUGAGUUGAAGUCGAUGGUACGUUUGCUGCACUCCACAAAUAACAAAGAGAAAACAUACAAGUAGAGAUCAGUACAAAACACAAGUACUGAGUAGAUAUCAUCGGCCAACUAAAAAUAGAAAGCAAUAUAUAUCAGAUAAUAUCAUAAAAUCAACUACAAUACUCAACCGGUAGCAUUAACAAGUACAAGAAUCAUUGGUAAAUAACGCCAAGUACACCCAUGAGAACUCAAGCCUCCCUACCAUACACAUUUCGGAAAUAGGUUCAUUAAAUUGAGUAUAUUAACAUAUUUCAAGAUUCAUUCUCUUUACUAUCCUGGUGUCGGAACGUGACACUCCGAUCCUCAUCAUACUAUCCUGGUGUUGGAACGUGACACCCGGUCCAUUAAUACUAUCCUGGUGUCGGAACGUGACACUCUGAUCCUCAUCAUACUAUCCUGGUGUCGGAACGUGACACUCCGAUCCUCAUCAUACUAUCCUGAUGUCGGAACGUGACACCCGAUCCACUAACCUCAUUCUUUUAGUUCAUCAAGCCUUCUUUUAUACCAAAGCAUCAUCAUUAACAAAGAGGUUUUCAAGAUUUAGUAUUCAAUUGCCUCAUCAUACUUAUUUUAUCGUAUUUAUAUAAUCACAUCAUGCAAGCACACAAUUAAGCAUAUAAAAGGGUUUACAAUACUACCCAACACAUAUCAUUCGCUAUUAAGAGUUUACAAUGAAAUAGUGAAAAAACCAUAACCUGCCUCCACCGAAGAAUUCGUGAUCAAGAAAUCUACUUUUCCAAAGCUUUGCUUUUCUCUUCGUUCUCUCCUGUUGAUCCAUCGUUUCUCCCUCUCUCUGUUCUUUCUAUUUUUCUUAUUCAAACCCUUUUUCUUUUACCCUAAUUAACAUAUAAUAAAGUAUAAAAGAUGACAAAAGUAACCCACUAAUUAACUCAAGGUUAUCUCCUUUAACCCCAAGUAAUUCAAUUAUUAACAUUAAACCACUAACUUUAUAAUUAUAAGCAGGAAUAGUCCAAAACGCCCCUUAAAACAUUUAACAGAAAUCCGACCCAGGCAGGGUUACGCAGACUGUGACGGCCCAUCGUGCCUGCGACGGUCUCUCCUGCUGCUUCCGUCACAAAGUUCAGAGACUCAAUUCCUUGAAGAGUCUGUGACGGCCCGUCAUGCCUGUGACGGUCCGUCCUGCCACUUCGUCGCGAAGUUCAGAGAGUCGAUCUCAGUACCCAAAUUUCAGAAUUCUAAGUGUUUUGGAACGAGACACCCUCGACGGUCCGUCGUGCCCAUGACAGUCCGUCGUGGGAUCCGUCGACUCCGAUUGUUAUUACAAGAAAUACUUUACUACUCAAAACGACUAAACAGGUCGUUACACUUUAUUUCCACGGGCUAAGCACAUGAGGAGGUUGGACACAAUCUCUUAUCAAAGUGCUUAAAAUAGUUUUCAAAUAAUUAGCUAAACAUAAAUUAUUAUUUUUCUAAAAACUGAUUUUAAAAAAAGUGUUUCUCAAAAUAAGAAUAUUUCGGCCAUUUGAGCUAGAAAUGAAGAAUUACUUGUAUAGCUAUAUCCAUGUGUUCAUAAUGCUUUUAAUUGGAUCAGAGAUAGUCAAUUAAGUAAAGUCGUUAAUAUGGGCUAGGCCCAUUGGGUCGGUCUGACCUAACUCGUGAUUUAUUAAGGGUGAAUUAUGAUUUACGGAGUUCAUUUAAGAAAAAGAGUUUUUAGCCCAGUCUGAAUAAGUUUGUGGACUUGUGGGGCUUGAAAAAUAUAGAUAGGGUCAGUUCAUGGACCAAAUAAAUACUAAUUAAAAUUAAAAAUUAAAUAGAGUAUUAACAAAUAACAAGAAUUUAAACUCAAAAUUUGUUUAAAGUUCGGAAUAUUACAAUUUAAAUGCAAAUUAUGUUUAUAAUAACAUAUGUACUACAUAAUCAAAAACUACCUAAAAUUUCUAGGGAAUUAAUAAAUAGGUCGUAACCUAUGGAAUAUUGUCAUAAUUUUUGUGUUUUAUUAUGAUCAUUGAAAAACAAUUAGGUUCGUAUUUCUAUUUAGUUAUUUAUAUUUUUAUUUGAAAUCAAACAUAAUAAAUGUUAUAAAGAUAAUGUUAUUUGUGGAUUUAGUUAACAAGCACUAACACUAACACUAACACCACGUAAUAUUGUCUUAUCGAUAUUUAUGAUAAUAUUUUUAAACUAUAAUUUAAUUUAAAAAAUUAGAAAAGAAAUAUUUCAAAACCCAUAAAUUUUCAAAGUCUGCAUGAAUUAGCUCUGAUGGGGUGAGUCAACCCAUAUGGACAGCUCUACAAUUAAGUUGUCUUGUUAGUGUCCGAGGAGCUCAUAUUGACUCCUUAUUCAAGGUUAAGUACUUGACACAUGAUUAAUUGGUGUAGUGGAUAAGUAUUUGCAAUUUAUUGUUUCUUGAAAUAAUUUGUUUUUUCUAUUUUUCUUAUCUCGUGUUUUCUUUGCUUGUGAGACCAUUGAACAUUUUACUUAUUUUCUAAUCAGAUUUAUCUUUGUUAGAUUUUGAAUCAAGAAACAAAUAUUUAAAAAAAUGGUACGAAUUUGCUUAUAUAACGAUAAAAACUUUAAUUUCUAUCACUUUUAGUCAUCUAUCCGAAAGGAUAUGGAAAUCAAUCACAGUGAUAAGUCUUUUCUCUAAAGAUUUGUUUCUAGCAAGUUGUUUAGACAAGAUGAAAGAAAAUAUUCAUGUUAUUACUACUAAAUUAGAGAAGAUCUUUUCAUGUGGUUACUUUGAUGUGAUAGAGCAUUUUCCAGUUCACCUUGUACAAGAGCCCCGCUUCGGAUGUCUAGUUCAAACAAUAUGGAUAUAUCCAUUUGAGAGGUGAUAUUAGAAUAUUCACAAGUUUUAUUAACUAAGUUUAUUUUUUCUUUAUUAACAUAUAUCAUAUAUUAUUAAAAGUGGAAACAAAAAAGUUAAAAAUUGAAAUAUACUUAAUAAAAAUAUAUAAAAUAGUUAAUCAAUUAAAUAUUAAAUAGUUGUUGUUAUUAUUAUUAUUAUUAAAGUGAAAAGGUGUUAAGUCGAAAAUUAAAAGAUGAAAAUGUUCAUAAGAAAUUGUUGACAUUCUUAUCCUUUUUAAAAAAAAAUUAUUUACAUUUUUUUAAUUCAAAAGUGUAUUUAUUUUUAUUUUUCUCCUUCAAUUUACUUAACAUAUAUAUAUAUAUAUAUAUAUAUAUCAUGAACAUUUUCAUAAAGUAACAUACAUUCAUCUUAAUGCAUUAAAUGAAUAACAAACUUUUUUAUUAACUUUACAUGUUGGAAUAUAAACAAGCACUAAAUUUCAAUAAUUGAAACCAUUAUUUUUUUUAUUGCAUUAACACUUACAAAUAACUACAAUCCUAAAUCCUAAUACUCCAACCCCCUUAUUUCUUUGCUUCAUUAAUAUCAAUUAUCUUCUUUUUUUCACGGAUCUUUAGGUAUCCUUUUCAUUCUAUAGUUAAAGUGAUGAAACUUCUUUUUUAUUUUAUUGAUUCAUACUUUAGUUGGACUCAAGAAAGAAGGAUCUUGAAUUUUUAUUGGCUGUAAUAGAAGCAGUCAACGAGAAGUUGGAAAAUUAUGUACUAUUUAUGUAUUUUUGCUUACAUCUAUAUAUAUUGUAUGAUUAAAGAUUUAAGAAAGAUGAGUACAUUGUAUUGUUUUAUUUUAUUUUGUAUUUUUAAUCUAUUAAACUUUGAAAAAUUAACUUUUUAUAAAUUUCUGAUUGAUCAGUUAUUUGUAACUUUAUUGAAAGUUUGUUAAUUACUAAUCAAAAUUCAAAACUUACUGUUGAUUGCUUAAAAGAACUUGAUUUUAAAUAUUAAGAUAUGCUCCUUAGUUGGUACUAUUUUCCAUAUUCAAAGAUAUGUUAGUAAUUAUUGCAUUUUAUUAUUUACAUGCAUAUUUUCAUAAAAUUUUAAUUAUUCUAACAAAUUUAUCAAAAUUCUACUGAAAUACACAUGUAACACACUUAUUUAGAAACUAAUAGUAUUAUCUAAAAAGGACUAAAGAGAAAAAAAAAAAGACAUGUUGUGCAUGGAGCGUGUGCAUAAAAUCACAUUAAUUUAUCAUAUUUAAGCAAUAAAUUGAAGUGAUAGUACAUAUAUUCAUUAAUCAUAAUUAGUACAAAAGGUACAUAUAUAGAAUUAGACUUGAUUUAAAUUAAUCUAUAGUGUUAAUGGUUUUUAGGGUUGUGUAUCGGCCGGUUCGGUUUUGAAGUUUAUUGAUUUGAUUUAUUGGUUAUCGGUUUGUAGAGAUGCUAAACCGUUAUAGAACCAUUAAGAUAUUGGCUUUUAUGUUAUUGGUUUAUCGGUUCGAUUCAGUUACGUUUUAACUUUUAAGAUUUGACAGAAAAAAAUCAUUGAAAAUCACUUAGAAACCAGGUGACAUACCAGAUAAACUAUGCACAUGAGUUUACAAGUAACAUUUUGUUCAAAAGCAAAACACUUUUACACUAUAGAAAGUGUUUGAGACAACCAAAAAUAAAAGUAGGAAAUCAAACUCUAAGUCAAGAAAUUUAUAUACAAGACGGUAUAAACAUAAUAAAAAAGCAAAGGACACAAAUCACAUACUUUAAAGGCAAAAUUACCAUUUGUCCUUGGGAAAAGGGUCUGAUAUACCCCUCAACUUUGUCAUUUAGAGCUGAUAUACUCCUUGUUAAGAAAGUGGCUCAUAUAUACCCCCUACUUGUAAACAAAUGGCUCACAUAUACCCUUUUCCUCUAACGGAAAUGAAAGAAAAAUUUAAAUCUAAAUUUUAAUUAUUUUUUUCUAAAAAAAUAUAAUCCCAUAUGAGUAAAUUUAAUCCUCGUCAAACAUAUUUUUUUGACUUUUUUUUAUUUCAAUUACUAAUUUAUAAUUAUUAUUUUAAUAAUCAAAUUUAUUUAUGUUUCACUAAUAUUUUUGUAAAACUUAUUAUAGAUGACCAUAUUUUUUCUUCGAAUACGAAUUUAAAUUACAAUACACACAAAAAAAAUUAUUUUUUUAUUCUUUAAACUAAGGAAUGAAAGAAAAAAAAAUAAGAAUAAGAAAUUCAAAUAAUUAUAAUAAAAGAAGUCAAAAAAUAAUUUAUGUGUGAAAAAAUUUAAAAUAUACCUUGAACUUUGAUAGAAGAAUCAUAUAUACCCCUAAAUAAUUUUUUAAAAAAAAUUAGAAGUAAUAAAUAUAAAUUUUAAAACUAAUUUUUUAACUUCCAUUAAAUGAAAGUUAUAUGUGAGCCAUUUUGUAACGGUAAGGGUAUAUGUGAGCCGUUUGUAUAACGGUAAGGGCAUCUAUGAGCCACUUUUAUAAUGAGGGGUAUAUCAGCUCCAAAUGACAAAGUUGAGGGGUAUAUCAGACCCUUUUCCCUUUGUCCUUUAUAAGUUUAUAAUUAUAUAAAUCUCUCAAACUGAUACAAAAAUAGUGCUGAUAUAUUACUCUGAUGCGCGAGAUACAUUAAUCGUUAACUAAGAUACUACAUUUAUACAUGAUACACUAAUCUGAUACAUUAAUCGUUAAGUAAGAUACGUUACAUUUUAUACAUGAUACAUUAAUUUGAUGUGCGAGAUACAUUAUUUUGAUGCGCUAAUACAUUAAUCUGAUGAGUGAAAAUUAGAGAUUAUGGGGAUUUAUAAAACUAAUAGGGGAUAAUGGUAAUAAGAGAACUUAAAGGUGGGAUUUCCGUUAUUUUUCCAUUAUUUAAAUUUUCUAUGGGGUUAAUUAUCGGUUAACCCGUUAAGAAAUAUUUCAAACCGUUAAGAAUCGAUAACCCGAUAAUAAAAAAAUCAAAAACAUUAUCAAAACCACUAAACAAUAACUUAAAACUGAUAAACCAAUAACUUUUUUUUAUUCGAAUUAUCAGUUUCGGUUCGAUUUUGAUCCGUUCAAAGAAAUGGUAGUGCCUUUGAAAAUUCUUAAGCAGUCGUUUGGUAUAGAUAGAUGUGAUAAACAAAAAUAUUCCACCAUAGUCCCAAUAGUUACAACUUGUGAAUUGUUGAGCUUUUCUUGUUUAGACAGUUCCUUUUUAAUUUUCUUUCUACAAUAUGUAAUCUGUCUUCUUCUUCUUUCUUUUCUACUCCUCUGAUAGUUUAGUCUAGAAACAGAGCAUUCUUCUUCUUUUGCAGCACUCACAUUUGACGAAGAUUUUUAUAUUGAUUUAACAGAUCUACGGAGUUAAGAGUUGUCGAUUGUUGAUACUAACUCAAAUCUUACAAUUUUGUUUUUAUCUGACAAUGCACUUUCACUUUCUUUUUUUACACUAGUCCUUUACUUUGUGGUUUAGAAUUAUUAUUUUUUAUAAAAAUAUUUUCUUAUACAUUAUUUGGAAAAAACAUCCGCUUAAUGGUGGGAGAAUUUUUGCAUAUGGUCACUCAAAAAUAAGUUAAUUAUGUUUUAUAAUUAUAGUUUGUUAAUCACGAUUCGUAGCUAAACGUUAGAGGGAGAAGAGAGACUAGUGAGAGAGGGUGGAGAGAGGCGAGCGAGAUUGGGAGAGGGAGGAGAGAGAUGAGUGAGAAUACAUAUGCAUUUGUAUAUCUGGUGAGCUAGAGUGGGAGAGGGAGGAGAGAGACAAGAGAUAUUGGAGAACGAGGAGAGAGGGUAGAUAAUGAAGAGCGGCUAUAUAUAUAUAUAUAUAUAUAGAUAUAUAUAUAUAUAUAUAUAUAUAUAUAAUUUGCAUUUAAAUAUGUAUAAGCGACGUAAUGACAGGUUAAUUAGGUUGUGAGUUGUAAUUGAUUCAAACUAUAGCUAUGUUAACUAAUUAGCUAGUAUAUGUUUGUUUAUCCGCAUAAUUUUGCCUUAAUGUUAGCUGCAAAUCAAUAUUGAGGCCCAUAACCUCACUUGGUUAGAGCGUCGUGCUACUAACGUGAAGGUCGCGUGUUAACUACGUUGCUUUUUGGGGGGAAAACUAUAAAGAAAUCGAGAGACAUCGUCACAUUAUUCAAGAAAAUAUUUUUUAUUAAAAAAAUAGAAAGCAAAGCAAUCUUCUGAUGUUUUCCGGUGCUCUUUAAAAAGCGUCGAGCCAACAAGCAACAAACUUGACUGCAUCAUUUUUCCGUGGAUUUUGACCAAACAGGCGACACAAUCUGUCGCUUUUGGUCAUCAUUUUUCUCUAAUUUUUAGUAAUAAUGUUCUUUUGGAGAAAUAUUAUGUAAGGCUUGCUCCAUGAACCAAUCUAUAGCCAAUAAUGCGAUUGUAAGGGUUGUUUCAUGUAGAAGUAGUAUAAUCGAAUAUGCGAGAUCAUGGACAAAGACCCAUUUGUCACAUUAACAAAGUAAUUGAAUCCACGUCAUAAAACGAUUCAACAUCGAAUAACAUCUGUACAUAUUAUAUACGUCAUGUAAAAUAGUUGAAUAAAACAAUUGGUUGAAACUGAACAUACUUAACUAAAUAAAGAACUCUAAAGAUAGAUUAAAAUAAGGUCAACCGAAUAAUAAAACAUACUUGUAUACGUUAACAACAAGACUUUAAAACUGAAUGUAUGCAAUAACAGGGAAUACUUAAUAUAAUAUUGACUUUACUUUCCUUGGAAAGUCUCUCUAAUCGACAGUCAUUACUUUGAGCAUCAUGAUGGUACAAUGUCUUUUUUCUGUAGACAGAGUCAUCCUAUAUCUUGUCAAGAUAAAGAACGAACUAAACUAAUAGAUCUAAUCUCUAAUCCCUAACUAUGAACUUUCUGAGGAAUUACCUGAAUCAAAGACACGACCUUAUUAUAUAUUGGUGGUGCAAUUAUGGGGUUCGAAUCAUAUGAACUCUUACUCAACUCAGUGUUAAAUACUACUAUCAAAAUAACGUAAUAUUAUUCAAUAAUUGUAUGAUAUCCCAUUUAAGAAAGAAAUUUCAUUUUAAGAGAAAAAAAAACAAAAAAAUUGAUACUCUAAGUUUAUGCUUAAUAAUACUUUUUUAGAACUAAACUUUAAUAAAACUUGACUAUGCUUUUUUAUAAAGUUGAUCAUGUUUUAUUUACGAAUAUAUAUAUUCUUUCUUUCGGAAAAUAUGCAUCAUGAUGUUAAAAUAUAUUAAAUUUUUCUUAAACAAUCACUUGAAGAAAAAUAUGUUCUUGAAACUUUCUAAAAUAAUGCACUUCAAUCAAAAUAUACUUUCUUGAACUUUUACUUGAAAGACUUCUUUAAAAUUUUGAAGCUUACUUUACUCAUGAAAACAAUACAUACAAAUGACCAUGACAAGGUUUUCAAAUAACUUUUAGCUAGAAAGGGUCCAUUAGCAAAAUCAGCAUGAACCAUAAAUCGAAGAUCAUAAACUAUAUAAAGUACUAUAAUUUCAAUAGUUAAAUCAAGAAUCAAUUCAAUACACAAAUACAGCAAUUUGAAAAUCACAAACUUUGGGGUAAAAACUUAGCUUUGAUCAUACUAACUGAAAUUGUAGAUACAGGGCGUGGAGAAGAAUUUAGUUCCCCACUAUGAUAGUCUUACUUAACUUAAAUGCUUCACAAAAAUCUGGAAGAAGAACCUUAACCGGAUGAAGAGUCUUUUCUUGAAAUUCUUGGGUUCAUUUUUUGAAAAUCCCAUGUUUUUUAUGGUAGAUUCUUGCUUAGGAUACAUAACUAGAAGUCAAAAUCACUAAAAAUUGUGAGAGUGUGCUUAUCUUGAUUCUCAAGGAAUAAUUCGUGAUGUUUUUUCUCCAAAAUUCAAUUCUAGGAAUUCUCAAAUCCUAGAAUUGAAUUUUUUAUAUUCACUAAAUAUAUAAAGAGAAUUUGAUGUUUGAAUCUUAUUGAAAUUUUUGAAUUUAUGUUUUAAGAUCAUAGAAAGUACUUACCGUGACUUAAUAGGGUUUAAGCGAGCUCUUGGGAGCUGUUGGGAUAGACCAAAUAGUAAAAAGUGUGGAAAAAACCUCAAAAUAUUGUUCUUGUGAAAUCUUAAAACACUGAUAUACAACUAAUAUAUAUGAUAUACAUGGGCCUGUAGAAUGAUACACAACUCAUGGAUUGGUUGUUUCUUGGAAUAUAUACGAGAACUUUAAGUUCAAUUGCAUGAGCUAGAACCACUUGCUCCUUGCAUUCUUUUAAAGUUCAUCAUGCACCAAACAUGCCCCAGAGAAUGUCUUCCUCAAAAGUGGUCGUACCCAUGUUGGCAUACUCUUGUUGGGUUUAAGUUCUCCCUACAAAUAUAAUCAUUAUAAUAAAAUAGAUUGUGAUAUUUUCAGUUGAUCUGAUUGAAAGCAAAUAGUUUUUCUCACGUUACAAAAUAUAGUAAUUUUACCUAAAGUAAUAUCAUCAUCAAGUAUUUAUAGUACAAGAAAAGGAAUAAUGUACAAGUACCCCUUCAACUUAUGUCCGUCUAUUGAGGUUCUAUUAUCCCCUGAACUUAUUUUAUUAAUAAUUUUCUAUCCCUUUUCAGCCUACGGGGCACUAUCUUGUGGUCAAACGCUGGUUGACUUUUUUUUCAAGCUAGUGCAACAUAGAUCGAAAAGGGGUAGAAAAUUAUUUAUAAAAUAAGUUCAGGGGGAUAAUAGGACCUUAUUAUUAUAGUAUAAGUGUGUCUCUUAGAUUUCGGACAUAGAUUGAGGGGGUACUUGUACAUUUUGGCACAAGAAAAUAAAAAUACUUAUCAGGCUAAGUAUCUCUUGAAAUACUCUUUCUCAUUUAUUUGUUUUUACCUGAAGUAAUAUCUUCAUCAAGUAUAUAUUUUGUGACAAUUCUUUUGUUGUCACUAAAUCAUAGAUUGAUUAGAGAAAAUAAAAUAUUUGUCACCAAUUAUUUAUAUUACUAGUAAAAUUACCCGCGCUUCGCGUGAAAAUUUAAUAUCAGAGAAUUUAUAAAAUAAUAUUAUAAAUAUAUCAGUUAUAUCAAAAAGAAAACACUAUGUUAUCUCACAUACAAGAUUACGUGGUAACAAAAAUUAAUAAUGUAAAGUAAAAUGAAAUUUGUUAUAUCUUAUCAUUUAUCCUUAAUAACAUAAGCACAAAUUAAUGACUGUAAAAAAAUAUACCAAAAUCUGUAACAUCAGCAAUGGCGUCAAUGAGCUACUUAACAGGAACAAAGUACAUAAAAAAUUAGUUGUGACGAAGCAGAAGAGGUUUAGAAUUUUCAUUGUUAUAAAAUGAGAGGAAAUCCCUCUAUUUAUAGACAACAAAGGCUAGUACACAAAUAUUUAUCGUACCUUAGCAGAAAUAUUACAACUAUUUGGAAAAGUUGCAAUCUUUCGAAAAGGUCAUAACCUUUCAUAAAAAGUCACAACUUUUCAUAAAAGUCGCAACUUUUCAUUAAAGUCGCAACUUUUCAUUAGAGUAGCAACUUUUCACUAAAGUCGCAACUCUACAUAAACUUUUUGUAAAAGUCACAACUCUUCGUUGAAGUCACAACUCUGCAUAAAAAUCACAACUUUUCAUAAGGGUCACGAUUUUUCAUGAAAGGGAAAGGCUAGUUUUGAAAAUAAAUAAAUUCAAAAAAAAAUUUAAUUUUUGAUGGCGCCACAUAGGCGAGUCUAAGUUUUCCUUUAUAUAUAUAUAUAUAUAUAUAUAUAUAUAUAUAUAUGAUAUAUGAUAUAUGAUAUAUGAUUAGUGACGAAAUAAGUGUCAUAAAUAUAUAUAAAUUUUCAUAGCUAAAAUUUAUAAUAUUUAACUACAAACUCUAAUUUGUCGAUAUUAUAACAACGUAUAUUUUUAGAUGAAUUUUUUAUAUCCAAAACUUAAUUAUUAUAAGACAAAAAAUAUUUUUUUCAUAAAUUAGAUACAUUAUCAGUGACGAAAUAAUGUGUCACUAUAACUUCAAAUUUGUGACUAACACUUCCUAACAAAUGUCGCCAAUUAAUUUUUUGGUGGGAAACUUCAGCGGACAAAACUUUGCUACGAAUUUUUAUAUUUCGUCACUAAAAGUAUGUGUUUCAUAUAUUUAAGCACGAAAAGUAAAUUUUGUCACUAAAAGAAAAUAUUUAGUGACGAAUUUGAUGUCGUAGUUUGUCAUAAAUUACAUACACUAUUAGUGACGAAAUAAUGUAUCACCGAUAAUUUUAAAUUCGUGACUAAAAUUACUUAAAAAAUGGCGCCAAAUAAUUUAUUAGUGGGAAACUUUAGUGGACAAAAAUUUUCUACGAAUUUUUAUGUUUCGUUACUAAAAGUAUGUGUCUCAUAUAUUUAAGUACGAAAAGUAAAUUUUGUCACUAAAAGAGAAUAAUUAGUGAUGAAUUUGAUGACGUAACUAAUAAUUCAUAAGUAUAUAUCAUAUUUAUUGUAGUGUAUGGCUGCGAAGGUGGUAGAUACUCCGACGGUGAUGGACGAGACAAUGGUAGUUGUGGUUGUGGUGGUGGAGGCUGCUACAAGUGUGGUGAGUACAAUCGUUAUGCAUGUGAAUCCACCAAUGGUGGUCAUUGAUUGUGACUUUAAGUCUGACUGCUACUAAAAAAAUUAAUCAAAGGAAUUUUUGUAUAUAGAGAGAGUCAUUGAGUGAAAAAGAAAAGAAGAGAAGUGUGAUUUGUAUAGUUAUUUUUCAAAAGGAUACAUUUAAUUUUGUCCACUAAUUAUUCAUUACAUUUGAAAAAAUAAUUAUUGACUAAUAAUAAUAUAGUCAAUACUCUUAAGAUCCGUGAAUUUUGACUAGGAAAAUUUUCUUAAGGUCCAAUAAGUAAUUUACUUAUCAAAAAGAAUAUUUCAUUAGUCAUAAGUUUAUAAUCAACCAAUAAUAUUCUCAAGUAAGUGAAUCACUAAAAGGGAAUUUAUUAGUUCAGUUACAACUUGUAGUAUCUUUGAAUAUAAUAAUUUUUUUAACAAAAUAAGUAAAGAUGACAUGUGUUGUAAAUAUAUAAUUACCUUGUACCUUCAAUUUCUCCUUUCUUCAUUAAUUUUUUUCAAUUUCUUGCUUGAAUUAUUGAUUUAUUACAUAAAUCAGAUCUAAUGACUAAGAUAUAAUUUAUCAAAGUACAUAUUUAAUCAUAAUUUAUAUAAUAAAUAUAUUACAUGUAAGGAAAAAAAAUAGUUCUCUUCCUUUUUGUUUAUCUUUCACGCAAAAUAUUAAUCUUUCAUUCUUAUUUUACAUUAAUCUUUUAUCGCAUUUUUAUUUGAGACUUUUUGUUUAAUAUUUGUUGUAUUUAAUAUACCUAGGAACAUGGGCUCCGUUUGAAAAAUAAAUAAAUUAUGGAAAAAAAAAUUUGGCCAGAAAAGUUUGUUCAUAAUUUGGCUAUAAUAGUAAAAGCACAUGUUCACACUAUGAACUAGUUUGUUUUUGAAUAUUUUUACACUUUAACUCAAAUAAAGAAUAUUCUUCAAUUAUAUUUCCAAUGCAUUGGAAAUGAUUGAUGAGAUUAAUUAUUUAUGAUUCUAUUUUUAAAUAUUAAAAAUGAACCACAAAAUAUAUCAAUCAAAAACAUCAUAAGUAUCAGCCACCCUUCUCUCUUGAAAUUUUCAAUAUCUAAAAAAUUAUUUUACCAAAAAUAUUAAAAUUAUAAGCGUAGUAAAAAACUAUAUAACCAAAAAAAUGUAAACAACUAUAGUAUCUCUGUUUUAGUUUCAAAAAUUCCUCCUAUUUACUUUUUUUUACAAAAAAUUAUUUAUUUUCUAUUUCUGAUGCCUUAUGAUAAAAAAGGAAUAUUUUAAAAGUAUAAAAAGAGGAAUAAAGUGUAGAUGAUCUAUUUUACUUUAUAUUUUCUAAUCUAAAAAAAUAUAUUAUAUCUAAAUUUUAAUAUUAAAAUUUUUACUUAAAAUUAAUAAUCUAAAAUUAAUCGAGUUGGCAAAAGAAUUACUUCUAUUUAUUUGAAGGAGUUGUUAUUAGAUAUCAAAUUUUUAGAAAGAAGUUAAAUAAUAAAAGUAGAGUAUAUUUUAUUAGAUUAUACUUAGAAUGUAUGUGAGUGAAAUAUGAAGAAAACUGAAACUACAAUAAUAUGUCUCGUAUUAUGUAUUUGUCUUCAUAUCUCAAUCUAAGAUGAAUCAUAUCAUAAUAAAGACUCAUCAAAAUUAGUAGUUUUUUUUAUUUGAGUAGUAGAGAUGCAUACAAAUAUUAUUUGGAUAAAAGUGUUGAUGGAGCUUCAUUGAAAAGUUAUAUAACAUCGAAAGAAUAUAGGAAAAUCUUUAUAAUUUCAAAAUAAUCUUUUCUAAAACUAAAUUGAAAGAAAAACAUCUUUAUAGUUCUCCGAUGAUAAUGACAUUACCGAUACUUAAAUAAGCUCUAAUUAAAUAAUCUGAUUAAUUAUUGUGUAAACAAAUGUAAAUUAUAUAUUAUUAUUUUUAAUAUAAUCUGAAAAAUAUUACAAUAAAGACAGUCUAAACUCAAAAUGCUUUUAAUAUAUUAUACAAAUCAUAAAAUUCAUAUAACUUAUGAGUAUCAAUCCUAAUUAAUUACACUAAACAUUUUUAUAUAAUAUAUAUUCAAUCAAAAAUAGACCCUCUAUAUUUUGAAUCAAACAUUCACGUCCUCUAUAUUACAAAAAUCAUAAAAAAAUUUAUCCACCAAUAAUGUUAUUUCUAAUUUCCUAACAACAUAUAUAAAUAUUGUAUAAUAUGAAUGUUCUACAUAAAUGAAAUUCUAUCUAACUAAUUAUAUAUACAUAAUUCUAAAGCAAGAAAAUAAAUAAAAAGAAAUUAUGCAUAAUAAAUAUUGCAUUUAAAUAAAAUUAUAAAUAAAGUACGUAUUUAUAAAUUACACAAUUGAAACAAUAUUUCAUAAAGGUUUUUAUUUUUUAUUUUUGUUGAAAGUGAAGUGAAGUCAAAAGGAUUUUAUAUUUGUAAAACUUUUAUUUGUUUGAAACAAGAAAACCCAUUUGAACAUAAGAAGAGAUUGAAAACUUUUAUCAAAACUAAAGCAUGAGAAGUAGUAAAAGCAAAAUAAAGCAAAAGACGGUGGUAAAUUAUAUCUAAAAUGCAAAGUAACUGAUUCGAAGAGUAAGGCAGACUGAGUUAUGUUGUUUAACAAAUUCUAAGCGAUUCGAGAGAAUUAAUUGUCACUAGAAUUCUGAAAACAUUAAACGUCGUACACAACAAGUAACAAAUGUAAAUUACAAUAGGUAGUUAAGAGUAAAUAAAAGAACAUUAAAGAUACGCAAAACUUAUUUAACAAAAAUUACUAAUAGAGAAAUGAAUGUAUGUCUCUUCCUCGCUUCUUAACUUAGACAAAUUUUCCAGAUUUUUCCUUUCUUUCCAAAAAUGAAUAUUUUUAAUGUUUUAGUUUAUUCUUAGCUAUUUCAAAUUGUGAUAUGUUAUACAACUCAACAACAAUACUAUAACAAUUACAUAUCCUCAACAACAAGCUAUUCAUCAAUCAAAGUUUCACAGAAAGGCACUCACAAGAUCAGUAAAACACAAUAUCAAUUUCUCUAAUGAUAAAUAUGUGCAAUGUAAUGGAAUGCAAAUCAAAUUUAGUGAUGCAUGUCUCACAUAGUGAUACACACCCGUUGUCUCUCAUUCUGAGACCCAUGAGGGAUAUAUCUGUACAUGCAUCUAUCGUGGCACGCGAUACGAUCCUCGAUAAUAAUAAUCACUGCAGCGCAUUAUACGUCCUUUGAAAUAUAGUAUCCAUCACAUCUCGUGAUACAUCCCUCGAAAUGGUAAAACCUCUUUAAUUUCUAUUCUUUAUCAAUUCACAUAACAUUUAUCACAACCAUGUCCUUGAACAAUGCAAAUGACAAAUUCACACAAAUAAUGAGGAUAUGACCAUUUUCAUAACAUUGCAAAAUUCACAACAACACAAUCAUGAUACAACAUAAAGAAUGAUUCAACAAGCCUUUCAAGCUUUUCUCAAUACAUCGCACACAAAUAAUUAAUCACAUUGCUUUUUAUUAUCCAUUUUUCAUCAUUAGAAUUAAUCAAUGUGGACAAGUCAACCAUCGCCAAGUUUCAUUAUCCCCAAAUACAUAUUAUAAGGAAAUACCCGAGUCCCAUACACUUAACAAGGGUUUAGAAAUUCACUUGUCUCAAUCAUUCAAUCCACUCCGAGACUUGAGUCUUCCCCUUUCGUUGAACUUCCAACUCAAAACAAUCUAUUCAAAUAAAUUACCACUAUAAGAUUUAAAACUAACAACAUCAUAUUACUAUGUGUCUAGUUUAGAAUAAAGAACUUAUCCAAUCUAAAAUUACUUUAUCUAGUCUUGAUGCUAAUUAACAUGUCAACUCUUUCAAUUUUUGUUCAGUUUUCAAGUCUAGGGUUAUGUACUAGUUUCUCUGGAAAUAACACAAGUCUAAAGUUAUUCACAAAGUAUAAUACAUUUAAUAUAUAAUUAUCUAUCUCAAUAUAUCAAAACUUGAAUUACAUGUGAUGCCGCCAGUUUCCUUGCUUUUAUUUCCUCUUAAAGUUAGGAUCUAAAAUUGUUAACCCCUAUCAUUUAUAUUAAUAAAUAUGGGUCAAGUGGUAUAGGGUUUUAAAUGAAUUUCAGACUUUACCCACUUGCUUUUAUUUCCUCUUAAAGUUAGGAUCUAAAAUUGUUAACCCCUAUUAUUUAUAUUAAUAAAUAUGGGUCAAGUGGUAUAGGGUUUUAAAUGAAUUUCAGACUUUACCCAUUAUUAUCAACUAAAUAAAUGUAUAUCAUUUAAGAAAUUGUAGUUAUCAAAUACUUUAAAAUUCUUAAAUCAACAUCGCCAAUUAAUAUAAAUACGAAAAAGGCUCAAAAAUAUCCCUAAACUAUUCGAAAUAACUCAAAGUUACCAUUAAACUAUAUUUCGGCUAAAAACUACCUUUUCCGUCAUACUAUUGGGUCAAAAGUAUCCUGUUUAUUAACGGAAGUUGUUAAAUGCCAUGUGGAUGUCAUAUGGAUACCACAUUGCAUGCAAAUAGGGUUCAAAUGCCACAUAGGCUAAACAGAAAAGGGUCAAAAAUACCCUUAAACUAUCCAAAAUAGCUCAAAUAUACCCUUAAAGUAUAUUUCGGCUAAAAAUUACCCUUCCUAUCAAACUAUUGGGUCAAAAGUACUCUUAUUAGUAACACAAGUUGUUAAAUUUCAUGUGGAUUCCACAUUGCAUGCCAAUAAGGUUCCACUGCCAUAUAGACUAAAUUUCUAAAUUCUAAUUACUCUCCCCCCCACCUCAUUUCAUUAUUUUUCUGAAAUGAUUCACCCGUUCUCCAUUAUUUCGCGGCUAGGGUUUCACAAUUUUCUCGUGGCUGGGUUUCAAAGUGGAUAUUCAUGGUUGUAGGUUAGUAAAUCUUUGUUCUUACUUUAUUAUGUUUACUAUUUCAAAGCAUGAUAGUCAGGAUUUCACAUCUUUUCCCUUAUUUCACGGCUAGGGUUUCGUAGCUUUCUUCGAGGCUAAGUUUCAAAGUGGAUAUUCAUGGUAGUUGGUUAGUAAAUAUUUUUUCUUAUUUUAUUAUGUUUACGAUUUCAAAGUAUGAUAGUUAGUAUUUCACAACUUUUCCCUCAUUUCGAGGCUAACGUUUCAUGACUUUUUUCGGAGCUGAGUUUCAAAGUGUAUUUUCGUGGUUGUAAGCACAAUAAAAGAAGAAAAAAGUUUUACUAACAUACAACCACAAAUAUUUACUUAUAAACCCAGUGACGAAGAAAACUAUGAAACCUUAGUCGCAAAAUGAGGGAGAAGGGGGUGAAAUCUUUUAUGCAAAAUAAUGAAAUGAGGGGAAAACGAGUAAUUAAGAUUUAGGGAUUUAGUCAAUGUGGAAGUGGAACCCUAUUGGCGUUCAAUGUGGAAUCCAUGUGGCAUUUAACAACUCUAAUAAGAAGGUCACUUUUGACCCAAUAGUAUGAGGGAAAGGGUAAUUUUGAGCCGAAAUAUCGUUUAAGUGUAUAUAUGAGCUAUUUCUGAUAGUUUAAGGGUAAUUUUAACCCUUUUUCCUUUUUGCCUAUGUGGCAGUGGAACUCUAUUAGCGUGCCAUGUGACAUCUAUAUGGCGUCCCCAUAAUUUCGUUAAUAAGAAGGGCCCAAUAGUUUGACGAGAAGGGUAGUUUUGAGUCGAAAUAUAGUUUAAGGGUAUAUAUGAACUAUUUCAGAUAGUUUAAGGGUAUUUUAACCCUUUUCCGUAUAAAAUAACUAGGGGAAACUAUUGCGAGGGGUAGAAUCGUAAUUCUAUGAAGAUUUCUAAAAUAUGACCUUUUCAGGUCAUUACGUUAUCCACCACUAAAGAUCAUGUUCGUUCUCGAACAUAAGUAAGAGAAAAGAAAGGAUAACCGAUGUUAAUAAAAAGUUGAGUUAUGACCUAUUAGUCAGUGUACAUCUCUCUAAGUGAGUUCUUCAUCGAGACAAUUCCUUCAAGAUCAACUUCUAAUAACUGCACUUUUGAAUCAAGCUUUGACAGACCUACAAAUCAGGAGCUAUUACCAAACCAGACACUAUCACAUGAAUUAAUUAUGAUUAAAACCCCUGGACCAUAACACCAUCAAGACAAAUCUUUCCUCACAUAACCAAUAUGACAUUCUGAAUUAAUACCGGCUACAACCAAAAGUAAUCUUGAACUAACCACCACAUACUCAUAAUGCAUAAACCAUCGGAUAUCUUAUCAAGUUUCUUUUUUCACAACUUAACUUUUCCGCAAGCUUAAGCUAUAAAAAUAUGAUCUUCAGAUAUUGGGUACUCAUCAAGGGAGAAUUAAAUUUAUCUUACCCAAGGAAGAACAAGAUCAAGUAACCACCCAACAAGAGGUACACCCAAGAUGCAGAACCUUCAACAACGUUGUUGAAUAACAUAAUCAUUCAUACAAGCUCUUCUAUAAGUUCUCAUAAGCAAGGUCGUGUGUAUUACUACUACUAGACAUGUACACGUGCGUUGCACGUGUAAGCCAUGCUAACUUAUAAUAUUCUUUCUCGAGAUACAUUUAUGACCUUUAUAUAUAUACUUGUAUAGAUAUUAUAUUGCUUUUACCAAUGAGUAGACAUCAACGUUAAUGUGACAAUUGUAUCUUGUAAGAUAAAAUACGGGCAACAUAUUAUGUAAUGAAUAUAAUAAAAUAUUCAAAUAGAGUUACAUCUUCAUCGACGAAUAUAAGUUGCCAAUCAAUAUCCUUAUCGUUAGCAUUUCUAUACUCUUCUGUUAAGCUCCGUAGAAUGACUAAUACUUAAGUCACCCAUGAUUUUGCAUAUUUCUUCAACUGGCUAAUAGGUAGGCAUUGAUUCUCGAGCUCUUCCACAGUUAUCAUUGUAAGGUUGUAGUAGUUAGGAUGUACUAAUACAUUACAGAUUUGUGUCGUAAAUGUUAAUUUUUUUGUGUCUAAUUGGUGUUCUUUUGGUCGAACAAUAAAGAUGCUGAAGAAUAUAAUAUUCACUAGACAUGCUAAUUCUUCUUUUUUUACUUUUAAAAUCAAGCAACUUCAACUAAUAAUAGUAUAAAUUUCAUGUUAAUUGAAGCAAAUAUAUUCAAGUUGGAUAAACAUUACCAAUUUUAAAGGUGUUGAAAGGAAGAAACCUAUUAAAAGUAUUACAACGCUAAGAGAUAGUAAAUGUACUUAAAAAAUGGACUAGAUUCUCUAAAUCAUUUCACUUUUCUUUUCUUUCUAAUCAAGAUUUUUUUUUCAUUCACAUUUUUGUGCUUUGUAUUUUUUUUGGUAGAACGCAUAUGAGGAAAAAUAAAAAAAAUGAAGAAAGGUGUGUUUGAGUUUUAUAGUGCGUGUAAAUUCACCACUUUUGUGUUGAUUUGUCUUUGGUUUAUUUCCAGAUCUGUUAGCUAUAAAAAUCUCAUCUUGUUUCAUUUCAAGAUUACCCGUUUUGUUCAUUAGCUUGGAGUUAUGAGUAAAGAAGAUUUCUAGAAGAUCCAGGUACUUGUUAUUUCCUCAAUUGGGUCAUCCCAUUAAUGUGUGUGUAUAAAAUUGUUUUUUGGGGGGUUGCUUGAGUUUCCAUUUUAUGAAGUAAUGAGUAUCUGUUUGAAUGAAAGAUCAAAACGUGUUAUGAGUUUAUUCACUUUUGUAUGUGUUUUGUCUUGUACAGUUUGACUGGGUUUGCUUGUGCAUGCAGACUCGUGUCCUUAAAUUCAAUAUACAUUGUGAUGGGUGUAAGCAUAAAGUAAAGAAAAUUCUGCAAAAGAUUGAAGAUAUUUUUCCAAGACUCAAUUUUUUAUUAUCUGAAUAUCCAAAUAUGAUUUAAUAUAUGACUUUUUUUAUUCUUUGUUGGGAUUGUUUUAAAAUGAUUUUAAUAUCCAGGGGUUUAUAAGACAUGCAUGCAUGUCCUAAAUUGACUAAUAUGUUAUUCACAAAUGCUUAGAUAUAAAAGCUCCUGAAAAACAGCUAUCAAGGAGACAAGUUCUUCUACUGAACUGUAUAUAGUCAAAAAUCAUUAGAUAUUUAAAACAUAAGACAUUUACCAUCAAAAAUAAAUAUCGGAGAAACAUUUCACAACUACCAUCAAUACUUUAAUUGAGGUGAUCCUAAUUUCAAGAAUCUAACGGCGUAAAUAUAUUUUCAAUUAGCUUUAAAACAGAGUAAAAGCAUAGAGUCAAGGUGAGGAGAGUAGAUUAACCUUAAUAAAACGACCACACAUAUUCUCCUCUCCAGCAAAGUAAAUCACCUGCAACAUGUAAAAAAACCAAAAAAAAGGACAUAAAAUUUCACUUUCACUAAAACAACAAAACUACAACAGUGCAAAUAUAAUGAUAGAACACAGAAGAAUUUGUUGUAUGAUUGACCAAGAUACUUUUUUUGAAUGGUGAAUAAAAAUAAAAAAUAAAAUUGCAAAUCAAUGAUUGAUAUUGUAGCCUGCAAAAUACAUAUUAAUAUCUACUUCCGAGUCGGGAGCAAAACUACCAAAUAAGAAGGAGGGCAUUCCUCAGCAGAUUUUGACCCAUAAAUUUAAGAUAUUUGAUAAACAAGUUAGUGUAUUGAAUGCAAGAUAAAGGCAACACAUGAGAAUGAAUACAAAUAUUUCUACGUUCGCAUAAGAAGAUGCAACAACAUGUUGGAAUAUAAAUAUAGCAAACUGUUGUUGUUACACUUGCUUCCACAUCUCUAAAAUCAUUCUGUAGAAUUUAAUAUUUAAUACAACUGUUACACUGAUCGAGGGAGGUAGAGGAUAACCUUUACGUUUUUACAGAAUUUAAUUACGGUCAAAUUUAUUUUUUUAAUAAAUUAAUAUUUAACUAAUAAAAUUAAUACUUAACUAAUAAAUUAAUAAGUAACUAAUACUAUAGGGUCAAAAUGGUAAAUUAACUUUGGGAUUAAGUUCUUCCCACUUAUAAUAAUAUAUAAUAAAAAAACCAAAUCUUUCAUAAUACAAAUGAUAAAGUCCGCCCAAGGAUCGUACCGUAUCAAGAGGAAAUAAGAGAAUUAGUGUUACAACCGGGAAUAUUUUUGAGCUAACACUUGAAUUGUUCUUCUUAGUGAGUAAUAUUUUACCAAGUAAUUAAAAAUUUAUCAAGUAUUAAGGUCACUAGAUGUAGCACCUUUAGUUCUAGAACUAACUUCGAAAUAGAAAAAUUUGAAAUUCUCGAGGUUUAAGCUAAGUAUGAGUUUUUGGUCUACUUCAAAUGACCAUAACCCCUAUCACAAGACGAGUUAGGUGUGCUGUAAUAUAACAUGGGAAAUAUCUUUGGAUUAUUUUUUUUAUCCAAUCAAAUAUAAUUCAUUUUAAGAAAGGUUUUAAGGGUCUAAUACUAUUAGGUUCAAUUUUAUAAUCCUUAUAUACACCUAGGUUUUAGUUGAGAGUUCAAGAAGAGAAAAGAGAAGAAAGAGGAUAGGUCAAGUAUUCGUCGCGAGUCUAGUCUUAUGUUGUAGAUUUUCGUCAUGACUUCAAUCCCUAAGAGGUAUGUAAGCUUCCAUGGUGUUGGGUUUGUUCACCCAGGCAAAACAUGUUAAUUUCAGUGUAAUUUCAUUCUCAAAAUGUUAAAUGAUUUAAGUUCUUAAUAGGUGUUCUUGAGAUUCAUUAUAAAUCUUAUCUUGUUGGGUUUGUUCACCCAUACGCGAAACAUGUUAGUUUCAAUGUAAUUUAAUUCUCAAAAAGAUGAAUCAUUUAAGUUCUUGAUAGGUGUUCUUGAUAUUCAUUAUAAAUCUUAUCUUGUUGGGGUUUUGAUGAUCUGUUGAGAUGAAAAUGAUUGUUUUGAGUGAACUUUUAGUGUAUUAUCGUGUACUUAGAUUGGGAAAUUGAAUCUAAAAGAAAAUUUUAGAAAAGAAAUCGAUUAAAAAAAAUUUAGGGUCAGAAAACGAGAGGUGAAAAUUGUCGAAAGCUUACCUGGGGAAAUACUGCCCUGGCACACCCCAGAUGCGCCGAAAGGGAUGGGAAAGCGCGCCGGCAGUGUGCCCAAAUGAUGUCUCUGAAGUUAGGGGCUAUCGCCCUGCACCUGGAACACACAGUGUCGCUUGUCCCCGUUUAUUUUCCGUCGAUUGUCCCGUUUGAGCUCACUCAAAGUGCAUCUUCACUCCUUUUGAUUCUAAACACUUUAAACUACUUCUAAACACUUAUAAAUCACUCAUAACAUUAAUCAUAACCUUUAAUUAAUAAUUCAAGUUCAAGUUAAAGUUAGUAUGAAGUUUUUAGAAUUCUUCGAAACCUUUUGAGAGAGUCCCUGUGAGUCUUUCUGUGGAGUCUUCUACAACAUCUAGUAAAUUAUUUAAAGACUCGAGCAAGUGAGUAUGAGGAUGAAAAGAAUUUAUUCAUGAGUCUACUAUUUUAUCAUGAGAUCCUUCAUAUCACGAAUCGUAACUCUUGAUUUUCAUAUUGAAAAAAGAGUUAAGAGUAGAGUUCAAGAAAUCUUUUGAGUUUAAUUGUGAAUUCUUUGAGAUCAACUAUUAAUUUGAACUAAGAUUUGAGUAAGUAAGUAUGAGAAUGAGAAGAUUGGUAUGCAUGAGUUAACCUUUGAGUCAAGUCGUUCAUGCUCAUAACUUUCGUAUGAACCCCAUUGGUUGAGUACAUUUGAGAUGAGUAGUAUGUUCAAGUUCUAAGUCUUGAGUAUUGAGUUCCUUAUCUUCUUUGUGAUUAUAUUUCUAAUCAUGAAAAUAUUACAUGUUACCCAUGAAGUCCUUGAGUUGAAUUUUCAUGCCCAUAAUUCCGCAUGAACCCUAUAAAUCAAACAAUCUUGAGAUGAGGAGUACCUUUGAGUUCUCAAGUUGAGUAGUCCAUGCUCAUAAUUUUGCAUGAAUCCUCCAAGUUAAAAAUCAUGAAAUCAUCCAUAAUCAUGUGAUCAUGAACCUUUAAUUAAUACUUCAAUUCAAGGAGUUCUUAGAGUCAAGUUUAGAAAUUAAGAAACAAGUCAAAAAAAGUUUGUAAAGAUCUCAAAAGUCUUUUACAAACGUUUUAAGUUUGUUUAAGACUAAAAGUUUCAAGUCAAGCUAAGAGUAAAGAGUUGUGUUCACUUCUCAAAAAUAUAUAGGGAACUCGUAUUCCCAAAGAAUUUAUAAAUGUUUUCACAUUUAAGAUAAGAGAAAACUAAGAUUUUCAAAAGAGUUUUGAGCAAGAAAAGGGAGAAAAAAUUCCAAAAGAGCUUUUAGUCUAAGUGUUGAGAAAUUAUCUUAACUUAAAGAAAGAAGUUGUUUUAAAAACACAUGAGCUAAGUAUAUUUUUAGGAGUAGUAUAGAGCACCGAUAUGGGGAUGAGAGUUCAUAAUAACUCAAGACUCCAUAAAUUAUGUAGUCAUCAUAGAUAUUAAUGGGUCAUACUUUUUAAAUGAUCACAUAAGUGAAGCUAGUAGAUCCGCUAAGUUAAGAGUUCUAUAUGACGGCAAAGUAUAGAACAGUUCUGGCAGCGUGGGAAAGACGUUGUAUCACCACUUAGGCUCAUAGUGGUGGUUGUCGCUUAAAGAAUCUCCCACAGAAACUAUAUUAAUUUAAUAUAUGAGUAAAGAAGAGUUUGUUAUUGCAUUUUCUUUAACGAACUAUGUUAUUUUUAAUGUUUUAUAAAGCUUUCUAUAUAUUGCAUGUGUAUUCUUUCUUUAUAUUAAGUUGACUAUCUAGUGUUGAGUACACAAAGUCGAAUAUCUUAAAUUUGACUUGAGUAUCUAUUCUUUAAGUUGAACAUUUAAUAUUUGAGUUGAGUAUCUUGUCCUUGAGAGUACUUCUGAGUUGAAUAAGUCUGACUGGUUUCCAGUCUCCUUAAGUAUUUCUUAAGUUGAGUAAGUUCCAAAAGUAUAAGUACGUUUCCAUUUCUAACAACUUCAAGCUUAUGUUAUGCUUUAGAUUCCCCUUACAUAUUAAUACAUUCCAGGGGCUGAGCCAUUUGGCUUGUAUCUUUUGAUGAUGUAGACAUAGGUAAUGAGGAUCAUCAACGGGAGUUAGUUGAUACAUCUGAGAGUUUGAGUUAGCUAUGGUGAGCCUCCUUACUUUCGAGGGAUUUCCUUCACUUUUCAGUUUAGUCAGGAUGUCGUGGGUCUUAUCCCGACUUCCAUCCUUAUCAGUUAGAAGCUUUAUAGAUAGUCUGUAUAGUUCAGGAGUCUGUAUUUUUCAUUUAUUUUAUUAAUUUUUUGAAGACUUAAGUUGCCUAUUAUAUGGCGAGUUGAAUACAUUAUUUUACUCGAAGUUAUUCAUUUGAAUUAAAGAUUUGUAUUUCGAUUUAACUAAUUUUUUUCAGUUUUUAAGCUUUUGUAUGCUUAAGUUAGUCUUCCUCUUGUAGUUAGGAAGGAUGAGGGUUCGCUUAGGACCAGAAAUGGUCUUCAAGUGUCGGUCAUGUCCAGGGUGUAAACUCAAGUCGUGACAAUUGGUAUAUCCGAUCCACCAGUAGGGAUUUAACCAUAGAUGUAGAAAUGCGUGUAGCAUAAAUAGUGAAUCACACUGCAAAGAAUGUCCUGUAGAAAAAGGUGGUUCCAUAAGAAUAUACUAAAGUAAGGUAGAAUAACACAAGAUACUCCUUUCAUAGUACUCAUAUCAAACAUUUUCAUUCAUCUUACUCCAUCUCCUUGAUUUUUAGCCAUCAACAAUCAAUCAUUUUGGUCUUUAUUGAAAUCAUUCAUAUACUUUUAUUAUGAAAACCCUACACACUGUCACAAUAUUCCAUUAAAGCUAAAAAUGUUAUUACAAACAAACAUCAUAACCACACCAUCCAUUUACCUUACUCUAAAACCUUCAUGAGUAUCAAAGUCUUCUUAUCAAACAAAUUGUAACCUUAAAAAUGAACUAUUGCUCCAUCUCUUUCCAUUUAAGCAUACCAUGAUAGGCACGGGUCCCACUUGAGGCUGAUAGAACUAAUUUCAAAUCUAACUGUACUCUUCCAUCGAGAUAAAGUUAUUAAAUCACACACAAUAUCGACUCCACAUGAUCUUUCACAUACAAAAUUCCAACUAAUUAACAUUCCAACCUCAUAUAUCGAAUGCCAAAACCUACAAGAAAUUCUAGGUCACUCAAACAAUUUUGUAUACUAUAAGAUCAUAAUCUUUACUCACUAUCAAAUGCAUAACCGUCUGUAUUAUCUCCUGAAAAAAGUAGUUUCAUUUCCCUCGAUAUAUUCAUUAACCAUGUUGAACCGUCAAUCCGCACCAUUAUAUAUCCAUAAGUUACCUAUCAUAAGUUUAACAAUCUAGUUCGGCAUAACCACAUAUAAUCAUUCCAUCAUUACUUGUCCGCUAAAUCAAAAGUAAAUCUUUAUAGAAGUCAAACUAUACCGAAUCAAUUCACAUUCAUAGUCAUAUUAUAACUUAUAUAUGAAAAUCCAUGCACCUUCAACUUCGAACCAAGAGUCUAUAUGAGAGGUCUUAUCCCUUAACAUAUCUUAAUUCUGCCCAUGACACAAAUUUUAAAUACCUUAACCUCUUCAAUAUACCUGAUUUUUUUUCUUUUCACUGACUUUCUUACCAUCAUUUGACCAACAACUCAUGAUAUUUUUACCUUAUCCUCUAAACCAAAACAUUACGUGGAACCCCUCUUAGGUAGAACAAUCAAAAGUAACCCAAUUCAUGAUAUUUUUACCUUAUCCUCUAAACCAAAACAUUACGUGAAACCCCUCUUAGAUAGAACAAUCAAAAGUAACCCAAUUUAGGAUUCAAAUUAUUUUUUAAAGUCCUUCCAAAUGCUUCAUACUCAAUAUAAUCCAUCAUUUCUUAUCUUACCAAUCCAUACCUUUGAAAACCCCACAACCACAAACAUAAACUCAUCGCGAAAACUUGAAUUUUAAAUCCAAUUAUGUAACCCAAUCCUUUUUUUCUAUCAACAUUAGCUCAUACCUUGAUGAUUUUAUGUAACUCAAUCCUUUUAUCUAUCAACAUUAGCUCAUACCUUGAUGAUUCUAUGAAUUCAUGUAUCUUAACUUGUCAUUGAUCACCUCUCCAUCUACUUUAACCAUACUCAUUAUCAAACUCAAAAUCACAAAUGAAUUUAUCAUCACAUCCGAGUUGAACGUCUUUACACUAAUAUCUCAAACUUUAUCGAAUAUUUCUUAUAACCAAUAUGAUUAACUCGUAACACUGUUAUCAUAAGUAGAGAAAAGUGGAUGAAACCACGUGUGUCUAAACUCAAUUUUCUACUAUCUGAAAAUAUAUCUUUUGUCCUUGCACUCAAAGUAAAUAUCUUUGUUCUUGAUAUGCUCUUUUCAUAGACUAAUCAACAUUAUACUAAGUCUUCCCGUUGUAGCUAUAACUCAUUUCACGUCAUAAAACUUUUCAUAAAAUACACUACUUACCAAAUAGUAGAAAAUCAUAACUUCAGAUACUCAUAAGUCAUCAAAUAUAAUACGAAAUUAAUUAAACCAACAAUCCUUACCAUAUAGUUACAUUUCAAUCAUAAUCUAUCACAAAUCCUUAUUAGUGUCAUGCUUAAAUAGUGUUGAUCAUCACCUCGAAGUCAACCUUGUCAUCAACAUGACACCUCAAACCCUGCUAUGCCAGCCAUCCAAAGGACAUACCUAACUUUUUGUAUGUACUUCUUUUGUAAAAUUCUUAAUUGUCUUCACACAGUAAAUUAUUUGAAAAUUUUCUUUAUGCAUAAGAUUUUUAUUCCGAUAUCAAUCCACUACUUUGAAGCUUACAAAGAAAUCACCACUUAUUUAAAAUCGUUAAGAUAUCCUUUACAACCUAAACACAUUAAUACUGUUCCAAAGAUUCACCACUAAAAGCUGCCUUAUAAAUAAUGGUUAACCCAUCCCUCCGUAGUAACAAGGUAGUUGGUUAUGCAAAUACGAAUGCAAUAUCAAAUUUUAUUAUAUUUUCAUGUUUUACAAUUGAUAUUUUCUGCAGUUGUUAGUAUUCACACUUACAAACGACGUAUUCAAUUUCAUAUGACACUAGUACCACAUGCAAAAGUUACACCACUAGAACACAUGAUACCUAUCGUGAAGAUUGUACACAAAUAGCCCACACAUUUCUGUCAAUUCAGUAACUAUAAUGCACUACCAAAUUUGUUUAGUCUCAUCCAAAGUGUUAUCCAUUCAUUCGUAGAUCAGAUCCAUAACUUUAACAAAGUAAGAAUUGGUACCAUUGUGAUAGUCGUAUCAUUAUCCUUUUUAUAUACACUUAAUAUAUAAAAUCGCAGUAGAAAUUCUAAACUUAAUUGAUGUAACAUUGCUCUCAUCAUUCUCUAAGCAACCCAUUCAUUUUAUGACAAAUUUACUAAAUAUAUUUUUCAAGGUUACACUAUUCAUUAUAUAAUCAUCCUUUUAAUCAUUCAACUCUCAAUUGUCAAAGUACUCCACAUAUUAUCUAUACCACACAAGUACUAAUCCCACUACUAAACGACUAGCAAAAAAAUAAGAAUAACAUAAGACGCACAUAAAGUCCCUUAACCAUUGCUCAACCUAAUCGUUUAUUUAUCCUCAAAGGGAAUCAUCAAAUCAUAACCUCAAACAAUUCCUUCGUAAUACUGAACAUUCUAAACGUGACCACACAUCUUCUUACAAGUAUAUCACUUCAACAUUAGCACCAUAUUAAACAUCCAAGGCAUGCAUGACACCAACUACUCACAUUAGGAUCUACGCACGAGUCAUGACAUAAGUGAGAGAGAAUGGAAUGAAGUGAUACCAAUCAGAACAGACAAAGGAUGCACAAUAGAGAUUCAAGAAGUGUAGUUUUUUCCUAAAAGUCACUAUAUCCUCUCGAAGAUAAGUUCAUAUGAUUCCGUACCAAUCCUUGAGACUUUACCUAGACUCGACUUAUACACACGUGAGACCAAUGAACCUAGGAUCGGAUACCAUUUUGUCACGAUCCAAAAAUGGACAUGAUGACACUCGUCUUAUCCCACCAAGACAAGUCAGCUUCAAACUCAACCAUUAUAAUAAAGUGACUCAAAGAAUGAUGUUAAAUCAAAUGUACUCAACAUUAUUUAUAUUCUUGAGAAUUGAGAAGUGUUUUAAGGAGGGGAAAAGAAGUAACCACAACUAUUAUGGAACAAUGGUUAAGGUCUAAGAUAGUAUCUAUAAUUUUGGUUCCUUGUUACUAAUAGAUAAUUUCUUAUUUUUCUUUGACGAAAUUUAGUGGUUUCCAUAUUGGUAAUAUCUAAUCGAAUAUUUUCUUUAGGAUAUAUUCCCUUUGUUUUGCAUAUAUAUACAACCAAAGGUUGAAUCUUCUUUCACUUUGUCAAUAAUGUUGACAUAUCUAGACAACCAAAGGCUGAAUUUUCUUUCACUUUGUCAAUAAUGUUGACAUAACUAAAGGUUCCUGGCAAGGAUAGAACAUUUCUUGAAGCAAAUUACGCUACUUUGAGUAAAGUUCUUAAGAGUAUCUAUGUCGCAAAUUUCGCUAGGAGGGAAAUAGAUCUCAUCUUUUUCCUUAAAUCAGGCUUGUGAUUUCUAAUCAAAGUGAUUUUUGCUACAUAUUAAACAUAGAUCAUGUAUGGGGAUAGCUUGCAUGUGGAACAUUAGAGACUUUUGUUCUUGAUAAAGUAAAAAGUGUUUUAUUAACAGUUAUAUGUUUGAACAACGUAUCGAUUCCUUGCUGGUUGCAUGGGCUGCAAUGAAGAAUGAUGGGAUUUCUCUAGUUUUACUAUGUGUUGUAAUGUACUAAUGUUAUUUCCUUGUGUGCAGAACAAGAUUUACAUAUGCUCCCAUAUUGAAUUUCACAUUUUGUUGGUACCUUUUGAAGUUGGUUGAUAUAAAAUUAAUGUCUAUGGAAAAUUUCAAUUACAAGGAUCGGAAUAGUUAUUUAAGAUCUAUUCAAUGUUCAUAAUCUUAGAGCAACUAAUUAUCUAGAAAAUAAUAAUUCUUAUCUGAUUCUUGAAAAGAAAAAACUUUUGCUCUUGAUGAAUAACAUUAAAUUAAACAUAAUUCAUAAAUAUGACCCUUAACAUGGCUUUAGUGGAGAACUAUGUCCUCCAAUUUUGAGCGUGCACAAGUUUACACUUAAACAUGUAUAAAAUUGAACAAGUAGAUAAACUCAUAUGUCCUACAUGAAGUAAUACACAUUGUACGCCACAUAGGACACAAUUUCCAUGUAGGGUUCUAUGUAGAAUAAAUGUAUCUUUUGUUCAAAUUCAGACAAGUUCAAGUGUCUACUUGUGCAAACACAAUAAUCGAUAAAAUAUACUCUUAUUUACCGUAUUUGAGUUUUAUUUUUCUUUUGAAGGAAAGCCAACCAUAGUUGCUUUUACUUUUUUAAAAAGAAAAAUAUAAUUUUCUUACAUAUUUGGUUUAUUAUUUCCUUAGAAAAAAAAGUUGGAACUCUAUAAAUUAAAGACCCCUCUUUUCGUACCACAUCAAAUUAAUAGAAUCUACUAUGUAAUCAUUAAAAAGUUUUGUUAAAAAGGAGAUUAUUCUCCUAAUAGAGUUUAUAUUAGUUUUCAUGUGUAGGUCAAUUGAUCAAACCAUAUUAUAAUAUUAUGUUUUUAUUAUAAGUUUUUGUCAUCUAAUUUAUCACAAACACGAUUUGCAAUUGUAAGCUUCCGUAUGACGCCUUUAUUUCUUUAGAACUGAACAGUUUGAGGUAUUUUUGAGGUUAAAAAAUAGUUUUGUAAGAAUUAGAGUUAAAACAUAAUGGAAUCGAUGGGUCUUUUCUCAAAUGACAAUGACAUAGAGGAGUCAAAAUUUUAAUAUAUAAUAUAAAUAAGUCUUUUCUAAAAGUUAGAUAUUAUAUUUGAGCACAAGCUUAGAUUCAACUUGCUACUGACUAAAUUGAGAUGUAGGGCGUGAAGAUGAACUACUCUGACACUAUGAAGCUAUUAGACUGAAAACUUCGAUGGAGACUUAAUUUUUUUUUAACUCGAGUAAGAAAACUACGUUAAUUAAAAAUAAGAGGCGCUUUAGAAGAGACAUCAUGCGUCCACACAUACUUUUAACCACAAUGACAAUACAUGCAAGAAAACUAGAUUUAAAAGUUUAAAUUAAAACUAAAAAUAGUUGAAACCACAUAUAUUUUUUUAGUUGCAACAUAACAUCACACAGUUUAAAAUUAUUCAAGCAAAGUACUUCAAAAUGAUUAAAUUAAAGCAAAUCAUUUUUAUUUUAAAGGAGCUCUGCAAGGAAUUCCCUUCCUCUUGCGCUUCCGCUUCGUCUCAGCAAUCUUUCCCCAUUUUGCUUCCACCUACAAAUUCCAUGAUAACAUAUAUUAUUCAUAAAAAUAUUUGUGGAUUGAAAGUGCAAAUGUAUAAUAAUAUUUUAUCUGCCUCAAUUUAAGUAUCUCAUUACUUUUUUUAUGUGUUUCAAAAACAGGGGGUUUCCCCAAAAUUUUGUAUAAAGAACUCAAAUACAAUAUAACAAUAACUACUUCUCAACUACAUUAAUAAAAUUAAAGUUCAAUUACAAUUUCAAAAGUUGAUAUAGAAAUAUCAAAAGUAAGACUAGGGGUGUGUUUGGUAUGAAGAAAAAUGUUUUCCAUGGAAAAAGUUUUCUUAGAAAAUGUUUUCCUGGAAAACAAGUAGAUUUUGGAUUCAUUUUUCUCAUGUUUGGUUGGUGAGUAGAAAAUAUUUUCUAGAAAUGAUUUUUAGUGUUUGAUUUAUGAAUGAAAAUGUUUUUUUGAGAAAAAUCUUUUAUUUUUACUAGAGUAGAAAAUAAAUUAUGAAAUUGAAAAUAUUUUUUAGAAACAAUUUUUUUGGGGGGUGUGGUGGGUGGGUGGGGGGCGCGCUGGCGGGGGUGGGCAGGGGUUAGGUGAAAAAAUAAUAUUUUGAAGUUGAGAAUACUUUUUAAAAAUAAUUUUUUUGGAGGGCGGUGCUGGUAGGGGGCUAGCGGGGGGAGGGAGGGAGGGAGGAGUUUUAAAAUAAAAGUAUUUUAAAAAACGACCUCAAAUUUUUUUUGGAAGGGGUAGGGGUGGGGUGGGGGUGGGGGGCUGGUCAGUGGUGGGUGAGUGGGAUGGGGGUCAGGGAUCGGGUUAAAAAUAUAUAUUUUGAAAUUGAAAAUAUUUUUAAAAUUUAAUUGUUUUGCCAACAAAAUGUAAUUUGAAGUUGGAGAAGAGUUUUGAAAAAUGUUUUCUUUAAUGUUUAAAGGGAAGUCAUUUUCCUUAAUUUUGUGGAAAAUGAGUUGAUUUGGAAAAUAUUUUUCAAUACUUUUGUCUCAACCAAAUAUGAGAAAAUUGGAAAAUAUUUUUCAUAAAUUGUAUUCAUUCAUACCAAACACACUCUAGAGAUUUGGGUAGAACUAGACUUUCAUACAACAAUAAGUCUAAUCUAUCUUUCCAACUUCUCUACCUUUUUACUAGUUGCUAUUUGGGUAUGAUUAUCAAUUCAACCUUUGUGAAGGUCUUUUGAUCUUAUUACUUCUUGUUUACCUAAUACCUGAUUCUGUGAUGUAAAGUUCCAUGUUUGACUGAGAUUGAUUCAUAACAUUUAGUACAGUUAUAUCUUUACUCAUAAUUUGACUAUAAAAUACUCACUUUAGCUUUAAUGAGAGAUUUUGGACCAAAAAUUUUAAGUCUUUCUUUCUUUCAUAAAAUUCAUGUCAAUUCGAACAAUAUCACAUAAAUUAUGAGAGAGGGAGUACGUUUUUUUAAAUUUUCACAUUCUAUUUAGGAUUAUUCAACAACAACAAUAACAUAUCUAGUGAAAUUUAACAACUAAGGCCUAGAGAGAGUAAAAUGUACUCAACCUUACACACUACCUUGUAAAAGUAAAGAGACUGUUUUUAAUCAAGCAUAGUUUCCAGAAUUUCAAUUUCAAAAAAUAUUAAAUAAUAAAAUAAAAAUCAUUGACAAAUAACCACUAAAUUUGAAAUGGAGGGAGGGAUAAGUACCUGGCAAGCAAUGCUACAGAAUUGAAACCGUUCAGGGUCAUGCAAUCUCCUUUUACAAGUGAGACAAGUAGGAUCUCCAACAAUUAAUGAGCCAGACCCAGAAUGUGGCAGAGGAUUCAAAGCAAUUAUCCAUUUCUUGUUGCAUUUGUAUGUCUGCACAUAGAAAAUUAUAUAGAUCUCAUCACUAACAUAUAGAUGUUAAUUAUGUAAAAAGAAAAUAAUAAAUUGUUGUAAGACUUUAUAUACAUGUGUGAAAUAAAAAUGUCUGCAUUUAUAUAUCACUAAAGUUCAACAAAAAAUAGUUGAACUUCAUCUAUAAGUACAUGAACUUCAGGCAAACUCAAGAAAAUCAACCAUAUGGAUCUUAAGUUCUAAGAGAAAAAGAUUAAAGUUUAGUCAUUUUGUCCAAGCUCAAUUCCAAACACAGUAUGACUUAAUUAGUGGAUCCAAUUAGAGAUGGCUCAAGAAAAGAGCUAGUAAAACACUUGCUUUUAGACAAAAGGCUCCCAAAAAAUUAGUAAUCGUUUUACGAAUUUUUAUAACUUAAAACAAAUGAUUAUAAUAAAAAGUACAAAUUUUAUGCAUGUAUGUAUGUAUAAAAAACUAUUUUCUUUUAUCAUAAAUAUUUUACAACUUUGAACUAAAAUCUCAACUUUUAUAUUAAUAAAUAAAACUUUUACAACAACAUUCAAAAUAAUAACAACUGAUUAACAUCUCAUUAACUUAUAUUUAAUUAUCAUUCAAAUGUUUAAAUAAGUUAAUGUCUGGAGCAUCAAUUCAUAACAAAAAUAUGCAAUCUUAUUUCAUUUCUAGUUGUAACUGUCUAUAUCAAUUUAAUUUACCUGAAUUAGUUUGCAGUCAAUAUACUUCUUCAUCUGCUCGACAGGAACAACGUCUUUGUAAACAUGUCGAUAAAUCUUUAGCUGGUCAUGAUCAUUGUGUUUGUUUGUAGCGAUGCAAUACCUGCAUAAAUCAGAAUCACAUGUGAUACAGUACUUGCUCCUUUGAUUCUUUUGAAGUCCAUCAUGCACCAAACAUUCCCCAAAGAAUGUCUUCUUCAAAAGUGGUCCUAGCCAUGUUGGCAUACUCCUGCUAGGUUUCAAUUCCCCCUGCAAAUAUAAUCAUUACAAUAACAGAUUAUGAUAUUUUUCAAGUGAUCUGAUUGGAUUGCAAAAGUUUUUUCUCAAUUUUUAAAAUAUAGUAAACUAAUAUUAUCAUCAUAUAUACAUAGUACAAAAAAAAUAAAAAAUACCUAUCAAGCUAAUUAUCUUUUGAAACAGUGUUUCUCAUUAUUUGAACAGUAAAUUACUUGAAACGAUAUUAUCAUCAAACAUACACAUAUCAAAAGAACUUUGAAUAAAAUAACAUAUUUAUCAAGCUAAGUAUCUAUCAAGUAUCUCAUCCAACAAUUGUUUAAUGAAGAUUCAUGAACUUUAAAGGUUUAAAAAUCUACUAAGGUUUGUUUAGGAAUGAACCAAAUCCAAUCCAUUGAUGGGACUUAGCUAGUUUAGAGCUUAAGUUUUUGGAGAAACAAAGACUUCACUUCUUUCUAGUUAAGGUUCUAAGAACAUCUACCUACAUUUUAUCUAUAAUAAAAAAUGUAUAUUAACAUUUUCCUAGGAUACUAUUGAAUGAUGAAAAACUUAUAGUGUAAUAGAAAAGAGAAACACUUUCAUAAAAUUCUGAGUUGAUGACAAUAUCCAUGUCAAUGAUUAUUAAAGAACAAAAAAACAUGAACCAAAUCAUAUAUAUAUUUUUUCGUCCACUUUCUCCUUAAUAUGUUGUCUGUGCGACUUAAAAUGAUAGUUUGAUAUGCAGACUAAAUUAUCUCGAGAAUAUAAUUUUAAUUAUAAUUCUUAAACUAAUUUAUCCAAUAUGGAAUCUGGAAUAAACUACUUUCAAAAUAAUCUCAAACUUAAGCAUGAGAUAUUUCAUCUUAUCUUGCACACCGAACAAUCCUAUUACUCAUGGAAUUUGUUUAAACCCCAUCCGUUAUGUUUCCAUCACAGAGAGAAACCACAUCACCUAUAGCUUUUGUGACAGAUCAUUUUUUAGAGAAACAUUUGGUACAUUCAAAACACACUAAUUUAGAAUUGGGACACAUAGAUUCCAUAGAAGGGAAAAUUUCCUUAGCAAGCUUUCUCCAUUUACAAGGUUCAUAUGAGAUAUUGGUUAAGAAUUAAGAAAUUUCAUCUGUCUGAUCACACCCUUGAUGAUGCACUCCAAUUAUAGAAGGAAGGAAAGUUGUGUAGAGCUAGGGUCACUCACCUCACAAAACUUGAAAGAGGUGACAUUGGUUCAAUAAAUUAAUGAUUAUAAGACUCAAACAAAAUUUUUACGACGUGUGAGCUUGAUUCUUUUUAUUUAGUCAUUCAUAUGGAAGUACCAAAUAAAUGAAUGACUAUGAGACUUGAGUAAGCUUUUAUUUGAUAUCAGAAAUUUGGACGGUUCAUCAAGUCUUUUAUUGCCUCACCUCCCUAAUAGGAAUAGGGGUAAUUUACAAAUAGGGCUAAUAAAUUUGUCAAUCAAAAUAUAAGGAACUAAUAAUUAAUGUUUCUUCAUUCGAAGUAAAUUCUUUCAAACUCAAAAUACACUUAAGAUAGAGGAGUACCCUUGACAACAAUGGAUCUCCUACCAAGUAUAUAAAUAGGCUUAUUGAAGGUUCCUAUUGACAUCCAUUUAAUAGAAAUCAAGCCUGCUAAUUCAUCUAAAACGAGUCGGGUACUUUCACAUAACUAACACAGAACUAUUAUUUUCUCUUACAUCCUACUAUACAUGUAACAGAGUCUAGAGAUUACAUAUGAAUCAAAUUUUGUUUUACUUCAUCUUUUUAUAUUGAUUUAUCAAGAAGAUGAUGAUAUAUCUAUAGGUUGAAAAGAGGGUUUGAAGCAAAAAGAUAAGACCCUAACAUACUAGGAAGUUGGUUUGUAGAAAAUAGGAAGUUGGCUUGACAUGGUUCGGAGUGUUGUUGAAGUAUAACUAGGGUCUCAAAAUACAUAUCCCAAAUUAAGAGAGAGAAGCUCAGAUCAAGUCCACGGCAAGUUGAAAGAAAUAACUCAACAAAGAUAUAGAGAAUAGGGUUUUUGGAAUGAUUUAGGGUAAAAUGGUGAUUUCAUUCUAUAUCGUGAGAGUGCUCCUUUUCUAAUGUGAAAAGAAGUAAAAUGAACAACUAGAAUAAAAAACCGUUCUAGUACAUGACUCUAGAGUAGAUUAUAGUUAAAAUUACACAAUCGUUACACGUUUAAUUUUACGAUACAAAAAAGUUAUUAAAGCACACAAUGACUCCUGCCUCCCCUAUUACAUGCCAAGAAAAUGAGACAUUAUAUCCUUUUACACAUUAAUACUUGCCUAAAAAUUGACAUUUCUUUUCCUGCCAAAAUUAUUGGGAUAACAACAUUAGUGGAUAACAUUUCAGGAAUUGGUACGAUAUAUUUGUAAAAGAAAAUUUGGGGUUGAUGAUUCAAUUUUCUUCUUGUAUUUUAUAAUUUUGAACUACUUAAGCAUAUCAUCAUACAGUGCAAUUAAAAAAUGUGUAAUCAUAGUAUACCUAGUGCUCUCUAACUCUUGUUUUAUUCAUGUUUGCUAAUAAUUAGAGGAGGUUUGUUACCUUAUUAGGAUAUCUAAGUAAGAUCUAGUCCCCUAGUUAUAUAUACUUAUUCUGACUAAGAAUGUUUUAAUUUUAUUUUAUUAAUAAAAAAACUAUGCGACGUGGUAUAAAAUAGCCAAAAAAAAUCUUUUAUUUUGUAAAAACAUGUAUACAUAUCUUACAAGAAAUAGUUAUCAAGAAAGACUUCAAAAUAUAAAAUAAAGAGUAAAUUUAAUGAUUGAAAUAUUUAACUGUUACAUCACUCAAUUAUACCAUCUAAUUAGAAGAAAUUCUUGACUGAUUAGAAAUUUUGUUAUUGAAAUAAAUCUUAAAUAACUAUAAAAUGUAAUUCUCUCAUAAAAUUAGUCUAGAAAAUUUUCCAAUAUAUUAUCAUCUUUAGUUUUAUAAGAAUAAAAUAAUAGCACAACUUCAUAAAGUAGAUCUAAAUUCAAUUUCUUGAAAAUUCGCCCUCUUUUAUACAAAAUCAAUUAAGAGGUUAUCAAACACAUAGUCAGCCUCAUGAAAUUUUAUUAACAACCAAAGGAAAAAAAAUUCUAUUUUCUUUUUGAGAUAUAAAUGCAUAAACAAAAUGGUAAGAAUUAGAUCUCACACAAAAAACACAGAAAUAAACAAUCAAUUUUGAAUGAAUUAAACCAAAGAAAUAGUGAUUGAAAAUUAAUAACACUACACAUAUAUAUGUAUGUACCUGCUCAUUUGUUUCAAAAGGUGAUGAAUCAGUGCUACCCAUAUUUUUUGUUCCACUUUUCUCCUCUCUAGAGUGUAUCAAUUUUUUGAAGAAGACAUAUAAAAACUAGUAGUAGAAUUUUAUUACAAAUAUAUUGUUCCCUUGAAGUGUACUUAGUUUGCAAGAAAACAAUUGAAGUAAUAAAGACAAUUUUUUUAGUCAAAUAAAAUUUAGUUUAGAAGAACAUAAGGACAAAUUUGGGCCUCCAAUUUUAUAAUUGUCCGUUAUAUUUCAGGAGACAAUAAAGAUAUGUUCAAUGAGGUAAUGAGGAAAAUUUUUACCAGUUUUAGCCUUAAGAUAAGAGGCGAUAGAUCCAAGAGAUAUUUUCAAAUUGAUAAAACCUAGAGUUAAUGAGGUCAAAUUGUAUAUAUGUAUGUAAUGGGUAAUAUUGUCAUUUCAUUUUGCUUGCCAAAUAAUGUGAUAACAGAAAGAUUUUGUAAAUCUAUGAAUUUUUUAUCCUUUAUCUAUUCUAGUCCUCCUUUUAAACUUUCUCACUUAAUGUAUCUCCAAGUAAGGGGCUUGUACACAUCUAUGAUUUUACCAUAUAUGAGGUAAUUAGACUUAGUAAAUUUGAAAUCAAGGAAAAAUUAGUAAUUGUGUGUGUUAAUUAAGAUUUAUACUUAAAAGGGAAAGAAAAUAAAAGCAAGAGGUAAUUCAUUGAUUCCCUCUUUACAUGUCAAGCUUGUUAAUGAUUCAACAAUAUUUUCUUGAGAUGCAACUCAUAAUAUAAGUAUGUGAUAAAUGGUCAUCGAAUCCAUUAACAAUUGUUUAGGUGGAAACUUGUUGAUUUGUCAAUAAAGUUAUGUAAUGUAAAUUAACAAGAAAAUAUUACGUAUAAAAUAUAGAAAUACGCUUAAUUACAUAAGGCCUUCAAAAAAUACUAGCUAGCCAAAAUCUAGCCUCUUAAAGGUCAGUCUUAACCGUUCCGAUUCUAAGUCAGAUUGGUUUACCUUUAGGUCUGAUUUAGGGGUUAGGGUUUUAAGAGAAAAUACUAGUUAGCUCAACCCUUGCCUCUUAAGGGGUUAGUCAUGUUUAAUGGGUUAAACUAAUUUUUUUUUCAUACUAUAUUGUAACUUUGUAUUAAUAUUUGAAGUUAUGGAACUUUGUACUUUGUAAGAGGACGUAAGUUAUGAAUUAAACCUCAACGGGUUAAUAGCUUUCAAAUUUUAUUGAUAAAAAUUUUUUUGUAUAAAACUUAGAACAGGAUUUACUAUUUGAAUGAAAAAAAUAGAAAAAUCAAAAGAAGAUAGAAGAAGAGAAAUUAAAUUCAAACUCUAGAUGUAUGUAUCACCGAACCUACCUUCUUGUCAAGCUCUUUAAAUAUAGGAUCAUUAUUAACUAUCAAUAUCAUGUUUAACAAAAUUUUCAUUGAACUCUGUAUGUACCCUCUAUUCGAUCAUAUAAUAACCUCACACCAUUUUCUUUAUUUCCAGGGGCUAAGCACAUGAGGAGGUUGGACACAAUCUCUUAUCAAAGUGCUUAAAAAUACUUUUCAAAUAAUUAGCUAAACAUAAAUUAUUAUUUUUCUAAAAACUGAUUUUAAAAAAAGUGUUUCUCAAAAUAAGAAUAUUUUGGCCAUUUGAGCUAGAAAUGAAAAAUUACUUGUAUAGCUCCAUGUGUUCUUAAUGCUUUUAAUUGGACCAGAGAUAGUCAGUUAAGUAAAGUCGUCAAUAUGGGCUAGGCCCAUUGGGUCGGUCUGACCUAACUCGUGAUUUAUUAAGGGUGAAUUAUGAUUUUCGGAGUUCAUUUAAAAAAAAGAGUUUUUUAGCCUAGUCUGAAUAAGUUUGUGGAUUUGUGGGGCUUGAAAAAUAUAGAUAGAGUCAACUCAUGGACCAAAAAAUACUAAUUUAAAUUAAAAAUUAAAUAGUGUAUUAAAAAUAACAAGUAUUUAAACUCAAAAUUUGUUUAAAGUUCGGAAUAUUACAAUUUAAAUGCAAAUUAUGUUUAUAAUAACAUAUAUACUACAUAAAACAAAAACUACCUAAAAUUUCUAGGGAAUUAAUAAAUAGGUCGUAACCUAUGGAAUAUUGUCAUAAUUUUUGUGUUUUAUUAUGAUCAUUGAAAAACAAUUAGGUUAAUAUUUCUAUUUAGUUAUUUAUAUUUUUAUUUGAAAUCAAACAUAAUAAAUAUUAUAAAGAUAAUGUUAUUUGUGGAUUUAGUUAAAAAGCACUAAUACUAACACUAACACAAUGUAAUAUUGUCUUAUCGAUAUUUAUGAUAAUAUUUUUAAACUAUAAUUUAAUUUAAAAAAUUAGAAAAGAAAUAUUUCAAAACCCGUAAAUUUCAAAGUCUGCAUGAAUUAGCUCAGAUGGGGUGGGUCAACUGUAAUGACCCGGAAGGUCAUUUUCGAAUAUUUUUAAUAUUAGUGUAACUUGAGUUAAUUAAUCGAUAGUUAAAGGGCUAAAGUGAUAAUUUAUUUAAAACCAUGGGCUACUUGACCCAUAUAUAUUAAAAUAAGUUAGUUGAUUUCAACAAUUAUAUUAUUAUAACUUUAAAAAAAAACAGGGAGGCAUGACAUGCCGUAGGUCAAAGACGACAAACACAGGUAUGAACUAACCCUUUUCAUUUGUUUUCCUUUUCAAUUGUUUAUGUUAGUAACAUGCUUAAGAAAUUGAGGGUUUGGAAUAUAUAUAUACCAAUAAUGACAAUAAAAGUGACAUUUACUAAUAAAUUUGGAAUUUGAAUCUAUAAGGGGUACAGUAAUUUAUAGGUUAUGUUUGUGAUCUGUUGGUUUAGGGGAGCAUAAAGUUAACGAGAAUGAUGGACAAAUUAUUAUCCAAAUCAUUAGGAAAAGGAUACGAUAAAGGAUGAAUUUAGCAUAUAGUUAAUUUCAGGCAUAUAUAGAUUUUGUGACUCAAUUCUAGGGGUCUGUGGUUUAGGUAUUGCCUUGUUACUUGACUAAUUUUGGAUUUCUAUUGAUAGUUAUCACAUUAUAAUUAAGGUUUUGAUAUAGUAAGAUAGGUAAUUGAAUAUUAAGAAUAUGAUAUUAUAUGAAUACCAUUCGAAUUAUAAUAUUGAAAAAAAAUUAGGACUAAAUCUUAGGCUUAAAGCUUGAAAAAUAUGAUUUUUAAAAUGAUAAUUGGCAUCAAGAUUUACGAAUUUGAUUAUAAACUUGGAUGAAUUUUUGUAUCAAGGAUAAACACUUAAGUAACAUGGGUGUUGUUAAUGUUAAAAUCUUAUUGUGGUAAAUUGUUUGGAUAGAUUGUUCUGAUUUGGAGCCCAUUGAAAGGGGGAAGACUCAAGUAUCGAAAAGAUUGUUCGACUAAAUGAUGCAAGUGGAUUUCUAAACUCUUGUUAAGUGUAUGAAAUGUGUGUAUGUCCUUGUGGUAUAUGUUGGGAGUAACGGGAUUUGUGAUGAGUUGACUUGUCCACAUUAAUUAAUUCUAAUGAUGAAAAGAAUGGGGAUAACAAAAGGCAAUGUGAUUAAUUGUUUAUGUGUGUUGUGUUGAGAAAGGGUUGAAGGCUUGUUGAAUCAUUGUUGAUGUAACUUCAUGUUUGUGUGGUUGUGAACUGUGCGAUGUUAUGAAAAUGGUCAUCUCCUCAUUAUAUGUGUGAACUUGUCAUCUGCAUUAUUCUAAGGCAUUGGUUGUGGCAAGUGUAAUGUGCAUUGAGAAAUAAUGGGUUCUUAAGAUGAUGUACCAUUUCGAGGGACGUAUCGCGCGCCGCGAUGGAUACUAUAUUUCGAGGGACGUAUCGCGUGCCGCGAUGGAUACUAUAUUUCGAGGGACGUAUCGCGCGCCGCGAUGGUUACUAUUAUCGAGGGUCGUGUCGUGCGCCGCGAAAGAUACAUGGACAGAAAUGUCCCCCAUGAGUCACGGACUGAGAGACAGCAGGUGUGUAUCACUAGGUCAGACAUGCAUCAUUAUACUUGACAUUGCAUCCCAUUGCAGUGCACAUAUUUAUCAUUAGUGAACUUGAUAUCGUGUUUUGCUGAUCUUCUGAUUACCUUUCUGUGGAACUUGUGAUUGAUCAAUAUUGAGCUUGUUAGUGCGGAUAUGUAAUUUGUUGAAGUGUUGUUGUUGAGGAUAUGUAAUUUGUUGAAGUGUUGUUGUUGAGGAUAUGUAAUUUGUCUAAAUUUUGUUGAGCUACGUGCUAUGUAAACUGUGAGUUGUUAGGUUGGGUUGAUUUUUAAUGCAGGUUGUAGUUGUGGAGGUUCGGUUGGGGGUGGUAGAGUACCCGUAUUUCAUCCCCUUAGCUUGUGUUAAGAGGUUUACUUGCUGAGUACCGUGUGGUUUGGUACUCACCCCUUGCUUCUACAAAUUUUUGUAGGUUAUGAGCCUGGAUUUUUGUUGUACUUGUCAUUCUCUUGUUUUCCGAGGCUUCUUGGAGAUUUGUCACGUAGCUGUUUCCAUCACAGCAGACUUUCUUCUCCUUAAUUAUGAUCUUGUUCUAUUAUAGAAACAAGUUCAUUUGAAACUUAAGUUUUUCUUUUGAAUCAAUUGUGAUACUUUAGAGGCUUGUACACGUGACUACCAGGUUUUGGGGGUUUUAUUAAGUUACUUAUAUUUUAUUUCCGCACUUUAUUGUAAUGAUUAAGUUUUAGGCUGACUUAUCUUGGUGGGAUAAGACGAGUGCCAUCACGUCCAUUUUUUUGGGUCGUGACAUCAACCCAUAUAGACAGCUCUAUAAUUAAGUAGUCUUGUUAGUGUCCGAGGAGCUAAUAUUGACUCCUUAUUCAAGGUUAAGUACUUGACACAUGAUUAAUUAAUGUGGUGGAUAAGUAUCUGCAAUUUAUUGUUUCUUCAAAUAAUUUGUUUUUUCUAUUUUUCAUAUCUCGUGUUUUCUUUGCUUGUGAGACCAUUGAAAAUUUUACUUAUUUUCUAAUCAGAUUUAUCUUUGUUAGAUUUUGAAUCAAGAAACAAAUAUUUAAAAAAUGGUUCGAAUUUGCUUAUAUAACGAUAAAAACUUUAAUUUCUAUCACUUUUAGUCAUCUACCCGAAAGGAUAUAGAAAUCAGUCACAGUAAUAAGUCUUUUCUCUAAAGAUUUGUUUCUGGCAAGUUGUUCAGACAAGAUGAAAGAAAAUAUUCAUGUUAUUACUACUAAAUUAGAGAAGAUCUUUUCAUGUGGUUACUUUGAUGUGAUAGAGUAUUUUACAAUUCACCUUGUACAAGAUCCCCACUUCGGAUGUCUAGUUCAAACAAUAUGGAUAUAUCCAUUUGAGAGGUAAUAUUAGAAUAUUCACCAAGUUAUAUUCACUAAGUUUAUUUUUUCUUUAUUAACAUAUAUCAUAUAUUAUUAAAAGUGGAAACAAAAAAGUUAAAAAUUGAAAUAUACUUAAUAAAAAUAUAUAAAAUAGUUAAUUAAUUAAAUAUUAAAUAGUUGUUGUUAUUAUUAUUAAAGUGAAAAGGUGUUAAGUCGAAAAUUAAAAGAUGAAAAUGUUCAUAAGAAAUUGUUGACAUUCUUAUCCUUUAAAAAAAUUAAUUAUUUACAUUUUUUUAAAUUCAAAAGUGUAUUUAUUUUUACUUUUCUCCUUCAAUUUACUUAACAUCUAUAUAUAUAUAUAUAUAUAUAUAUAGAGAGAGAGAGAGAGAGAGAGAGAGAUAGAUAGAGAGAGAUAGAUAGAUAUAGAUAUAGAGAGAGAACAAUUUUAAUAAUCUACUUUAAAGUAUUUCUUAUUUCUAAUUCCUUUAUUCAAAAGAUUAAUUUCAUAAUUCACACCUUUUCAUUUUCAUAACUUUCACAUCAUAGUAAAGGAUGGUGAAUUAGAAAGUCAUCAACAUUUUCAUAAAGUAACAUACAUUCAUCUUAAUGCAUUAAAUGAAUAACAAAUUUUUUUAUUAACUUUACAUGUUGGAAUAUAGACAAGCUCUAAAUUUCAAUAAUUGAAAACCUUAUUUUUUUAUUGCAUUAACACUUACGAAUAACUAUAAUCCUAAAUCCUAAUACUCAAACCCCCUUAUUUAUUUGCUUCAUUAAUAUAAAUUAUCUUUUUUUUUUAUCACGGAUCCUUAGAUAUCCUUUUCAUCCUAUAGUUUAAGUGGUGAAACAUUUUAUUUUUUUAUUGAUUCAUACUUUAAUUCGACUAGUUGGAAAAUUAUGUACUAUUUAUGUAUUUUUGCUUACAUCGAUAUAUAUUGUAUGAUUAAAGUUUUAAGAAAGAUGAGUACAUUGUAUUAUUUUAUUUUAUUUUGUAUUUUUAAUCUAUUAAACUUUUAAAAAUUAAAUUUUUAUUAAUUUCUGAUUAAUUAGUUAUUUGUAACUUUAUUGAAAGUUUGUUAAUUACUAACCAAAAUUCAAAACUUACCGUUGGUUGCUUAAAAGAACUUGAUUUUAGAUAUUAAGAUAUGCUCCUUAGUUGAUACUAUUUUCCAUAUUCAAAGAUAUGUUAGUAAUUAUUGCAUUUUAUUAUUUACAUGCAUAUUUUCAUAAAAUUUUAAUUAUUCUAACAAAUUUAUGAAAAAUUCUCCUGAAAUACACAUGUAACACACUUAUUUAGAAACUAAAAGUAUUAUCUAAAAAGGACUAAAGAGGAAAAAAAAAAGACAUGUUGUGCAUGGAGCGUAUGCAUAAAAUCACAUUAAUUUAUCAUAUUUAAGCAAUAAAUUGAAGUGAUAAUAGAUAUAUUCAUUAAUCAUAAUUAGUACAAAAGGUACAUAUAUAGAAUUAGACUUGAUUUAAAUUAAUCUAUAGUGUUAAUGGUUUUUAGGGUUGUGUGUCGGUCCGUUUGGUUUUGAAGUUUAUCGAUUUGAUUUAUUGGUUAUCGGUUUGUAGAGAUGCUAAACCGUUAUAGAACCAUUAAGAUACUGUCUUUUAUGUUAUUGGUUUAUCGGUUCGAUUCAGUUACUUUUUAACUUUUAAGAUUUGAUAGAAAAAAAAUCAUUGAAAAUCACUUAGAAACAAGGUGACAUACCAAAUAACUGUGCACAUGAGUUUACAAGUUACAUUUUGUCAAAAGCAAAACGCUUUUACACUAUAGAAAGUGUGUGAGACAACCAAAAAUAAAAGUAGGAAAUCAAACUCUAAGUCAAGAACUUUAUAUACAAGAUGGUAUAAACAUAAUAAAAAAGCAAAGGACACAAAUCACAUACUUUUAAGGCAAAAUUACCAUUUGUCCUUUAUAAGUUUAUGAUUACAUAAAUCUCUCAAACUGAUACAAAAAUAGAAGUGCUGAUAUAUUACUCUGAUGCGCGAGAUACGCUAAUCGUUAAGUAUGAUACUACAUUUAUACAUGAUACACUAAUCUGAUACAUUAAUCGUUAAGUAAGAUACGUUACAUUUUAUACAUGAUACAUUAAUCUGCUGUGCGAGAUACAUUAUUUUGAUGCGCUAAUACAUUAAUCUGAUGAGUGAAAAUUAGAGAUUUUGGGGAUUUAUAAAACUAAUAGGGGAUAAUGGUAAUAAGAGAACUUAAAGGUGGGAUUUCAAUUAUUUUUCCAUUAUUUAAAUUUUCUAUGGGGUUAAUUAUCGGUUAACCCGUUAAAAAAAAUUUCAAACCGUUAAGAAUCGAUAACCCGAUAAUAAAAAAAUCAUAAACAUUAUCAAAACCACUAAACAAUAACUUAAAACUGAUAAACCAAUAACUUUUUUUUAUUCGAAUUAUCAGUUUCGGUUCGAUUUUGAACCGUUCAAAGACAUGGCAGUGCCUUUGAAAAUUCUUAAGCAGUCGUUUGGUAUAUAUAGGAUGUGAUAAACAAAAAUAUUCCACCGUAGUCCCUAUAGUUACAACGUGUGAUUUGUUGAGCUUUUCUUGUUUACACGGUUCCUUCUUAAUUUUCUUUCUACAAUAUGUAAUCUAUCUUCUUCUUCUUUCUUUUCUACUCCUCUGUUAGUUUAGUCCAGAAACAGAGCAUUUUCUUCUUUUGCAGCACUCACAUUUGACGAAGAUUUUUAUAUUGGUUUUACAGAUCUUUGGAGUUAAGAGUUGGCGAUUGUUGAUACUAACUCAAAUUUUACAAUUUUGUUUUUAUCUGUCAAUGCACUUUCACUUUCUUUUUUUACACUAGUCCUUUACUUUGUGGUUUAGAAUUAUUACUUUUUUAUAAAAAAUAUUUUCUUAUACAUUAUUUGGAAAAAACAUCUGAUUAAUAAUGGGAGAAUUUUCGCAUAUGGUCACUCAAAAAUAAGUUAAUUAUAUUUUUAGCUAUAGUUUGCUAAUCACGAUUCGUAGCUACACGUUAGAGGGAGAAGAGAGACUAGUGAGAGAGGGUGGAGAGAGGCGAGCGAGAUUGGGAGAGGGAGGAGAGAGAUGAGUGAGAAUACAUAUGCAUUUGUAUAUCUGGCAAGCUAGAGUGAGAGAGGGAGGAGAGAUGCAAGAGAUAUUGGGAGAAUGAGGAGAGAGGGUAGAGAAUGAAGAGCGGAUAUAUAUAUAUAUAUAUAUGUAUGUAUGUAUGUAUGUAUGUAUAUAUAUAUGUAUGUAUGUAUGUAUGUAUGUAUAUAUAUGUAUGUAUGUAUAUAUAUAUAUGUAUGUAUGUAUAAUUUGCAUUUGUAUAUGUAUAAGCAGCGUAAUUACAAGUUAAUUAAGUUGUGAGUUGUAAUUGAUUCAAACUAUAGCUAUGUUAACUAAUUAACUAAUAUAAGUUUAUUUAUCCGCAUAAUUUUACCUUAAUGUUAGCUACAAAUCAAUAUUGAGGCCCAUAACCUCACUUGGUUAGAGCAUCGUGCUAAUUGCGUGAAGGUCGCAUGUUAACUAUGUUGCUUUUUGGGGGAAAAACUAUAAAGAAAUCGAGAGACAACAUCACAUUAUUCAAGAAAAUAUUUUUUAUUAAAAAAAACAAAAAGCGACGCAGUCUUCUAAUGUUGUUCGGCGCCAAAAAGCAACAAACUUGACUGCAUCAUUUUCCGUGGAUUUUGACCAACCAGGCGACACAGUCCGUCGCUUUUGGUCAUCAUUUUUCUCUAAUUUUUUAGUAAUAAUGUUCUUCUCGAGAAAUAUUAUGUAAGGCUUGCUCCAUAAACCAAUCUAUAGCCAAUAAUGCGAUUGUAAGGGUUGUUUCAUGUAGAAGUAGUAUACUCGAAUAUGCAAGAUCAUAGACAAGGACCCAUUUGUCAAAUUAAAAAAGUAAUUGAAUUCACGUCAUAAAACAAUUCAAAAUAGAAUAACAUCUGUACAUAAAAUGUACGUCAUGUAAAAUAGUCGAAUAAAACAAUUGGUUGAAACUGAACAUACUUAGCUAAAUAAAGAACUGUAAAGAUAGAUUAAAAUAAGUACAACCGAAUAGUAAAACAUGCAUGUGUACGUUAACAACAAGACUUUAAAACUGAAUGUAUGCAAUAACAGGGAAUACUUAAUAUAAUAUUGACUUUACUUUCCUUGGAAAAUCUCUCUAAUCGACAGCCAUCACUUUGAGCAUCAUGAUGGUACAACGUCUUUUUCCUGUAGACAGAGUCAUUCUAUACCCUCUCAAGAUAAAGAACGAACUAAACUAAUAGAUCUAAUCUCUAAGCCCUAACUAUGAACUUUCUGAGUGUUAGAUUAUUAGCAUUUUAAUAUUAAUAUUUAACAUAUUAAAUUAUUUUAUUUCGGAGUUAUAAUAAUGAACAUUGGAAUGGAUGACUUCUACAUCAUCCAUUAGCAUUGGUUAUCCAUCAAUGUAUUUCAUUCUUAAUUCCUCCAUUACUCUUUGUAACCUAUGUAACUCCCAUUGUAACCUUUGUAACCUAUGUAACUCCCAUUGUAACUUAUGUAACUCCCAUUGUAACCUAUGUAACUCCUAAGGCCAUUAUCUUCACUAUUUACUACCUCCAUUAUCUUCCUAUUCAUUGCUAGGAAGACUUCUUGUAGUAUAAAUAGUGGUAGUCUUCAUUUGGUUUUAGAGACACACAAUUCAUAAGAGAAAACAAAGAGUGAAAGAGUUAGUCUAAAAGAGAGUUCUUAUUAGUUGAAGGGAGGUGUUCUUUUUGUGGAGCUUUAGACUCAACUCUUGUCCAGAGUUGUUGAGUUAUACUUUGUGAAUGCUGUUGUAUCCUGGAGGGGACAAGUCAAAGAGGACUACUGCUGGACCGGUGAAAACAUUUGCUGCAGUGGCCUUGAAUCUCCUUAAAGAGAGCGAGAUAUCCGCGCCUCAGCCUGAAGCGAUUACUUUCUUCAUUUUAUUUUCAAUUGUAAUCUUGCAAUUUUAUUAUCUUGUAAGUUUUUUCACUAACAAUUUUAAGGAGAUUCAAGAUGGCUACAAUUGAAAAACCGCGGAUGUCAAGAUGGGAGAUCUUAACAAGCCAUUUCGGUUCAAUGGUAACAAUUUCAAGAGAUGGAAGGGCAAAGUACUUUUCUACUUAUGUCUUCUCAAUGUUUCUUACGUUUUAAUCGAGAAGAAUCCAAAUAAAGAAGACAUCACCACUAUGAAUGAUGAUGAAACUAUUUCUCAUCUAGAGAAAGUGGAAAAGUACGAUGGUGAUUCCUAUAAGUGUCGGUAUUAUCUUCUUAAUUGUCUAUCUGAUAAUUUUUAUGAUUAUUAUGAUAGAACUUACUCUAGUGCAAAGAAAAUUUGGAAGGCAUUGCAGAGUAAGUAUGAUACCGAAAAGGCUGGAGCAAAAAAAUAUGCAGCUAGUAGAUUUUUUCGUUUCCAAAUGGUGGACAACAAAUCAGUGGUACAUCUAGCUCAAGACUUCAUCAUGAUUGUUGGAGAGCUUAGGUCCGAAGAGGUUAAAAUUGGAGAUAACCUUAUUGUAAGUGGCAUAGUGGAUAAACUUCCACCUUCUUGGAAGGAAUUUAAAAAACUAUGCGCCACAAACAAAAGGAAACCUCUCUUGAAACCUUGAUAAUGAAAAUCCGCAUGGAAGAAGAAGCAAGAGGCCAAGAUGCACUUUUACAAACAGAAGAGAACAACAUCACAUCGAAGGUAAAUUUAAUUACUUCGAAUAAUGCUAAUCCUGAAACUCACAAAAAUACUUCUUUAAAGCCUAAGAAGAAAAAAAUUCAAGAAAAAUAAUGGUAGACCUCCCAAGAAAAAUAAUGGUGAAAAUCACCAAGCACAAAAUGAACAAGUUCAAGAAAAGGGACCAUGCUUUGUUUGUGGCAAGAGUGGGCAUAUUGCUCGAUUUUGCAAAUCCUGGAAACGUGGUCCUAACCCUCAGGCAAUUGUUACUGAAGAACCUUUUGUGGCGCUGAUUACCGACAUAAAUAUGGUUGAGAAUGUUGAUGGAUAGUAGGCUGAUUCUGGUGCAAACCGUCAUGUCUGUUAUGACAAAGACUGGUUUAAAAAAUAUACUCAUUUUGAGGAGCCCAAAACCAUCAUGCUUGGUGAUGCUCACACUACUCAAGUGCUUGGAAAUGGAGAUGUUGAAUUGUGUUUUACUUCUGGAAGGAUAUUAACAUUGAAAGAUGUACUUUAUACUCCUUCUAUGAGGAAAAAUUCGAUGUCUAGUUUUCUUCUUAAUAAAGCAGGCUUUAAACAGAUUAUUGAAUCUGAUCAAUAUGUAAUAGUGAAGAAAGGUAUUUUUUUGGGGAAGGGGUAUGCAUGUGAUAGGAUGUUUAAGUUGAAUGUUGAAAUGAAUAAAACUUCUACUUCUGUUUAUAUGCUUCCUUCUACUAAUUUUUGGCAUGCUGGUUUGUGUCAUAUUAAUGAUCGUUAUGUUGGAAGCAUGAGUAGUUUAGGAUUAAUCCCAAUGAUUAAAAAGAAUUUUGAAAAAUGCGAGGCUUGUAGUAAAGUCAAGAUCACUAAAAGGUCUCAUUUUCAAGUUGAAAGAAAAACUGAUUUGUUAGAAUUAGUUCAUACUGAUAUUUGUGAACUUGGUGGAAUUCUAACUCGUGGAGGUAACAGAUAUUUUAUCACUUUCAUUGAUGAUUUUUCUAAGUUUAAAUAUAUUUACUUGAUGAAAAAUAAAAGUGAUGCUUUUGAAAAUUUCAAAAAUUAUCUCAAUGAGGUUGAAAAUCAGUUUGGAAGAAAAAUAAAAAGAAUUAGAAGUGAUAGAGGCCGUGAAUAUGAAUUAAAUGAGUUUAAUUCUUUUGUUAGAUCAUUGGGAAUAAUUCAUGAAACUACUCCUCCUUAAUCUCCUUCGUCUAAUGGAGUAGCAGAAAGGAAAAAUAGAACUUUGGUUGAAUUGACUAACGCCAUGCUUAUUGAGUCACAUGCACCUUUAAAUUUUUGGGGUGAAGCUAUCUUAACUGCUUGUUAUGUGUUGAAUCGUGUGCCUUAUAAAAUGUCUAAAUUGACACCUUUUGAAUUGUGAAAAGGUUAAAAGCCAAGUUUGGGAUAUCUAAGAGUUUGGGGUUGUCUAGCCUUUGCGAGGCUAAUGGAUCCCAAGAUUACAAAGUUGGGUAAGAAAGUUACUACUUGUGCUUUUCUUGGUUAUGCUUCAAAUAGUACAGCCUAUAGAUUUUUUAAUCUUGAAGAUAAUAUUGUAAUAGAAUCUGGUGAUGCUAUUUUUCAUGAAAAUAAAUUUCCUUUUGAUACUAAAAAUAGUGGGGGUCAAAGGAUUGGACAAAAUAUUUUGUCACUACCUAGUUCUUCUACUUCAACUUUGAAAAAUAAAGAAGUUGUUGAUUUUGAGUUAAGAAGAAGUAAAAGAGCUAGAGUAGAAAAAGAUUUUGGUCCUGAUUUUUAUGUGUUUAAUGUCUAAUUUCUAAUAAAACUUGGAAGUUAGUUGAUUUACCACCGGGUUGUAAAACAAUUGGUUGCAAAUGGGUCUUAAGGAAAAAGUUGAAACCGGAUGGUUCUAUUGAUAAAUACAAGGCUAGGCUAGUUGCAAAAGGUUUUAAACAACUAGAAGGCCUAGAAUUUUUUAUACUUUUUCUCCGGUAACAAGAAUUACAUCCAUUAGACUUUUAGUUUCUAUGGCUGCAAUUUUUGAUUUGCAAAUUCAUCAAAUGGAUGUAAAAAACUGCUUUUCUAAAUGGAGACCUAAAUGAAGAAAUUUAUAUGAACCAACCCGAGUGUUUUGUUGAAGCAGGCUAAGAAAGCAAAGUAUGUAAACUUACAAAAUCUCUAUAUGGUUUGAAACAGGCACCAAAGCAAUGGCAUGAAAAGUUUGAUUCCUGCAUGAUUGAAAAUGAUUUUAAAACAAAUGAGUGUGAUAAGUGCAUAUAUCAUAAGUCUUGGAAUAAUUCACAUGUGAUCAUUUUCCUAUAUGUUGAUGAUUUGUUGAUCUUUGGCUCUAACAUGAAUGUUAUUGAUGAAGCUAAAAAUGUUCUUAGAAGCCAUUUAGAUAUGAAAGAUCUUGGUGAGGCAAAUUUUAUUCUUGGAAUAAAAAUAACAAGAACAUGUGAGGGUAUUUUCCUUGACCAGUCACAUUAUGUUGAGAAAAUUUUGAAAAAAUAUAACUUUCAUGAUUGCAAGCAUGUUGCUACUCCUUUUGAUUCAAGUGUUCACUUAUUUCCUGUUGAAAGUGACAAUGAUGUAAUAAAUCCAAAGGAAUAUGCUAGUAUAAUCGGAAGUUUGAGAUAUGUGACUGAUUGCACUAGGCCUGAUAUUGCAUAUGCAGUAGGAGUACUUGGCAGGUUUACAAGCAAGCCAGGUAAUGAACAUUGGCAUGCUAUAACAAGAGUUAUGAGAUAUUUGAUUGGAACAAAAAAUUGUGGUUUGUUCUGUAAAAAAUAUCCUGCUGUACUUGAAGGCUUUUGUGAUGCAGAUUGGAACACUUUGUCAGGUGAUUCCUGUUCUACCACUGGUUAUGUCUUUACUUUAGGUGGUGGUGCUGUUUGUUGGAGAUCAAAAAAGAAAACUAUAAUUGCUAACUCUACCAUGGAGGCUGAACUAAUUGCUUUAGCUUCAGCUAGUGAGGAAGCGAAUUGGUUAAGAGAUUAUUGUUUCAAAUUCCUUAUUUUGAAAAACAAAUUCCUCCUAUUUUAAUUCAUUGUGACAGCACCACUGCAAUUGGUAGAGUUCAAAACCGUUAUUACAACGGUAAAUCCAGACCUAUAAGGAGGAAUCACAGUAAUGUAAGAUCGUAUUUGACAAAUCGUACCAUUAUUGUUGAUUAUGUCAAAUCCUGUGAUAAUCUUGCAGAUCCUCUUACGAAGGCCUUAACAAGAGAAAAGGUCUGGAGCACAUCGAGGGGGAUGGGAUUGAACCCUAUAAAUCCUUGAAUCAUAUAUGAGGAAACCCAACCUGGGGACUAGAGAUCCUAUAACUAGGUUCAAAGGGAAAAACUAAUCAUAUGUUGACUUGUUGUGAAAAAAUGCACUAUUUGUUUUCCCUCCCUAUGAUGUGAGUGCAUUAUUUCCUAUAGUUUGUGAAGGUUGAGUUGAUAAAACUCUUAAUGAAUAUCUAUAGCCCAUAUGGGUGGACUGUUAAUCUUACAGGAGCACUCUCGACAGAUUUCACCUAUGUGAUGUGUUGAAGUAGGCCGCUUCCUAUGAGAAUGGGGCUUAUUCUCAAAUGCACUCAUGAAACCGGGAUAGCACAUGGCCAUAACGUGCUGGCUGUUAAAGCUCAUGUCAACACCUUGAUUAUUAUGUGUGAGCAGUGAUAUUUUAUUUCCCUUAAGCAGUCAUAGUUCAAGUCUGAGACCACUACGACUAUGGAGUAAAAGUUACUAUUUCACUAAGUGGAGGUUCAAUGCAGAGCACACCUUCAUUAUGCAUAGUAGUCUUCCUUCAACUGAUAUACUCUCUUAUCUAAAUAUUAAAAUGAGUGGGGGAUUGUUAGAUUAUUAGCAUUUUAAUAUUAAUAUUUAACAUAUUAAAUUGCUUUAUUUCGGAGUUAUAAGAAUGAACAUUGGAAUGGAUGACUUCUACAUCAUCCAUUAGCAUUGGUAAUCCAUCAAUGUAUUUCAUUCUUAAUUCCUCCAUUACUCUUUGUAACCUAUGUAACUCCCAUUGUAACCUUUCACUACACCAUUUUAGGUCUACGACAACACUAGAUCUGGACAACGCUUAUAAAGUGUUGCAUAAAAUACAUUUGGGGACGUUUUUAAAGUGUAGCCAAAAAUUUUGACUUUUAGUUACACUAAUAUUAGCAACACUUCUAAAGUGUACUCUUUAAUGGGAUAACCUACACUUUAUAAGUGUUGUUAUAGUUGGCAACAACUAUUUACAUAAAUGGCCACACUUUUAAAGUGUGCUAUUUUUAUAAUUAUUAAUACAACACAUGAAAAAUGUGGCCUUAGUGUUUUCCCCAAAAUUUUAUAUUCCCUCUAACAUUUUAACAUUAAAAUUUGAUCUCCCUCCAUUUUUAUUUGGCCAAAAAAAUAAAACAUUAAAGAAAUAUUUAAAAUAAUAAAACAACAAAACAACAAAACGGGCAACAUUAGUGAAACUUCAGCUGAAACUUUCACUUUCAGCUGAAGAACAAAUUUAUGUUCAAAACUGAAGAAAUCAUUUGCAAGAACUGAAAAAGAGGAUCGAAGAACGGAAGAAAUCGAUUUUCGUCACAAAUUCUGUCAAAGUUCAGUUGAGAACACCAUUUCCAGUCGAAGAAUCAAAGAGCAAUGUAAUUCCUCUAAGGCGAACUGAAGAAGAAUAUCCUCCUCUCCGAGCUUCGUUGUUCAAGAUUGGAGAGCUGAAGAAGACGAUUUUCUUCAAAGAUUCUUGGGUAAAGUGUUGUUCCAUCAGAGAUUCUUUUGAAAGUUGAAAGAAAAUGCUUCACAAAUCAACUUGCUUCAUAUCUUAAAGCUUUAGGGUUGUUGGAAUAGAGUUUAUCAGGUAAGAUAUUUUAUCUUCAAAAGUCUAAAUUAUAGCUCUAAGAUUUUGAUAUUCUUUUGUGUCAGUCCAAAAUUAAAGUUAGGGUUUUUAUGACUUGUGUUACUGAUACGAAUUUUAUUGAUUUAGGGAGUUUAGUUUGUAGUUGUAUGACGUAUAAAUGGGCAGAUUAUCUUUGACAGACUAAUUUUUUCUCUUAAAUGUUGAAUGUAGAAGCUGAAGCUAAGUCAAAAGUAUCUGAAGAACUGAGUUGUAGCUAAGUUAUCUUUCUUCGAAGAACUGAAGUGUUGAAGCUGGUGAUACCUAUAAUAUUUUGUCCCUAAAAUAGAUUCCGUCAAGUGUAAGUAGCUACUCUACAUGAAUUUGAAAAAGUUUUAAUGUAUGUUUUAAUGUCACUAUUUUUUUAGUCUUUUUUAGUCUUCCUGAGUUCAUGAUUGUGCUCGUCUUAAGCUUGGUUUGUUCCUUUGUUAACAACAUUGAUUCUGUCUUGUAGCUAUUUGCUGGUAAAAUUUUUCUUUUUUUGACUACAUGUCUUGAAGUGUCUAGAAGUCAUUUUGUUGUUUGUCUAGUGCAUUUUUCAAGUAUAGAUCAGAAACAUUAGUUCGAUAUUGCUUAGUUGUUUUGGGAUCAGCUCGUAGUAUGAAUUUGUUAAACUUGCUUUGUAGUUUGAGUUGCACAAUAUAAAAAAUAAAUCAUAUGCCUUAGAAAUUGGAGAUAUAAGAUAUAUUUUUCAAGUCUAGAACGGGUGGGCUGGGAGCAGUAACUUGUGAGAGUCUUUUCUGCUAACUGUUACUAGCAAUAACAGAAUAAAGUAGAAGAUUUGUUUUUGUGGUAUGGACAACUUGUUGGAUUUUGGAUAUUGUUGAAAGUGAGGCUUGCUUCAUCUAAGUUUUAGAAGAAUUAGGAGAAGUAAGUGCAAAAAAAUGGAGAGAAAGUUUUGUAUGAUGUUAAAGUUUGACCUAUUUGAUAAAUUAGAUGCAACGGAUAAGAUAAUAGCUUGUAACAGUAACGACCCGUUUAGUCGUUUUGAGCAGCAGACUUUAUUUCUGGAAAAACUGGCAGAAGCGACGGACCCCACGACGGAACGUCAUGGGCACGACGGACCGUCGCAGGGUCUCGUUUCAAAACACUUAGAAAAUCUGAAAUUGGGUACUAAAAAUCGACUCUCUGAACUUUGUGACGGAAUGGCAGGACGGACCGUCACAGGUGUGACGAACCGUCACAGACCCUUGGUGGAAAUUUGGGUCUCUGAACUCUGCGACGACCUGCAGGACGGACCGUCGCAGGCACGACGGCCCGUCACAGGUUGCGCAAAUCCCAGGCAGAAUCGGAUUUCCUUACACGUUUUAAGGGACGUUUUUGGACUAUUCUUUCCUUAAUUAUAGAUUUCGUGGGUUUAUAUUAAUAACUCAAUUUCUUGGGGGUUAAAAGAGGUAACCCUAAGUUAAUUAGUGGGGUAUUAUUGUCAUCUUUUAUUCUUAAUUAUAUGUUAAUUUGGGGUAAAAGAAAGAGGGUUUUGAAUAAGAAAAGAGAAAAAAAAGCGAGAGAUAGAUUGAUCGAUUGAGAGAGAGAGAGUCGAACGAGGAAGAAGAAUAUCAAAGCUUGGGAGAUUGCUUGUUGAUUCCAAUUCUUCGGUGGAGGUAGGUUAUGGUUUUCAUGCUUUCAUAGUGAACUCUUAAUAGAGAAUGAUAUGUAUUGGUAGUAUUGUAAACCCUACUAUAUGCUUAAUUGUAUGUUUGCGUGAAUAUGAUUAUGUGAUUGUGAUAAGAUAAGCAUGAUGAAAAUAUUGAAUCCCAAAUCUUGAAAGGAAACUUUAAUAUACAUUAUUAAUGAUGAUGCCUUGGUAUAGAAGAAGGUUUGAUGAAUUAAAGUAAUGGGAUUGAUGAUGCCUUGGUAUAGAGAAGGCCUGAUGAUUUACGGAAUGAUGUAGGGGAUCGGGUGUCACGAACCGACACGUAGAAUUAGGGGAUCGGGUGUCACGAACCGACACGUAGAAUUAGGGGAUCGGGUGUCACGAACCGACACGUAGAAUUAGGGGAUCGGAGUGUCACGUACCGACACAAGAGGAAUAAUGAAUAUGAGGGAUCGGAGUGUCACGUACCGACACAAGAGAAUUAAAGAUAAUGAAUCUUGAAAGAUGUUAAUAUACUCAAUCUAACGAACAUAAUUCCCAAAUUAGUAUGGUGUUGAGGCUUGAGCCCUCAUGGAUGAACUUGAUGGUACUUAUUGAUGAUUAUAAUACUUGUUGUGGCUACAUGUUGAGUUUUAUAGUUGAUUUACGAUAAUAUUGAUAUAUAUUGUUCCCUAUUUUGAGUUGGCCGAUGAUAUCUACUCAGUACCCGUGUUUUGUACUGACCCCUACUUUUAUGUUUUCUUCUUGUUUAUUUGUAGAGUGCAGCAAACGUGCCAUCGUCUUCAACUCAACAGUAAUUCAAGCCAGUCUUACUACAUCGGAAAUUCAGGGUGAGCUAAUGCUUCUAGCUUGGACUGGAUCUUCUUCUUCAAGUCUUGAUGCCUUGAACUUCCGGCAUGGACUAGCUUCUUAUGUAUUUUUAGCUUUUAGAAUACUCUUAGUUUAGUCAUUUGAUCGUAGAUGUUCUUGUGAUGAUGACUUCCAGGUUUUGGGAAUAAUAGAUGUUGAAUAUUGAUAGUUUUUGAAUUGAUUUUAUUAAUGAGUUAAGUCUUCCGCAUUAUUUUCUGUUGUUAUUACAUUGAAAUGAUAAGGUUUAGAUUGGUUGGUUCGCUCACAUAGGAGGGUAAGUGUGGGUGCCAGUCGCAACCCGGUUUGGGUCGUGACAAACUUGGUAUCAGAGCAUUAGGUUCGUUGGUCUCAUCACAUAAGAACAGGUAUAGUAGAGUCUUAAGGAACGGUAGGGGGACGCCUUUACUUUUCCUUGAGAGGCUAUAAGACUUUAGGAAAAAUUUCACUCUUUCAUUCUUUCUUUCGUGCUACUACUUGAGUCCAAUUGGUAUCUAGGCGAUACGAAUUGGUAUCUGACCAUCUUCACUCUCUUUCGCAGAUGGUUAGAACUAGAGCAACGACUACGUCAACACCAACACCGGCCAGACAAGAAACAACGGAGCCAGCCACUGGGGCUGUGGCUCGAGGAAGAACAGCGGCAAGGGGCCGUGGUAGAGGUCGUGGGAGGACGUCCUCUAGGGGAAGAGGACGAGCACCUAGCCCAUCUGAUACUAGGGCAGUGACCUCUCCACCGACUGAGGAGGUAAUAAGAGAAGGGGGGAUGGGGAAACUGAACAAGUGCAAAAUGAGGAAAUGCCACCCCAACCUACCCCAGAGAUGAUCAAUCAGGUUCUGGCUUAUCUUAGCGGGUUAUCUGAUCAAGGUCAGGCACCUCCAGUGUUUUCUGCGCCAACACCUCCGGUUUCAGAAGUACAACAUGCGGCUACUAUGGCUCCCCGCAUGGAUGUUCCAUUGGAAAUAGGCACGUUUCCACGUCUGACUACUGGGCCUAUAAUGACAAAUGAUCAGCAUGAACUUUUCAGUAAGUUCUUGAAAUUGAAACCUCCAGUCUUCAAGGGUGCGGAAUCUGAGGAUGCUUAUGAUUUUCUGGUUGACUGUCACGAGCUACUGCACAAGAUGGGUAUAGUAGAACGGUUUGGUGUGGAGUUUGUGACUUAUCAGUUUCAAGGGAACGCCAAAAUGUGGUGGCGGUCACAUAUCGAGUGUCAACCAAUAGAGGCACCACCUAUGACUUGGGCCACAUUCUCUAGUUUGUUUAUGGAGAAGUAUAUCCCCCGAACUUUGAGGGAUAGGAAAAGGGAUGAGUUCUUGAGCCUAGAGAAAGGUAGGAUGUCGGUUAAUGCUUAUGAGGCUAAGUUUCGUGCACUAUCCUGAUAUGCCACUCAACUCUGUUUCAGUCUUCAAGAGCGGAUUCGCCGGUUUGUGAAGGGGUUGAGGUCAGAAUUGCGGAUCUCGGCCUUACAGAUAGCGGCAACGGCAAAAUCCUUCCAAGAGGUGGUAGACUUUGUGAUAGAAGUGGAAGGAGUGAAGCCAGACGACUUCACCACAACAUCGACAUCAAAAAGGCUUCGAAAGGGAGGUGAGUUUAAUGGUUCUUAAACUAGAGGACAGGGUUUGGGAAGUUACUCAGUCCGACCAAUUCAGUCUUCACUACAGACUGUAGUUGGGGGACCACCUCAGACCGGUCAACACUUCUCCGAGGGGCAUAUGAUCGACUCCAAAGAAUGUUAUGGAUGUGGGGAGAUUGGAUAUAUUAGGAGAAAUUGUCCCAGACCAAGUUACAGACCCCCAAUAGCUAGAGGUAGAGGUGGUCAUGGUAGAGGCCGUUUUUCUGGAGGGCGUGGUGGUCAAGGUAAUAGUGGUCACCAAAACGGCAGAGGUAAUGGGCAAACUGGGGCCACUACAUCACAACAUGGUAGGGGCAACGGACAGACGAACGAUAGGGCCCAUUGUUACGCUUUCCCUGGGCGGUCUGAAGCGGAGGCAUCUGAUGCUGUCAUCACAGGUAAUCUUCUGGUUUGUGAUUGUAUGGCUUCUGUAUUGUUUGAUCCUGGAUCCACGUUUUCUUAUGUAUCUUCCUCAUUUGCUAAUGGUCUAAAUUUACUUUGUGAAUUACUUGAUAUGCCUAUUCGUGUCUCUACUCCGGUGGGUGAGUCUGUGGUAGUUGAAAAGGUAUAUAGGUCUUGUUUGGUAAACUUUGUGGGGAGCAACACUUAUGUAGAUUUGGUUAUCUUAGAAAUGGAUGAUUUUGAUGUAAUUCUGGGUAUGACUUGGCUUUCUCCGCAAUUUGCGAUCUUGGAUUAUAAUGCUAAAACGGUGACGUUAGCCAAGCCUGGGACAGACCCGUUAGUGUGGAAGGGUGACUACACUCCCAAUCCAGUCCGCAUCGUCUCCUUUCUUUGUGCUAGGAAAAUGAUUAGUAAAGGGUGUUUAGCUUUCUUGGCACAUCUCAAGGAUGACACUACCCAAGUACCUUCGAUUGAGUCGGUUUCAGUAGUUCGUGAGUUUCUGGAUGUGUUCCCUGCAGAUCUUCCUGGUAUGCCACCGGAUAGGGAUAUUGACUUCUGUAUUGAUCUUGAACCCGGUACUCGCCCCAUUUCUAUACCCCCUUAUAGAAUGGCUCCCGCGGAGUUAAGAGAGUUAAAAGCACAACUUCAAGAGUUAUUGAACAAAGGCUUCAUUAGACCAAGUGCAUCUCCUUGGGGUGCUCUGGUUUUGUUUGUAAAGAAGAAGGAUGGGAGUUUUCGAAUGUGUAUAGACUACAGACAACUAAACAAGGUAACCAUAAAGAACAAGUAUCCUCUUCCCCGCAUUGAUGAUUUGUUCGAUCAGUUACAAGGUGCUUGUGUCUUCUCUAAGAUUGACUUGAGAUCCGGUUAUCAUCAAUUGAAAAUACGGGCAACGGAUGUGCCAAAGACUGCUUUUCGAAUGAGGUAUGGGCAUUACGAAUUUGUAGUGAUGUCCUUUGGUCUUACGAAUGCCCUUGCUGUGUUCAUGAGCUUGAUGAACGGGAUUUUUAAGCCAUAUUUGGACCUCUUCGUGAUCGUAUUUAUUGAUGAUAUAUUGGUAUACUCAAAGAGCAAGAAGGAACAUGAAGAGCAUUUGAGAAUGGUAUUGGAAAUGUUGAGGGAGAAAAAGCUUUAUGCCAAGUUCUCUAAGCGUAAGUUUUGGCUAGAUGCGGUGUCCUUCUUGGGGCACGUGGUUUCUAAGGAUGGAGUGAUGGUGGAUCCUUCUAAGAUUGAGACAGUGAAGAAUUGGGUAAGACCCACUAAUGUGUCAGAAAUAAGGAGCUUUGUUGGGUUAGCUAGCUACUACCGCCGAUUUUUCAAGGGAUUCUCUUCUAUUUCUUCCCAAUUGACGAACUUGACUAAGCAGAACGUCCCAUUUGUAUGGUCGGAUGAAUGUGAGGAAAGCUUUUAGAAGCUCAAGACUUUGUUGACUACCGCACCUAUCCUUACCUUGCCAGUAGAGGGUAAGAACAUCAUUGUUUAUUGUGAUGCAUCCUAUUCUGGUUUGGGUGCAGUACUAAUGCAAGAGAAGAGUGUGAUUGCUUAUGCUUCAAGACAAUUAAAAGUGCAUGAACGUAACUAUCCCACUCAUGAUUUGGAAUUGGCCGCGUUAGUGUUUGCAUUAAAACAAUGGAGACACUAUUUAUAUGGGGUUAAGUGUGAGAUCUAUACGGAUCAUCGUAGCCUACAGUAUGUCUUUACUCAGAAAGAUUUGAACUUAAGACAGAGGAGAUGGAUGGAGUUACUAAAGGACUACGAUAUCACUAUCUUGUAUCAUCCGGGGAAGGCGAAUGUUGUAGCGGAUGCUUUAAGUAGAAAGGCGGGAAGCAUGGGAAGUCUAGCUCACUUGCAAGCUUCUAGACGCCCAUUGGCUAGAGAGGUUCAAACUCUAGCUAAUGACUUGAUGAGAUUAGAAGUAAAUGAGAAGGGAGGAUUGUUGGCUUCGGUGGAGGCAAGAUCUUCCUUUCUUGACAAAAUUAAGGGAAGACAGUUCGAUGAUGAGAAACUGCGCAGAAUCCAAGAUAAGGUAUUGCGAGGAGAGGCUAAGGAAGCACAAAUCGAUGAGGAAGGUGUUUUGAGAAUCAAGGGAAGAGUAUGUGUACCCCGCGUCGAUGGUUUGAUCAACACUAUUCUGACAGAGGCUCAUAGUUCAAGGUAUUCUAUACAUCCGGGCGCAACCAAGAUGUAUCGUGACCUAAAGCAACACUUUUGGUGGAGUAGAAUGAAGCGUGACAUUGUGGAUUUUAUUGCCAAAUGUCCAAACUGUCAACAAGUAAAGUAUGAACACCAAAGGCCCGGAGGAACACUUCAGAGAAUGCCCAUUCCGGAAUGGAAGUGGGAAAGAAUUGCAAUGGAUUUUGUGGUUGGUCUUCCGAAGACAAUGGGUAAGUAUGACUCCAUUUGGGUGAUUGUUGAUAGGUUAACUAAAUCUGCUCAUUUCAUUCCGGUCAAGGUGACUUACAAUGCAGAAAAGUUAGCCAAACUUUACAUCUCGGAAGUGGUGCGAUUGCAUGGGGUUCCACUAUCCAUCAUAUCAGAUAGAGGUACGCAGUUCACUUCUAAGUUUUGGAAAACAUUGCAUGCAGAAUUGGGUACUAGGUUGGACCUUAGUACUGCGUUCCAUCCCCAGACCGAUGGUCAGUCUGAGCGAACGAUUCAAGUGUUGGAGGAUAUGCUUCGUGCGUGUGUGAUAGAGUUUGGUGGUCAUUGGGAUAGCUUCUUACCCUUAGCGGAGUUUUCAUACAAUAAUAGCUAUCACUCAAGAAUUGAUAUGGCCCCAUUUGAAGCAUUGUAUGGUAGGAGAUGUAGGUCUCCCAUUGGUUGGUUUGAUGCGUUCGAGGUCAGACUUUGGGGUACUGAUCUCUUGAGGGAUUCGAUGGAAAAAGUGAGGUCUAUUCAAGAAAAGCUUCUAGCGGCGCAAAGUAGACAAAAAGAAUAUGCAGAUCGAAAGGUUAGAGACUUAGAGUUCAUGGAAGGUGAACAAGUCUUGUAGAAAGUUUCACCCAUGAAAGGGGUGAUGCGGUUUGGUAAAAGGGGUAAACUAAGUCCAAGGUACAUUGGACCAUUUGAAGUACUUAAGCGAGUGGGGGAGGUGGCUUAUGAGUUAGCCUUGCCUCCAGGGCUGUCCGGAGUACAUCCGGUAUUCCAUGUGUCGAUGUUGAAAAGAUACCAUGGGGAUGGAAACUACAUUAUCCGUUGGGAUUCAGUUUUGCUUGAUGAAAACUUGUCUUAUGAGGAGGAGCCUGUUGCUAUUUUAGAUAGAGAAGUUCGCAAGUUGAGGUCAAGAGAGGUUGCAUCCAUCAAGGUGCAAUGGAAGAAUCGACCGGUUGAAGAAGCCACUUGGGAGAAGGAGGCGGAUAUGCGAGAAAGAUACCCACAUCUGUUUAAAGAUUCAGGUACUCCUUUUCGCCCUUGUUUUCCUUCUUUUGAUCGUUCGGGGACGAACGAUGGGUAAAUUGGUAUCUAAUGUAACGACCCGUUUAGUCGUUUUGAGCAGCAGACUUUAUUUCUGGAAAAACUGGCAGAAGCGACGGACCCCACGACGGAACGUCAUGGGCACGACGGACCGUCGCAGGGUCUCGUUUCAAAACACUUAGAAAAUCUGAAAUUGGGUACUAAAAAUCGACUCUCUGAACUUUGUGACGGAAUGGCAGGACGGACCGUCACAGACCCUUGGUGGAAAUUUGGGUCUCUGAACUCUGCGACGACCUGCAGGACGGACCGUCGCAGGCACGACGGCCCGUCACAGGUUGCACAAAUCCCAGCAGAAUCGGAUUUCCUUACACGUUUUAAGGGCGUUUUUGGACUAUUCUUUCCUUAAUUAUAGAUUUCGUGGGUUUAUAUUAAUAACUCAAAUUCUUGGGGGUUAAAAGAGGUAACCCUAAGUUAAUUAGUGGGGUAUUAUUGCCAUCUUUUAUUCUUAAUUAUAUGUUAAUUUGGGGUAAAAGAAAGAGGGUUUUGAAUAAGAAAAGAGAAAAGAAAAGCGAGAGAUAGAUUGAUCGAUUGAGAGAGAGAGAGUCAAACGAGGAAGAAGAAUAUCAAAGCUUGGGAGAUUGCUUGUUGAUUCCAAUUCUUCGGUGGAGGUAGGUUAUGGUUUUCAUGCUUUCAUAGUAAACUCUUAAUAGAGAAUGAUAUGUAUUGGUAGUAUUGUAAACCCUACUAUAUGCUUAAUUGUAUGUUUGCGUGAAUAUGGAUAUGUGAUUGUUAUAAGAUAAGCAUGAUGAAAAUAUUGAAUCCCAAAUCUUGAAAGGAAACUUUAAUAUACAUUAUUAAUGAUGAUGCCUUGGUAUAGAAGAAGGCUUGAUGAAUUAAAGUAAUGGGAUUGAUGAUGCCUUGGUAUAGAGAAGGCCUGAUGAUUUACGGAAUGAAGUAGAGGAUCGGGUGUCACGAACAGACACGUAGAAUUAGGGGAUCGGGUGUCACGAACCGACACGUAGAAUUAGGGGAUCGGGUGUCACGAACUGACACGUAGAAUUAGGGGAUCGGGUGUCACGAACCGACGCGUAGAAUUAAGGGAUCGGGUGUCACGAACCGACACGUAGAAUUAGGGGAUCGGGUGUCACGAACCGACACGUAGAAUUAGGGGAUCGAAGUGUCACGUACCGACACAAGAGGAAUAAUGAAUAUGAGGGAUCGGAGUGUCACGUACCGACACAAGAGAAUUAAAGAUAAUGAAUCUUGAAAGAUGUUAAUAUACUCAAUCUAACGAACAUAAUUCCCAAAUGAGUAUGGUGUUGAGGCUUGAGCCCUCAUGGAUGAACUUGAUGGUACUUAUUGAUGAUUAUAAUACUUGUUGUGGCUACAUGUUGAGUUUUAUAGUUGAUUUACGAUAAUAUUGAUAUAUACUGUUCCCUAUUUUGAGUUGGCCGAUGAUAUCUACUCAGUACCCGUGUUUUGUACUGACCCCUACUUUUAUGUUUUCUUCUUGUUUAUUUGUGGAGUGCAGCAAACGUGCCAUCGUCUUCAACUCAACAGUAAUUCAAGCCAGUCUUACUACAUCGGAAAUUCAGGGUGAGCUAAUGCUUCUAGCUUGGACUGGAUCUUCUUCUUCAAGUCUUGAUGCCUUGAACUUCCGGCAUGGACUAGCUUCUUAUGUAUUUUUAGCUUUUAGAAUACUCUUAGUUUAGUCAUUUGAUCGUAGAUGUUCUUGUGAUGAUGACUUCAAGGUUUUGGGAAUAAUAGAUGUUGAAUAUUGAUAGUUAUUGAAUUGAUUUUAUUAAUGAGUUAAGUCUUCCGCAUUAUUUUCUACUGUUAUUACAUUGAAAUGUUAAGGUUUAGAUUGGUUGGUUCGCUCACAUAGGAGGGUAAGUGUGGGUUCCAGUCGCAACCCGGUUUGGAUCGUGACAGUAACUUUCCAAUUUCAUUACAUGUCAAGUUCUUCCAAAUAAAAUAGUAGUAAAUAGAAUUGUAAAGACAGUCUAUGGUCAAGUGCUUUUUUCCUCACUGACUAUAUUUAUCGGACACUCCAAAUAUGUUAUCACACCCACGCAUGUGCUGAUAAGUGAACUAGAAAUUGGACUCUCCAAAUUUGAGUUUCACUAGCUAAGUCUACUGUCCGAAAAAGUGAACUAAAAAUAAUCUUUUAAGACUGCAUAUUCUGCUAUCUCCUGUUGUUCUGUUCCUCUUUAAUAUGAAUUUUGUGAUACAUACAUAAAGCUUACACUUCUGCUCCUUCGCAUGUUUUAACUCUUCCAGCCAAGGACAUAUUUAAAAAUGAGAAAUUUGGGGUUGUUCUUUACAAUUAUGCUCCUCACGAUUUUCUUGUUGAAUAGUGAAUUCAAAAGCUCUAAUUAGAUGAUUCAUGCUAUGUUACUUACCUAGUACUUAUUGGAUAUCUUUUUUAUAGUUUGAAGGUUGAUCCACACCGAUCUUACUUGCGACUUGUAACACUUCCAUGGAUCAGAUGAAUUGAUUGAAAAAAAAUAUAAUGAAAUAUGACUUGACAAGUGUAACAUGUGCUAAUGAGAUAAUCAUCUCAUUUUGGUAUAUUGAGGUCAGUUUAUUCUCCAUGUCUUUUUAUGUAAACAUGAAUAUAUAACUUCUUAAAUGUCUUUAAUUUAUAGGACACAUAGUAGAAAUAAGGUAUUAAAACUAGCAUCUUUCACUUUUAGGACAUGAAGUAACUCAUCAAGUAUGUAAAAGAAUACUGAAUUAAAAUAAGUGAUAGAUACAAUGUUUAAUAUUAUCCAUUUCCUUUAUCAAAUUAUGUGAAAGUUUGUGCUUUGUCACGAUAUAUGUUGGAUAUGAUAUCCAUUUCCUUUAUACAGUCAAUGGCAUAGUGACAAAAUUUACUAUAGAAAAUGCGACGAAGACUAGGAUAGUAAUUGCAGAUAGAGACAUACAUAUAUUGGGAUCGUUUUGGAACAUUAAGAUUGCUAGAGAUUCACUUUGUAGUCUCAUUAUGGGGUCUUCCGCUGAUAAGGUUUAUUACAAGGUCAGAGUUGUUAUUGCCGAGUCGAGAUGCUUUGUUUUUUUUAUAGGAUGUUUAAGUAUCAAAGUUUGAUUUUGUUUGAAAUUAUUGGAUCUUGAGAUUUUGACCAAGUUCUGUCUUUUUCAAAAGAUGAACAUUUUAAGUAUGCAGUGAUUAUAUGUGUACUAGGCGAUGACCAUAUAAUUUUGGUUUCAUAGUUAUAUCUUUGUGUUAUCUUAUAUAUGCUAAUGUUAUAUAAUUAUUCGUACUUCUUAUGUGGUUUGUUAGACUAUAAUAUGAUUAUUUCAAUAAGAUUAGUUAGGUUGCCAGUGCACAUUGUGGUUUGAAUACUUGAUUUUACUUUUGAUAACAAACUUAAACUUUUUUAUUGCUUAACUACUCAUCUCAGAGCAAAUUAGAAUAGUUUGAGACCAUUUUGUUGGUGUCUAUAAUUUUCAGAAUUAUUGUGUUGAUUGUUCUGGUCUAUGUUUCUUCCCUACUGUACAUGCCAGAUAUGAUCAUAAGAGUCUGUGUUUCUUCCCACUUUAUAUGACAUAUAUGCUCAUAAGACAACACAUCUGCAUAGACAUAUUUUUUGUGAAGUAAGAAGGAUGUCAUUAAUAAAGCAUCAAGCAGAUGCACAAAUUACAAAAGAAUGAUUUUUCUGUGUCAAGAAAACAAUUAACAAUAGUGAUGAUAAAUUCUACGUAAGAAUCCAUACUAAAUACGGGAGAGAGAUAAACCCUCUGACAUAAAGCUUCUUCUCAAGUGCACUCCAUCCAAUAUAGGAAAAGAAAAAAUUAGUAGUGCCUAUCUUGUGCUUUUCUAUGAACCAUGUCAACCUUUUUAUCCUUUCUUUUGGAAUGCUUGUGUAGGAGGUGAAAAAUGCAACAAAAGACUUGAAUGGUAGGAACAAGUGGUCUAGUUUUUCAAUAAACCGAUUUAACAUGGUUUAUACUAGUUUUUCAAUACACUGAUUCAAUAUGGUUUAUACACUUAUAUAAAAAAUUUUAUUGAGAUUUUGAUUCUUAAUAGAUCACUUUUCCAACCUGAGGAUUUAAUUCUACAAACUAAGAAGAGAUUAUUUCAAUCUGGAGAGUCCAUUCAAGAGAAAAGAAUUAAACAUCCUAUGCAAAACUUUAGGUUCCAAAUGUCUUCAAAGUAAGGUGUUACUGAUUCAGUUUAUGUGACUGGGGAAACAUUUGGUAAUUCAGAGGUACAAAUGGUAUUCAAGAUUAAUUAAACUUCAAACAGGUGAAGAGGAAGUCUGUCAUACCGGCCACAAGCCUUGAUCAGUUUCUAGCAGAACAAUGGUUACAGAAAGAACAUGAUAUUAAUGAUCUACCAAACUGCAAGCAGGUAAAGAGGAAGUCGAUCAUAGGCGAUGAAACAAAAAUAGAUAACCACACAGUAGCUGAUGAUCUUGUGGAUCAAGAAGAAAUCAAUAGGGAUGAGUGUGCUAUAGAAGAGGAAAUUGGCAUUGAUUGUAGUACGAAAGGUAUGUCUCAAGCGUUAUAAGAUUUAUUACUUAUAUAAAUGACAUUUCUUAUUUACUUACUGUUACAUAAAUCAAGAAAUAUUGGAGGCGAAAAAAGUCCGAGGAAAAACAACAUGUAAGGAUAUUCAUGCAAGAAAUUUGGAAGAAAGAAAGGAGGUGACAUUUGAUAAAGGGCAAGCAGUGGGACCAACUGGUAAGAUAGUGUCCGAAUUCACCAACUUCAUAGGAACAAUUUCAAGGAACCCGAGGUUCAUCAACUUGAUGUACACUAGUUGGCAUGCGGUGCCAGAAGAUACUAAAAAGCGCAUGUGGGAAUAUAUCAAUGUAAGAACAAUUAAUUUUUAAAUUGCAUAUUUAUUCUUUGUUUUUACAGAUUUAAGCUAACUAUAUUUUAUUUUACAUAGUCCAAAUUCAUAAUUCCAAUAGAAGGAAAAGCGUGGGUGAUGACUGGCUUUCGUGAUGCUUGGAAGCGAUACAAGCAAAAAAUUAAAGAGAGAUUUUUUGAUAAAAAUAGUACCAUUGAGGACAUGCUAGCAAAACGUCCCAGUGACAUUGCAGAAGAUGAAUUUCAUCAAUUGAUCGAGUAUUGGAAAGACCCAACUGUUCAAGUAAGGCUAAAAUACUACAUUUCUAUUGUUCAACAUAUUUUGGAUUAUAUCGAUUCUAUUUUUGUUUUAUUUAUUAAUUCAAACAUAUCUUUUUAUAUAAUUAUAGGCCAUGUGUGAGAUGAAUUCUCAAAACAGGAAAAAGCAAAAAUGGAGGCAUCGAAUGGGACCUAUUAGUUUUGCAAGAGUACGCGUGGCAUUGGUAAUACUUAGCAUCUUCGGCCAUAUACAUUUAAUCCAUUUGUAUUCCUCCAAUAGAUUGAUAAGUUUUUAAAUAUCUUUUUAUAUAAUUUGUAGCAUGCAACCAAAGAAAACAAUGAGGAACCAUCAAAGUCUGAAAUGUUUAUUGCAACUCGUACAAAAACGGGAAAGGAACUUCAGGCCGAUACUCAAAUUGCAAUAGUAAGUUUUUUAAAGUGUAUUAAUGAUGAAUUUAAUUCAGGUUUAAUAUGCUUGAAGGGAUGUCAAUUGAAGUUACUUAAUGAACCAUAAACUCAUUUAUGCUAGAGAGAAAUAAGAAGUUCUUGAAUAUAAUAUGAAAGUCAAUUUUAUUCAAUAGGCUGAACUUAAGAAUCGCCAAAAUUCCGGGAAAACUGCAGAUGAUGCUUUUACGGCAGUGUUUGGUAAGGAACAGCCUGGUCGACUUAGGUGCUAUGGUAGAUCAGUGACAGCAAGUUCAUUGAAUAAAGAUGAGAAAGAUAGAAAGCUAAAACAAAAACAUGCUAAUGAAAUCACUUCUCUGAAAGAAGAAAUGAAUGAAAUGAGAGAGGAAAUAAGAGUAGAAAUGAGAGAAGAAAUGCGAAAUUUUUUUAGUCAAUUGCUUCAAAACAACACUGGAUUGAAUGUUCGAGGUAUGCAAGGGGGUGUUGUAUCUAACAUUGCUUCACCUAUUGAUGCGGGUAGUACACAAGCUGUAAAAGGCCAAAAUCCUCUACAAUCUUCCGGGUCAACUCAUGAUCCGAUUCUUCAAAAGGUAUUUAGUACUUUUUCAAAUUAGUCCUCUCAGUUUCUCAGAAAGUCUUCUUGUUUGUAAUUGUUAUUGAUUAACUUCAUGUUUGAAUCAAAUUAGUUAUUGUUAGUUGCUUUGGUUUGAAUUGAGCUAAGGUUUUGUUUCUCUUGACCACUGUUCAUCUUGCUUGUUUGGUAUGGUUGAAGUGUAGUUUUUCUAUGUUAGAUUUAGUUUCCUUGUUGCCUCGCUCUGAUGAGUAUGAAGUAACUCUGAACUUGUUACAUAUUCUCGAUAUGGUUUUGAAUAUUAUUGAAUGGUGGCGAAACACUCUAAAUACGACUGAGUUUUCUUUCUUUGGUUAUUGUUAGUGGCAUUGGUUUGAAUUGAGCUAAGGUUUUGUUUCUCUUGACCACUGUUCAUCUUGCUUGUUUGGUAUGGUUGAAGUGUAGUUAUUCUAUGUCAGAUUUAGUUUCCUUGUUGCCUCGCUCUGAUGAGUAUGAAGUAACUCUGAACUUGUUACAUAUUCUCGAUAUGGUUUUGAAUAUUAUUGAAUGGUGGCGAAACACUUUAAAUACGACUGAGUUUUCUUUCUUUGGUUAUUGUUAGUGGCAUUGGUUUGAAUUGAGCUAAGGUUUUGUUUCUCUUGACCACUGUUCAUCUUGCUUGUUUGGUAUGGUUGAAGUGUAGUUUUUCUAUGUCAGAUUUAGUUUCCUUGUUGCCUCGCUCUGAUGAGUAUGAAGUAACUCUGAACUUGUUACAUAUUCUCGAUAUGGUUUUGAAUAUUAUUGAAUGGUGGCGAAACACUUUAAAUACGACUAAGUUUUCUUUCUUUGGUUACUGUUAGUGGCAUUGGUUUGAAUUGAGCGAAGGUUUUGUUUCUCUUGACCACUGUUCAUCUUGCUUGUUUGGUAUGGUAGAAGUGUAGAACAUUACAGUCCAAAUUAUUGAUUAGUCGUGUUGCUACCCUUACUUUAAGGUUGGUGUUUCCAAGGAGCCUUUUUAGUUGAAUAAAGAUUUGAAUGUUUAGUAGAAAUCAUAGAUAACCUUCAGAGUUAAAGGAUCCUUUGUCUUAAAAAUACAAAUUAUUGAGUUCUCUAAAAGUAUAGAUCCCGAUGAAGUGAAAUGGAUAUUGAGGAUUCAGUCAGUUAGCUGUUCUACAGUCACAAAAGCUUACACAGCAGGCACCAUCUGUGGCUGUGCUCCUCAUUUGCCUAAUACAAAUAAGGUAGAAUUGCUUUUAUAUGGUUCAAGUUUUGGCUUCUAUAGAACAUGCAAACACAUAAAUACUUUUAAUUUCAUUUUUUUGAGUUUGCGCACCUUGAAUGCAAUCAAUGACCAUAAAGAUAUCAUUUUUAAUCUAUUUUGUGCUAGUAACAGCAAGAAUUUUGAGCUAAUAACAGUCCAAAUUAUUGUCUAAGCCUCUCUGCAAAUAAACUUUGGCAUAGUGUGGAAUCUGCAAUCUGCAGAUUUGUUGUUAAUAUUUUCUGUAACUGCUGCUGCAUUCUGUAGAAUAUCCAUGUUGUUAGCAUUAUUGCUGCUGCAAUCUGUAACUUUUGUUAAUGUUUUCACUAUGCCUUUUGUGCUUCUAUAUAUCAUUAUUUCCGUCAGUAAAGCAUGCUUCCAUAACUACAAACAAAUACACAAAUAAUUAUAGGAGAAUCUAAUUGUUUGUGUCUCCUCAUUAAUUCCUUUUCUCUAUAACUGUUGGAUUUCAUUGUUGCAAUCUGAAAGUCUUACCUCUUCUAUAUAACUGCCAAUAUCUUAUUUGUGUAGGGAAAUGGAGGUGAUCAAAUUUGAAGUGGAUGAUGAAGAGUUUUUGAACUAUUGUAAAAGUUUAAAUACAUAUUUGAUUUAUGUGUACACAUUUAGAAUAUUGAUGUAUAGGUAUGGGUAUGUGUACACAACACAUACUAUCUUUUGAAGUACUUUAUGGGAAAUCUAUAAAUUUGAAUUACUUAUUAGCGCUAGAGAUUAUUUAUUGCAAUAUAAUAUUGGAGUAUUGUAAUUAGAAAUUGUGGCAUAGGACUGUAAAUUGUGUAUGCACUUGAGCAAGGACAAAACUUCAAAGUGUUGUCAUACAUUAGAUAGAAAAGGCAACACUUGAUAAGUUUGGGCAAUAUGGUAGCAAAGGCCACGCUUCAAAGUGUAGCUUAUAAAGCAACACUUAUAAAAGUAGCAGCAGAAGCGUGGCUUUUUCUGUUUUAGGGUACGGUUGUAAGUGUAGCUGAUAAGGCAACACUUCUAAGCGUAGCUACAAAGUGUGGCCUUUUUGACUUUGAGGCUACGCUUAAAAGUGUUGCUCAUAUGGCAAUACCUCUAAGCGUAGGUAAAAAGCGUGGCCUUUUUUCCUUUUGUCUACGCUUUUAAGCAUAUCUGAUAAGGCUACGCUUGUAAAGCGUCGCCUAAACUCUAAGGUUUCACUGCUUUCGGCCACACCUGGAAAAGUGUCGCUUAAAGUCAAAAAGUGUGGCUUUUUACCAAAGGCCACACUUUUUCAUAGUUUAGGCCACACUUUUCUAGGGUGGUUGGAGACAUAAAAUGUUGUAGUGUUUGUAACCUAUGUAACUCCCAUUGUAACUUAUGUAACCUAUGUAACGCCCAUUGUAACCUAUGUAACUCCUAAGACCAUUAUCUUCACUAUUUACUACCUCCAUUAUCUUCCUAUUCAUUGCUAGGAAGACUUCUUGUAGUAUAAAUAGUGGUAGUCUUCAUUUGGUUUUAGAGACACACAAUUCAUAAGAGAAAACAAAGAGUGAAAGAGUUAGUCUAAAAGAGAGUUCUUAUUAGUUGAAGGGAGGUGUUCUUUUUUGUGGAGUUUUGGACUCAACUCUUGUCCAGAGUUGUUGAGUUAUACUUUGUGUAAGCUGUUGUAUCCUGGAGGGGACAAGUCAAAGAGGACUACUUCUGGACCGGUGAAAACAUUUGUUGUAGUGGGCUUGAAUCUUUUUAAAGAGAGAGAGAUAUCCGCGCCUCAACCUGAAGAGAUUACUUUCUUCAUUUUAUUUUAAAUUGUAAUCUUGCAAUUUUAUUAUCUUGUAAGUUUUUUCACUAACACUGAGGAAUUACCUGAAUCAAAGACACGACCUUAUUCUAUAUUGGUGGUGUAAUAUGGGGUUUGAAUUAUAUGAACUCUUAUCCAAAUCGAUGUUAAAUACUAUUAUUAAAAUAACGUAAUAUUAUUCAAUAAUUGUAUGAUAUCCCAUUUAAGAAAGAGAUUUCAUUUUAAGAGAGAAAAAAACUAAAAAAUUGAUACUUUAAGUUUAUGCUUAUUAAUACCUUUUUAGAACUAAACUUUAAUAAAACUUGACUAUGCUUUUUUAUAAAGUUAAUCAUGUUUUAUUUAAGAAUAUGUCUAUUCUUUCUUUCGGAAAAUAUGCAUCAUGAUGUUAAAAUAUAUUGAAUUUUUCUAAAACAAUCACUUGAAGAGAAAAAUGUUCUUGAAUCUUUCUAAAAUAAUGCACUUCAAUCAAAAUAUACUUUCAUGAACUUUUUUUUGAAAGACUUCUUUAAAAUUUUGAAACUUACUUUACUCAUGAAAACAAUACAUACAAAUUACCAUGACAAGGUUUUCAAAUAACUUUUAGCUAAAAAGGGUCCAUAUGGUAAAAUCAGCAUUAACCAUAUAAGAUCAUAAACUAUAUGAAGUACUAUAAUUUCAAUACUAAAAUCAAGAAUCAAUUCAAUAGGAAAAUAGAGCAAUUUGAAAAUCACAAACUUUGGGUAAAAAAAGUUAGCUUUGAUCUUACUAACUGAAAUUGUAGAUACAGGGCGUGGAGAAGAAUUUAGUUUCUCACUAUGAUAGUCUUACUUAACUUAAAUUCUCCACAAAAAUCUGGAAGAAGAAUCUUAACUAGAUGAAGAGUCUUUUCUUGAAAUUCUUGGGUUCAUUUCUUGAAAAUCCCAUGUUUUUUUAUGGUAGAUUCUUGCUUAGGCUACAUAACUAGAAGUCAAAAUCACUAAAAAUUGUGAGAGUGUGCUUAUCUUGAUUCUCAAGGAAUAAUUCGUGACGUUUUUUCUAUAAAAUUCAAUUCUAGGAAUUCUCAAAUCCCAGAAUUGAAUUUUUUAUAUUCACUAAAGAUAGAAAGAGGAUUUGAUGUUUGAAUCUUAUUGAAAUUUUUGAAUUUAUGUUUUAAGAUCAUGGAAAGUACUUACCAUGACUUAGUAGGGUUUAAGAGAGCUCUUGGGAGCUGUUGGGAUAGACCAAAGAGUGAAAAGUGAGGAAAAAAACUCAAAAUAUUGUUCUUGUGAAAUCUUAAAACAUUGAUAUACAACUAAUAUAUAUGAUAUACAUGGGUCCGUAGAAUGAUACACAACUCAUGGAUUGGUUGUUUCUUGGAAUAUAUGCGAGAACUUUAAGUUCAAUUGCAUGAGCUAGAACCACUGCUCGUAAAUGGCUUCACGGAGGGUAGUUGUCAAUUCGUGGAAAUUGGGAACAAAAUUCUCAGAUUGGAGUAUCUGUAGUACUUGCUCCUUUCAUUCUUUUAAAGUUCCUCAGUCGUGUUGGCAUACUCCUGUUGGGUUCCAAUUCUCCCUACAAAUAUAAUCAUUAUAAUAAUAUAGAUUGUGAUAUUUUCAAUUGAUCUGAUUGAAAGAAAACAGUUUUUCUCACGUUACAAAAUAUAGUAAUUUUACCUGAAGUAAUAUCAUCAUCAAGUAUAUAUAGUACAAGAAAAGGGAUAAUGUACAAGUACCCCUUCAACCUAUGCCCGAAAUCUUAUAGACGCACUUAUACUAUAUUGAGGUUCUAUUACCCCCUGAACUUAUUUUAUUAAUAAUUUUCUAUCCCGUUUCAGCCUACGUGGCACUAUCUUGUGGUCAAACGCUGGUUGACUUUUUUUUUCAAGCUAGUCCCACAUAGGCCGAAAAGGGGUAGAAAAUUAUUUAUAAAAUAAGUUCAGGGGGUAAUAAGACCUUAGUAUUAUAGUAUAAGUGUAUCUCUUGGAUUUCAGACAUAGAUUGAGAGGGUACUUGUACAUUUUCGCACAAGAAAAUAAAAAUACUUAUCAAGCUAAGUAUCUCUUGAAAUAGUCUUUCUCAUUUAUUUGUUUUUACCUGAAGUAAUAUCAUCAUCAGGUAUAUUUUUUGAGACAAUUCUUUUGUUGUCACUAAAUCAUAGAUUGAUUAGAGAGAAUAAAAUAUUUGUCACCAAUUAUUUAUAUUACUAGUAAAAUUACCCGCGCUUCGCGUGGAAAUUUAAUAUCAGAGAAUUUAUAAAAUAAUAUUAUAAAUAUAUCAGUUAUAUCAAAAUUAAAACACUAUGUUAUCUCACAUACACGAUUACGUGGUAACAAACAUUGAUAAUGUAAAGGAAAGUUAAAUUUGUUAUAUCUUAUCAUUUAUCCUUAAUAACAUAAGCACAAAUUAAUGACUAUAAAAAAACAUACCAAAAUCUGUAACAUCAACAAUGGCGUCAAUGAGCCACUUAACAGGAACAAAGUACACAAAAAAUUAGUUGUGACGAAGCAGAAGAGAUUUAGAAUUUUCGUUGUUAUAAAAUGAGAGGAAAUCCCUCUAUUUAUAGACAACAAAGACUAGUAAACAAAUAUUUAUCGUGCCUUAGCAGAAAUGUUACAACAAUUUGGAAAAGUUGCAACCUUUCAUAAAAAGUCAGAACUUUUCAUAAAAGUUGCAACUUUUCAUUAAGUCGCAACUUUUCAUUAAAGUCGCAAAUUUUCAUUAAAAUCGCAACUCUAUAUAAAAUUUUGUAAAAGUCACAACUCUUCAUUCAAGUCACAACUCUGCAUCAAAAUCGCAACUCUUCAUAAGGGUCACGAUUUUUCAUGAAAGAAAAAGGCUAGUUUUGAAAAUAAAUAAAUUCAAAAGGAAAUUUUGAUUUUUGAUGGCGCCACAUAGGCGGGUCCAAGUGUUCCUUUAUAUAUGUAUAUAUAUGAUAUAUGAUAUAUGAUUAGUGACAAAAUAAGUGUCAUAAAUAUAUAUAAAUUUUCAUAGCUAAAAUUUAUAAUAUUUAACUACAAACUCUAAUUUGUCGAUAUGAUAACAACAUAUAUUUUUAGAUGAAAUUUUUUAUGUCCAAAACUUAAUUAAUUAUAAGACAAAUAUUUUUUUUCAUGAAUUAGAUACAUUAUUAGUGACGAAAUAAUGUGUCGCUGAUAACUUCAAAUUUGUGACUAACACUUCUUAACAAAUGUCGUCAAUUAAUUUUUUGGUGGGAAACUUCAGUGGACAAAACUUUGCUACAAAUUUUUAUGUUUCGUCACUAAAAGUAUGUGUUUCAUAUAUUUAAGCACGAAAAGUAAAUUUUGUCACUAAAAGCGAAUAAUUGGUGACGAAUUUGAUGUCGUAGUUUGUCAUGAAUUACAUACACUAUUAGUGACGAAUGUAUCAGCGAUAAUUUUAAAUUCGUGACUAAAGUUACUUAAAAAAUGGCGCCAAAUAAUUUUUUGGUGGGAAACUUUAGUGGACAAAAAUUUGCUACGAAUUCUUAUGUUUUGUUACUAAAAGUAUGUGUCUCAUAUAUUUAAGUACGAAAAGUAAAUCUGUCACUAAAAGCGAAUAAUUAGUGACGAAUUUGAUUACGUAUCUAACAAUUCAUAACUAUAUAUCAUAUUUAUUGUAGUGUAUGGCUGCGAAGGUGGUAGAUACUCCGACGGUGAUGGACGAGACAAUGAUAGUUGUGGUUGUGGUGGUUGUGGUGGUGGAAGCUGCUACAAGUGUGGUGAGGACAAUCAUUAUUCAUGUGAAUUCACUAAUGAUGGUCAUUGAUUGUGACUUAAAGUCUGACUGCUACUAAAAAAGUUAAUCAAAAGUAUUUUUGUAUAUAGAGAGAGUCCGUGAGUGAAAAAAAAAGAAGAGAAGUGUGAUUUGUAUAGUUGUUUUUCAAACGGAUACAUUUAAUUUGGUCUACUAAUUAUUUAUUACAUUUGAAAAAAUAAUUAUUGACUAAUAAUAAUAUAGUCAAUACUCUUAAGAUCCGUGAAUUUUGACUAGGAAAAUUCUCUUAAGGUCCAAUAAGUAAUUUACUUAUCAAAAAGAAUAUUUUCAUUAGUCAUAAGUUUAUAAUCAAUCAAUAAUAUUCAAAAGUAAGUGAAUCACUAAAAGGGAAUUUAUUAGUUUAGUUACAACUUAUAGUAUCUUUGAAAAUAAUAAUUUUUUUAGCAAAACAAGUAAAGAUGACAUGUGUUGUAAAUAUAUAAUUACCUUGUGCCUUCAAUUUCUCUUUUCUCCAUUAUUUUUUUCAAUUUCUUGCUUGAAUAAUUGAUAUAUUACAUAAAUCAGAUCUAAUGGCUAAGAUAUAAUUUAUCAAAGUACAUAUUUAAUCAUAAUUUAUAUAAUAAAUAUAUUACAUGUUAGGAAAAAACAAGUUCUCUUCCUUUUUGUUUAUCUUUCACGCAAAAUAUUUAUCUUUCAUUCUCAUUUUACAUUAAUCUUUUAUCGCAUUUUUAUUUGAGACUUUUUGUUUAAUAUUUUUUGUAUUUAACAUACUUAGGAACAUGGGCCCUUUUGAAAAGUUUGGUCAUAAUUUGACCAUAAUAGUAAAAGCACAUGUUCACAUUAUGAACUAGUUUGUUUUUUAUUAUAUUUACCCUUUAACUAAAAUAGCGAAUAUAUUCUUCAAUUAUAUUUCCAAUGCAUUGGAAAUGAUUGAUGAGACUAAUUAUUUAUAAUUCCAUGUUUAAAUAUUAAAAAUGAACCACAAAAUAUAUCUAUAAAAAAUCAUGAGUAUCACCCACCCUUCAUUUGAAAUUUUCAAUAUCUAAGAAAUUAUUUUACCAAAAAAAAUUAAAAAUAUAAGCGUAGUAAAAAACUAUAUAACCAAAAAAAAUGUAAAAAACUAUAGUAUCUCUGUUUUAGUUUCAAAAAUUCCUCUUUUUUACUUUUUUUUUUACAAAAAAUUAUUUAUUUUCUAUUUCUGAUGCCUUAAUGAUAAAAAGGGAAAAUUUUAAAAGUAUAAAUGAGGAAUAAAGUGCAGAUGAUCUAUUACUUUAUAUUUUCUAAUCUAAAAAAAAUAUAUUAUAUCUAUAAUUUAAUAUUAAAAUUUUUACUUAAAAUUAAUAAUCUGAAAUUAAUCGAGUUGGCAAAAUAAUUACUCUUAUUUAUUUGAAGGAGUUGUUAUUAGAAAUUAAAUUUUUAGAAAGAAGUUAAAUAAUAAAAGUAGAGUAUAUUUUAUUAGAUUAUACUUAGAAUGUAUGUGAGCAAAAUAUGAAGAAAACUGAAACUACAAUAAUAUGUCUCGUAUUAUGUCAUUGCCUUCAUAUCUCAAUCUCAGAUGAAUCAUAUCAUAAUAAAGACUCAUCAAAAUUAGUACUUUUUUUUUUAUUUGAGUAGUAGAGAUGCAUACAAAUAUUAUUUGGAUAAAAGUGUUGAUGGAGUUUCAUUGAAAAAUUAUAAUAACAUCGAACGAAUAUAGAAAAAUCUUUAUAAUUUCAAAAUAAUCUUUUAUAAAAAUAAAUUGAAAGAAAAAUAUCUUUAUAGUUCUCUGAUGAUAAUGACAUUACCGAUACUUAAAUAAGCUCUAAUUAAAUAAUCUAAUUAAUUAUUGUGUACACAAAUGUAAAUUAUAUAUUAUUAUUUUUAAUUUAAUGUGAAAAAUAUUACAAUAAAUACAGUCAAAAAUCAAAAUGCUUUUAAUAUAUUAUACAAAUCAUAAGAUUCAUAUAACUUAUAAGUAUCAAUCCUAAUUAAUUACACUAAACAUUUUUAUAUUAUAUAUAUUCAAUCAAAGAUAGACCCUCUAUAUUUUGAAAUCAAACAUUCACGUCCUCUAUAUUACAAAUCAUAAAAAUUUUAUCCACCAAUAAUGUUAUUUCUAAUUUCCUAACAAUAUAUAUAAAUAUUGUAUAAUAUAAAUGUUCUACAUAAAUGAAAUUUUAUCUAACUAAUUAUAUAUACAUAAUUCUAAAGCAAGAAAAUAAAUAAAAAGAAAUUACACAUAAUAAAUAUUGCAUUUAAAUAAAAUUACAACUAAAGUACGUAUUUAUAAAUUACACAAUUGAAACAAUAUUUUAUAAAGGUUUUUAUUUUUUAUUUUUGUUGCAAGUGAAGUGAAGUCAAAAGGAUUUUAUAUUUGUAAAACUUUUAUUUGUUUGAAACAAGAAAACCCAUUUGAACUUAAGAAGAGAUUGAAAACUUUUAUCAAAACUAAAGCAUAGAAAGAUAUUCGAACUCAUAAACACCUAAUCUUACCCAUAAAUCAAGCCCAUUUUAAAUAAAUUAUCGGCCGAUUUUAAACAAUUUUGUUUAGUUUUUAUUUUUUCGAUAAAUUACGAAAAUGAGUAAUUGAUUAAUAAAAAAAAAGGAAGAAUAUAAAAAAAAUAUAAAAUUAACGCCAAAAAUUCACAAAUAAUUAUAGUAACCUUAAAUUUAAUUUAAACAUUUUUUAAAAAAAUUUCAAUUUUUUUAAUAAAUCCAGAAAAUAAGUAAUUGAUUAAUAAAAAAUAUAAAAAAAUAUAAAAUGAACGCCAAAAAUUAUAAAAUAAUUACAGUAACCUUAAAUUCAACAAUUUCAAUAACUUAUUACUUUUAAAUUUUUCGGCAAAUUCCAAAAAUGAGUUUAUUAACAAAAAAUAUGAAAAAUUCACAAAUAAAAAUAGGAAAAUAUGAAAAAAAAAUAUAAAUAUAAAAAAUUGUUGAAAUUAUUGAAUUUGAGGUUAUUAUAUUUAUUUGUGAAUUUUGACGUAAACUUUUUAUUUAUUUUUCAUAUUUUUGCCUUUUUAUUAAUAAAAUAUCUCUUUCUUUCUUUUCUUUUUUUUCUUUCACACAGGAUAUUUUUUCAUUCUCAUUUUAUGUUGUUUUUCACACAGCAUUUUUGUCUGAAACUUUCUCUUUUUAAUAAGAUUUAUUGAAUUUUAAAUACCCAUGAACAUGGGCUUUAAAAAAUAUACACUAUAUUGAUAUAAAAUUAGAGAAGAAUAUAAUAUUAUUCAUUCAUAUUAAAAACAUAUUUUUCAUGAGAAGUGAAAAGAUAAUAAAAUACUUGGUAUAGCAUGACAAAAUCUCAUGUAAUAUAUAUUACGUGUCAAUUUGCUAAUUUAGCUAAAACACGAAAGACAAAACAACUUAUCUCAAUUAUGUAUUUUCCUUUCUCAAUCAAACAACCAAACAAAAAUUCAUCAAAUAAAAUUUAGAAGCGUUUGAAAAAUAAAAUGAAGACGAUGAAAAUUUUCUAAAUUAAUGUUAUAGAAGAUACAUAUACAAAUAUUUGAAAUGGUUACAACUAUUUACAAAAACAUUCCACAUUUCUAUUUACAAAAACAUUCCUAUUGCCUUUUUAUUUUUCUGUAGAAGUAACGAACUUUUUUAUACAAAGAAAACAAUGAGUGAGCAAAGAGGAUGAGGGAAACUAGUUUAUAUAAACAUCUCUUAAGAAUUAUUUUAAUUUUUUUGCAAAGAGAAUAAUGAGUGAAUAGAGAAGGAAGAGGGAGAGUGGUUGAUAUAUUUAUAGUUUAAUUACAUUAAGCUACAUUUUUGGCAUAUCAAUUACAAUAAUACAUAAAAAUAAAAAAUGAUGAUCCGGAAAAUGCACAAAUAUCUAUUUAACCUAUGUAAGAAAUCUCGGAUAUAUAUCGGGAUAACAUGACCUUAGUAUAAUAUAAAUGUAUCUAUGAGAUUUCGGACAUAUGUCGGGAUAGCUAUGAAUUUUUCCAUGAUGAUGCAAAUAGCCAUUUUAAAUAGCUAUCAAAAGUUCAUAUUGGAAAAAUGAUUAUUUAAUUAUUAACUAAUGGUAGUUAUUAUACUCAAACUAGUUUAGUUAAAGCAAAAAUUACGUCAAUUUUGUCGAGGUCCACUAGCUUACUUGCCCAAAAUUGUUUUUAUUAAACAAAAUCAAAGUAAAGAGAAUUCUGCAUAUAGGUAAGUGAAUCACAAAAAAAAAAGGUCUAUUAAAGAAAAGUGACACGUCAAUGCUUGUCAGCUAAAGUCGACAAUAACUUGUUUGAAAGGGUUGUUGCACUUUAGUCAAACAAUAAAGAUUUAUUUUUAUAUCUGACUGCAUGUUUUUUUAACUUAUUUAUUUCUUAAACAUGACACAUGUCGUUCUUAUACAUUAAAACAACAUUUCUUUAUAUACAUAAUAUUUUUUGUUUUUUUUUAAAAAUAAUUAUGGCUAUACUCGAAGUUUUUUUUCUUUUCUCAAAAGUUUUUCCUUUUAACCGUUACAGUGGGACAAACUUUCUAUAUUUGACAUAACAAUUAUUAUUAUUGAAAAAUUAAUCAGAACGUCCGUAAAUUAUUAUUUUAAAAGAUAUUACACUUCAUAUCUACUAAGUAUUUGAUUAUUAUUGGUAUGUUCUACAUAUAUUUUCAAUUAAAAAUUUAUGUUGUGUAUUUUUAAUGGUCAAAACUUUUAUAUAAGUGUGGAAUCAUUUUCUAAACCAACUUUAACAGCGAUACAUAACCUGCUUGAAUUUGUUCAUAAUGUGUUUUUGUUCAAAUAAUACAAUACAUUUAUUAGCAAAAGAGCAUUUUUGACCCAAUAAAUAUAUUUUUGGAUCAGUUAACAUGAAAGAACAUUUUAAAAUUGAACUAUUAGCGAAGGUAUUCUUUGUUCAAUUUAAACGUAAUUUUAAAAUGGAAAAAUUGUAUAUAAUGACAAACUAAUAAAUUAAAUUAAAUAUUGUAAUCACACUUUGAUUUAGUUGUGUCCCGUAGCAAACUGUUUGUCCGUCAUCUCUCUCUCUCAAACUCUUGCUUGUCACUCUCCUGUCUCUCUCUCUCUCUCCAUCUCUCGCUCGCUUCCUCUCACUUUUAUACAAACAAAAGUGUAUAAAAUGUGUUUUUAUUUGUAUAAAGCGAGAAAAAUUAUAUAUAUACAUAUAUUUUCGUUCCUCUCUCUCCCCUCUUUCAGAUCUCGCUCUCCACUCUCCCAGAUCUUGCUCGCCACCCUUGCCUCUAUCGCUUAUACAAACAGAAACAAAUUGUAUAAAUUCUGUUUCUGUUAGUAUAAAGUAAGAGAAAAUUGUAUAUACAUAUGUAAAUACAUAUAUCUUCGUCUUAUACACUUAUAAUUAUAAGAUAAAAGUACUUCUCUACCCAGUUUAUUUUGCAUUUCACUAUUUCUCGUUUUAUACAUAUUCAAAUGGUAUAUAAUUUAUCGUUCUCGUUUUAUACAAUUUGAUUCAAUUUUAUAUUCUCUGCCCAAACCUCUUUUUUCUUUCUCUCUUUCUCAUUUAUACAAAUUCAAAUUGUAUAUAAUCGUCCUAUAUAUGUUUAAUUACACAAUACAAAAAUUUCUCUGCCCAAGUCUCUUUUGCUUUUCUCUUAUAUAUAUAUAUAUAUAUAUAUAUAUAUAUAUAUAUAUAUAUAUAUAUGCUAUGGAACACAAUUAUGCAAAUUUUACUAUAGCAUACAAAUAUGAAUUUUGUAUUUGCUAUAUAUGAAAGUUGCCCUUUUAAAAUAUAACUUUUACUUGUUUUUAGGAAAAUAAGGAGAUCCAAGAAUGUUAUUGAAGGGUUUUUGUGGGGAAUACCAAUCAACUUAUAAUUAUUGAAUUUUAUAUAUAUAUAUAUAUAUUUAUUUUAAAUGAUCAAACCCUCUUCUUAACUUAGACAAAUUUUUUCAGAUUUUUCUUUUCUUUUCGAAAAUGAAUAUUUUUAAUUUUUUAGCUUAUUCUUAGCUAUUUCAAAUUGUGAGAUGUUAUACAACUCAACACCAAUACUGUAAAAAAUACAUAUCCUCAACAACAAGCUCAAUAUUAAUCAAUCAAAGUUUCACAGAAAGGCACUCACAAGAUCAGCAAAACACAAUAUAAAGUUUUCUAAUGAUAAAUAUGUGCAAUGUAAUGGAAUGCAAUAUCAAGUUUAGUGAUGCAUGUCUCACCUAGUGAAACACACCCGUUGUCUCUCGGUUGGGGACCCAUGAGAGAUAUAUCUGUACAUGCAUCUAUCGUGACAAGCAAUACGAUCCUCGAUAAUAGUAAUCACCGCAGAGCGUUAUACGUCCUUUGAAAUAUAGUAUCCAUCACGGCUCGUGAUACAUCCCUCGAAAUGGUAAAACCUCUUUAAUUUCUUAUUCUUUAUCAAUUCAAAUAACAUUUAUCAGAGCCAUCUCCUUGAACAAUGAGAAUGACAAGUUCACACAAAUAACGAGGAGAUGACCAUUUUCAUAACAUUGCAAAAUUCACAACAACAUAAUCAUGAUACAACAUAAAGAAUGAUUCAACAAGCCUUUCAUGUUUUUCUCAACACAUCGCACACAAAUUAUUAAUCACAUUGCUUUUUAUUAUCCAUUUUUCAUCAUUAGAAUUAAUCAAUGUGGACAAGUCAAUCCAUCACCAAGUUUCAUUAUCCCCAAACACAUAUUAUUAGGAAAUACCAGAGUCCCAUACACUUAACAAGAGUUUAGAAAUUCACUUGCCUCAAUCAUUCAAUCCACUCGAGACUUGAGUCUUCCCCUUUCGUUGAACUUCCAACUCAAAACAAUUUAUUCAAAUACAUGACCACAAUAAGAUUUAAAACUGACAACAUCAUAUUACUAUGUGUCUAGUUUAGAAUAAAGAACUUAUCCAAUCUAAAAUUACUUUCUUUAGUCUUGAUGCUAAUUAACAUGUCAAUUCUUUCAAUUUUUCUUCAGUUUUCAAGUCUAGGGUUAUGUACUAGUUUCUCUUGAAAUAACACAAGUCUAAAGUCAUUCACAAAGUAUAAUACAUUUAAUAUUUAAUUAUCUAUCUCAAUAUAUCAAAACUUGAAUUAUAUGUGAUAAUUAUAAGAAGGAAUUGAAGAUUCACUAGAAAUCCAAAUUCAUGAACAUAGCAUUUUUGUUCACGGGAAAACCAAUCUAGAACGGUACAAAUUGAUACAAGUUAUGUACCUAAAAUUUAUUCCCCAACAAUAAAAUACCAAUUAUUGUCCUAUGACUAUCCUAAAAUCAGUAGGUCAUUAUUAACCAUAUUUUCACCCAUCCAUACAUAAUAAAAUACAUUCUAACCACAUAUUGCAAAACACAUGCAUUUUUUUCUUUACAUUAUUUCCAUCAACACAUAAAUAUAAUAUAAUAUUAUCGCCUGACCAUAAACUAAAUCAUUAAUUUUACAUACAAGUUUAAUUCGUACCUGCACUGGCGGUCAUUUCACUGGUUAGCGAUGCCGCCAGUUUCCUUGCUUUUAUUUCCUCUUAAAGUUAGGAUCUAAAAUUUUUGUUUAUAUUAAUAAAUAUGGGUCAAGUGGUAUAGGGUUUUAAAUGAAUUUCAGACUUUACUCAUUAUUAUCAACUAAAUAAAUAUAAAUCAUUUAAGAAAUCGUAGGUUAUCGAAUAGUUUAAAGUUCUUAAAUCAACAUUACCAACUAAUAUAAAUUACAGAAAAGGCUCAAAAAAACCCCUAAACUAUUCGAAAUAGCUCAAAGUUACCAUUAAACUAUAUUUCGGCUCAAAACGAUCCUUCCCAUCAUACUAUUGGGUCAAAAGUACCCUUUUUUAUUAACGGAAGUUGUUAAAUGUCAUGUGGAUGCCAUAUGGAUACCACGUUGCAUGCAAAUAGGGUUCAAAUGCCACAUAGACUAAACAAAAAAAGGUCAAAAAUACCCUUAAACUAUUCGAAAUAGCUCAAAUAUACCCUUAAAGUAUAUUUCGGCUCAAAAUUACCCUUCCUAUCAAACUAUUGGGUCAAAAGUACCCUUAUUACUAACGGAGUUGUUAAAUUUCAUGUGGAUGCCACAUUGCAUGCCAAUAAGGUUCCACUGCCAUAUAGACUAAAUCCCUAAAUCUAAUUACUCCCUUUCCUCCUCGUUUCAUUAUUUUUCCGAAACGAUUCACCCGUUCUCCAUUAUUUCGUGGCUAGGGUUUCACAAUUUUCUCGUGGCUGGGUUUCAAAGUGGAUAUUCAUGGUUGUAGUUUAGUAAAUUUUUUUUCUUACUUUAUUAUGUUUACGAUUUCAAAGCAUGAUAGUCAGGAUUUCAGAACUUUCCCCUUAUUUCGCGGCUAAGGUUUCUAGCUUUCUUCGAGGCUGAGUUUCAAAGUGGAUAUUCAUGGUAGUUGGUUAGUAAAUUUUUUUCUUAUUUGAUUAUGUUUACUAUUUCAAAGUAUGAUAGUUAGGAUUUCACAACUUUUCCCUCAUUUCGCGGCUAAUGUUUCAUAACUUUUUUUGGAGCUAAGUUUCAAAGUGAAUUUUCGUGGUUGUAAACACAAUAAAGAACAUAAAAGUUUUACUAACCUACAACCACGAUAUCUACUUAUAAACCCAGUCACAAAGAAAACUAUGAAACCUUAGGGAGAUGAAAUUGUUUAUGCAAAAUAAUGAAAUGAGGGGAAAACGAGUAAUUAAAAUUUAGGGAUUUAGUCAAUGUGGAAGUGGAACCCUAUUGGCGUUCAAUGUGGCAUCCAUGUGACAUUUACAACUCUAAUAAGAAGGUCACUUUUAACCUAAUAGUUUGAGGGGAAGGGUAAUUUUGAGCCGAAAUAUAGUUUAAGUGUAUAUAUGAGCUAUUUUAGAUAGUUUAAGGGUAAUUUUGACCCUUUUUCUUUUUGCCUAUGUGGAAGUGGAACUCCAUUAGCGUGCCAUGUGACAUCCAUAUGGCGUCCACGUAAUUCCGUUAAUAAGAAGGGCACUUUUGACCCAAUAGUUUGACGGAAAGGGUAGUUUUGAGUCGAAAUAUAGUUUAAGGGUAUAUAUGAACUAUUUCAGAUAGUUUAAGGGUAUUUUAACCCUUUUCCAUAUAAAAUAACUAGGGGCAACUAUUGCGAGGGGUAGAAUUGUAAUUCUAUAAAAAUAUCUAAAAUAUAUCCUUUUCAGGUAAUUACAUUAUCCACCACUAAAGAUCAUGUUUUUUCACGAACAUAAGUAAGAGAAAAGAAAGGAUAACCGAUGUUAAUAAAAAGUUGAGUUAUGACCUGUUAGUCAGUGUACAUCUCUCUAAGCGAGUUCUUCAUCGAGACAAUUCCUUCAAGAUCAACUUUUAAUAACUGCACUUUUGAAUCAAGCUUUGACAGACCUACAAAUCAGGAACUAUUACCAAACCAUACACUAACACAUGAAUUAAUUAUGAUUAAAACCCCUGGACCAUAACAUAACCAUCAAGACAAAUCUUUCCUCACAUAACUAAGAUGACAUUUGGAAUUGAUACCGGCUAAGACCAGAAGUAAUCUUGAACCAACCACCAUAUACUCAUAAUGCAUAAACCAUCAAAGAUCUUAUCAAGUUUCUUUUUUCACAACUUAACUUUUCCACAAGCUUAAGCUAUAAAAAUAUGAUCUUUACAUAUUUGGUACUCAUCAAGGGAGAAUUAAACUUAUCUUACCAAGGAAGAACAAGAUCAAGUAACCACCCAACAAGAGGUACACCCAAGAUGUAAAACUUUCAACAACAUUGUUGAAUAACAUAAUUAUUCAUACAAGCUCUUCUAUAAGUUCUCAUAAGCAAGGUCGUGUAUAUUACUACUACUAGACAUAUACACGUGCGUUGCACGUGUAAGCCAUGCUAAGUUAUAACAUUCUUUCUCGAGAUACAUUCAUGACCUUUAUAUAUAUACUUGUAUAGAUAUUAUAUUGCUUUUACCAAUGAGUAGACAUCAACAUUAAUGUGACAAUUGAAUCUUGUAAGAUAAAAUACGGGCAACAUAUUAUGUAAUGAGUUUAAUAAAAUAUUAAAAUAGAGUUACCUCUUCGUCGACGAAUAUCAGUUGCCAACGAAUAUCCUCACUGUUAGCAUUUUUAUAAUCUUUUGUUAAGCUCCGUAGAAUGACUAUUACUUUAAUCACCCAUGAUGUUGCAUAUUUCUUCAACUAGCUAAUAGUUAGGCAUUGAUUCUCGAGCUCUCCCACAGUUAUCAUUGUAAGGUUGUAGUAGUUAGGAUGUACUAAUACAAUAUAUAUUUGUGUCGUAAAUGUUAAUUUUUUGUGUCUAAUUAGUGUUCUUUUGUCGAACAAUAAAGAUGCUGAAGAAUAUAAUAUUCACUAGACAUGCUAAUUCUUCUUUUUUUACUUUUAAAAGCAAGCAACUUCAACUAACAAUAGUAUAAAUAUCACGUUAAUUGAAGCAAAUAUAUUCAAGUUGGAGAAACGUUACCAAUUUUGAUGGUGUUAAAAGGAAGAAACCUAUUAAAAGUAUUACAACACGAAGAGAUAGUAAAUGUACUGAAAAAAUGAACUAGAUUCUCUAAAUCACUUCAGUUUUCUUUUCUUUCUAAUCAAGAUUUUUUUGUUCAUUCACAUUUUUGCGCUUUGUAUUUUUUUUUGGUAGAAACCAUAUGAGGAAAAAUAAAAAAAGAAUGAAGAAAGGUGUGUUUGAGUUUUAUAGUGCGUGUAAAUUCAUCAUUUUUGUGUUGAUUUUUAGUUGUCUUUGGUUUAUUUCCAGAUCUGUUAGCUAUAAAAAUCUCAUCUUGUCUCAUUUCAAGAUUACCCUUUUUGUUCAUUAGGUUGGAGAUAUGAGUAAAGAAGAGUUCUAGAAGAUCCAGGUACUUGUUAUUUCCUCAAUUGGGACAUUCCAUUAAUGUGUGUGUAUAAAAAAAAUUUGGGGGGUUGCUUGAGUUUCCAUUUUAUGAAGUAAUUAGUAUCCGUUUGAAUGAAAGAUCAAAACGUGUUAUGAGUUUAUUCACAUUUGUAUGUGUAUUGUUUCUCUUGUACAGUUUGACUGGCUUUGCUUGUGCAUGCAGACUCGUGUCCUUAAAUUCAAUAUACACUGUGAUGGGUGUAGACAUAAAGUAAAGAAAAUCCUGCAAAAGAUUGAAGAUAGUUUUCCAAGACUCAAUUUUUUAUCAUCUGAAUAUCCAAAUAUGAUUUAAUAUAUGGCUUUUUUGAUUCUUUGUUGGGGUUGUUGUAAAAUGAUUUUAAUAUCCAGGGGUUUAUAAGACAAGCAUGCAUGUCCUAAAUUGACUAAUAUGUUAUUCACAAAUGUCUCAGAUAUCAAAGCUCCUGAAAUACAGCUAUCAAGGAGACAAGUUUUUCUAGUGAAAUGUAUAUAGUCAAAACUCAUUAGAUAUUCAAAACAUAAGACAUUUACCAUCAAAACUAAAUAUUGGAGAAACAUUUCACAACUACCAUCAAUACUUUAAUUGAGGUGAUCCUAAUUUCAAGAAUCUAACGACGUAAAUAUAUUUUCAAUUAGCCUUAAAACAAAGUAAAAGCAAAGAGUCAAGGUGAGGAGAGUAGAUUAACCUUAAGAAAUGACCUCACGUAUUCUCCUCUCCAGCUAAGUAAAGCACCUGCAACGAGAAAAGAAAAUCGAAAAAGAACAUAAGACUUCACGUUCACUAAAACAACAAAACUACAACAGUACACAUAUAACGAUAAAACACAGAAGAACUCGUUGUAUGAUUGCCCAAGAUACUUUUUUUGAAUGGUGAAUAAAACUAAAUAAUAAAAUUGCAAAUCAAUGAUUGAUAUUGUAGCCUGCAAAAUACAUAUUAAUAUCUACUUCCGAGUAAGGAGCAAAACUGCCAAAUAAGAAGGAGGGCAUUCCUUAGAAGAUUUUGACCCAUAUAUUUGAGAUAUUUGAUAAAUAAGUUGGUGUAUUGAAUGCAAGAGCAAGGCCACACAUGAGAAUGAAUACAAAUAUUUCUACAUUACCAUAAGAAGAUGCAACAACAUGUUGAAAUAUCAAUAUAGCAAACUGCUGCUGUUACACUUGCUUCUACAUCUCUAAAAUCAUUCUGCAGAAUUAAAUAUUUAAUACAACUGUUAGACUGAUCGAGGGAGGUAGAGGAGAACCUUUACGUUUCUGCAGAAUUUAAUUACGUUCAAAUUUAUUUUUUUAAUAAAUUAAUAUUUAACUAAUAAAUUAAUAAGUAACUAAUACUAUAGGGUCAAAACGGUAAAUUAACUUUGGUAUUAAGUUCUUCCUACUUAUAAUAAUACUAGUUCUCGAACACGUGCAUUGCACGUGUAUAUCGUGCUAAUUAGUAUAAAUGCUUUUAAAAUAUAAGUGUCGAUGUGUAAAAUACAAACUCGAAUCAUUGAACAGUGAGCAUAUUCAACUAAUAUUAUGAUAAAAACACAUCAUACAAAAAUAUUGUUAUAAAGUGAAUUUGUAAACUAAUAAUAUAGCGACUUCAAUUAUACAAUUCUUAUAAUAUACCAAGUAUUCAACUUGUUAAAAACUCUUUUUUAAUAUAUUAGAGCACAUUAUUCAAAUUCGACAUUAAAGUUAAAAAAUAUUAAAUGCCAAAGUUUCCGCCCUUUUUUAAGGAAUAAUACCGUCCACUUUUUUUUUUACAGAUGCAUACAUAUCGAGAACUUGUCAUCGAAGGAGAGUGGUGUUUUAAUUGUUGUAGAUAAAUUCGAUCAACAUAUGUCUUCCUUAGGAUGACUAGUAGAUCACUAUCAAUUUCAUAGUCUACACCUACAAAAUAAAAGUAUUUAUAAAAAAUGAUCAUUGUUUAAGUAUUUAAUUGACAUUUAUAAAUAAUAAUUACAUGUAUAUGUACCCUUCAUCUUCUUUGUCUCAUUCUAAGUUAUAUAUACUGCCAUCUUGAAAUUUUGACAAAGAAAUUUUUGUCAAGUUAUAUACAUAUAAAUGAAUUAUAAAAUACAAUACAACCAUUUGUGAGAUAUUAAUGGUAGAAAAAAGAAAACAAUAUAAACCAAAAUUUAUAUGGUACAACAAAUAAAUGCAUAUAAAAGGGCAAUAUGCAAAUAACGUCUACGAACGAUAAAGUAACAAUGAAUCUAUUCGAUAAAAAUAUACCAAAAAUUUCCAUUAACUCGUGGAAUUAAAUAGAAAGAAAACUAUAAUAUCAUCAUCAUCAUUGGUAAUUGAUUUAAUUUAAUUUCAAAAUGUGAUAUAAAAUUCUCUGAAGAUAGAAAAAGAUUUAAAAACUACCACAGUAUAAUUUGAAUAAACUCAGAGACCACUAUAUAUAGUUAGAUUAAAAGUUGAGUGGUCAAGUUGAGAGUUGAAAAGGACAAAAAUAAAUAGCAAAUUAGAUAUAAUUUAUACUUAUAAUGGUAUAUGUACUUCUAGUAACGGUUGGCAAAAUGAUACAAAGAGAUCUCAUUGAAUUUGUGAAUAAAAACGAGGGGGGCAUGGGGGAGUUAUCAUAGAAGUCGUUUUAUUAUUUAUUCAAUGCUAAGCUCCCUUGCCAGCUAUAUUCUAUAUCUUUUUUUCUUUGAGUCAUUAAAGUUGUUUACUCUAUCUAGUUGAAUUGAAUCUCUUCCUCUCCUUAUUUAAGAUUUAUUUAUUGUAUAUAGUGAAAGAAGUAAUUCAUUUCCAAAAUCUCCUCAUCUUCCCUUAUUUAAGCCUCAUAAAUCAUACUUUAAUCAUUUUGAUUAGGAAAUCAUUUCGAAAUUAAGAUUUUAUUGAAUACAUAUGAAAGUUAAAAAAUCUACAAAAAGAAAGAACAGAAAAACAUAUAUAGAUGUUGAGUUUUGGAGGUGUGAAAUCACCAUUUUCAUUUCCCAACUAUAUAGUUAUAUAUAGAUUUUCUAAACUAAAUUUCGAGUAAAAUUAGAAUUGCAUGAUUAGUAAUUUUUUUCUAAAAACAAAUAAAUAGAAUGAAGUUGAAGCAAAGAGCCGUUAAUUAGAUUUUAAUGAAAUCAUAAUAAUAAGAAUAGUUUUUGGGUAUAAAUGUUAAUGGUGUGCCAAAACUUAUAUUAAUUAAUUUUUUAGUUUAUAAAAGAGUAAAAAUACACUUACCACUUUUAUUAUUAUUAUUAUUAUUAUUUAAUGUUUAAUUCAAUAGAUAUAAUAAUAACAAUAUGAUAUGCUUUACUUAAUAUUUAACUAAUUAGAUGUUAUAUAUAUAUAUAUAGGAAUUAAUGUAAGAAAAUUCAGAAGUCAUUACUAUUUUCAUUAAAUUUAUUAAAAUAUUUUAAUUUUGGAAGGGUAAAAUCGUAAUUUAACUUUUGACUUGAGCUCUUCCCACUUAUAGAAUAACUAGUCUUGAAAACGUGUGUUGCACGUUUGAUCCCUACUAUUAUGUAAAUUUUAUAUAAGCCUAACUUCACAGAUAUAAAAAUUGAUUGUGUUUUGUCACGACCCAAAAAUGGACGUGCUGGCACUCGUCUUAUCCCACCAAGACAAGUCAGCCUAAAACUUACAAUAAAAUGCGGAAAAUUUAUAAGUUACUUAAAAGUACCCCAAAACCUGGUUGUCACGUGUACAGGCCUCUAAAGUAUUACAAUUGAUUCAAAAGAAAAACUCAAGUCUCUAAUGAACUUGUUUCUAGAAUAGAACAAGAUCAUAAUUAAGGAGAAGAAAGUCUGCUGUGAUGGAAACGGCUACCUGACAAAUCUCCAAGAAGCCUCGAAAAAGAAGAGAAUGACAAGUACAACAAAAAUCCAGGCUCAUAACCUACAAAAAAUUUGGAGUAGCAAGGGGUGAGUACCAAACCACACGGUACUCAGCAAGUAAACCUCUAAACACAAGUUAAGGGGAUAAAAUACGGGUACUCCUACCACCCCCAAACGAACCUCCGCAACUACUUCCUGCAGUAAAAUCAACCCAACCUAACAGCUCACAGUUUACAUAGCACGUAGCUCAACAACAACACUUAGACAAAUUACAUAUCCUCAACAACAACACUUUAACAGACUACACAUCCUCAACAACAAUAAUUCAACAAAUUAUAUAUACGCAAUAACAAGCUCAAUAUUGAUCAAUCAUAAGUUCCGCAGAAAGGCAAUCAGAAGAUCAGCAAAACACGAUAUCAAGUUCACUAAUGAUAAGUAUGUGCAAUGCAAUGGAAUGCAAUGUCAAGGAUAAUGAUGCAUGUCUGACCUAGUGAUACACACCCGCUGUCUCUCAGUCCGGGACCCAUGGGGGACAUAUCUAUCCAUGCAUCUGUCGCGGCGCACGGCACGACCCUCGAUAAUAGUAACCAUCGCGGCGCGCGAUACGUCCCUCGAAAUAUAGUAUCCAUCGCGGCGCGCGAUACGUCCCUCGAAAUGAUAUAUCCUCUUAAGUACUCAUUCUUUCUCAAUGCACAUAACACUUGUCACAAUCAAUGCCUCAAAAUCAUGUAGAUGACAAGUUCACAGAAAUAAUGAGGAGAUUAACAUUUUCAUAACAUCACACAGUUAACAACCACACAAACAUGAAGUCACAUCAAUAAUGAUUCAACAAGCCUUCAACCCUUUCUCAACACAUCACGCAUAAACAAUUAGUCACAUUGCCUUUUGUUAUCCCUUUUUUUUUUCAUCAUAUCAAUGUGGACAAGUCAACCCAUCACCAAUCCCGUUACUCCCAAACAUAUACCACAAGGACAUACACGCAUUUCAUACACUUAACAAGAGUUUAGAAAUCCACUUGCCUCAAAUAGUAGAACAAUCACUUCGGGACUUGAGCCUUUCCCAUUUGUUGAGCUUCCAACUCAAAGCAAUCUAUUCACAUACAUAACUACACUAAGCUUUCAAAACUAACAACACCCAUAUUGCUAUAUGUAGCCUAGAGCCAAAACUCAUCCGAAUUUAUAAUAAGUUUCUAAAUCUAGAUACCAAUAAACAUAUUAACUCUCAUCUUUUUCAAAAUUUCAAGCCUAGGAUUUAGUCUCAAAUUUUCCUCUACUAAUGUCAAUAUAACAGAGUCAAAAAAUGAUUUCAACAAAAUUGAUUGUUGAUGAUUAUCAAUCCAACUUCACAUUUUUCAAGAUAUGAGUCAAUCAUAUAUAUGACUAGUACUUUUAUUUAACUUUUUUUUUUAUUCCAAAAGUAAAAUAAAACUACAUACUAAUUAAGCAAUCUGUUAUUAAAAUUAAUUAUUUUCCUCACUAAUCACCCAAUUCUUAUAACUCUAUAAUUAGACUAUUAAUGGCCAACCAUGCAUCAUAAUUCUCCACUAACAAUUUUUUUAUGUAAAAAUAAAUAACAUUAAUUAUUAAUUUGUCCAAUCUUCAGAUCAUUAAUUUCAUACCAAGCAAAUUUUUCUCCUCCUCCCACUUUGUUGCUUUUAAAAAUUAAUUGUUCUAGUUAUAUAGUAAUACUCCUAUAAUGAUUAAUUUAUUUAAGUCUACAGAAGAGUUGAAAUUGGGUAAAAAGUUUGCUUACCUGAAGAUCUCCAUGCUGAUCCCUUGGACGCCGCCGCCACACAAGGUUUGAUUCUUCCCUUUCUUUAUUUUUUUUUAUUAAUUAUGUAGUAAAUAUGAUAAUGUUUACUUACUUAUUUUUAUUAUAUAUGGGCCAAAAGGUAGAGAAUCUUAAAUAAAUUAUCACUUUAACCCAUUAACUAUCUAUUUAGUCAAUUAUCCAUAAUUACCCAUCAAUUAAUUAACUAAAGUUAAACGAAUAGUUCAAAAUUCUCAAAAUUAACCUAUCGGGUCAUUACAAUAUCCACCACUAAAAAUCAUGUUCGUCCUCGAACAUAAGGAAGAAGAGAGAAAUAUAACCAAUGUUACCAACAAUUUAAGGUAUGAUCUUCUCGAGUCGAUGUUCAUAUCUCCAAGUAAGUCCUCCUUAAAAUCAUUCCAUCAGGAUCAACUACUACGAACUGAACUUUCAAAACAAACUUAAGUGGAUUUAUAAAUAAAGAGUGAUUAUCAAGCCACAACUAACUGAUGAACUUAAUCUAAACUCAAACCCGCUGGACCUUAAUACAAUCAUCAUGAAGAAUCGUUUCUCACAUAACCACGAUAGACUUCCGAAUCAAUACGUACUACGAGAAGAAGUGAAACUCAACCAACCACCAUACCCUCGUACUGCACAAACCAUCACAAAUCUUAUCAAGGUUUUCUUUUCACAACACAACUUUUUCAUGAGCUUAAGUUAUAAGAAUCUGACUUUUAGAUAUUGUUACUCAUCAAGGGAGAAUCAAACUUAUCUAACCCAAAGAAAAAAUAAGAUCAAGUAACCACCCAACAUGCGAUACACUUCAAAAUGUAGAAUCUCUACCAAUACGCUUUAACAAUUGUAACUCUUCGUAGUAGCUUUUAUAUAAGUUCUCAUAAGUAAGGACGUAUAUGUCGAAUUACAAGUAUACUUCAACUGUUCCAAGACAACGUUAAAUAUGUCAUAUCUAAAAUGACCUGUCUUUCCAAGCAUCCUAUCCUACCAAGAGGACAUCGCAGGAUCGGUACACCUGAUCCACCACUAGGGAUACACCCAUAGAUAUGAAAACACCUGUAGGUAUAGGUAGCAAAUCACACUCCAAACCAUACCCAAAAUGAAGUAGAUGACCAUAUAAGAAUAUACAAAAUCAAAGUCGAUAUAACACUUGAUACUUAUUUCAUAGUGACCACAUCAAACAUUCUUAUUCAUCUUACUCUAUUUAUAUAAUUUUUUAUCCACCCACAAUCAACUAGUCUGAUCUCCAUUACAAUCUCACAAAACCUCAAUUUAUCAAACCCCACAUACUUCUCAUGGUACACCACUAAAGUCAAAACUCCCAAUACUAACAAACAUCAUAACUACACCAAUCAUUUACCUUACUCUCAAAAAGUCUCUAGUUACAAAGUCUUCUUAGCAAGCACAUUGUAGUCUCCAAGACUUUAAACUAUGGUUUCUUAUCUUUCCAUUUAAGCGCCCCAUGAUAGAUAUAAGUCACACCCAAGACCGAUAACACUAAUUUCAAAUCUAUAUUUCUCCUUUAGGGUAAAAUAAUUAAGUCACACUUAAUGUCAACUUCACGUAAACUUUCACACACCAUUUUCAACCACAAUCUGUACCAUCAUUAACCUCAUGCCAAUACUUAGAGAAAUAUUAGGUCUCCCCAAUUAUUCUAUAUACUAUGGGCACAUAAUCUCUAUUUACCAUCACGUAUCUAUGUAACACAUCACAACAAGUGAUUCCAAAAAAAAAUAAAAAUCAAUGACUAUGUAUAAUUGUAUGUCCAUACUAUUACGUAUCCAUAAGUCACUUAACAAAAUCUGAACCGUUUAGCUCCACUUAACAACACAUACUUCUACACAUCUCACGGGUUUUACCCAAAUCGACACUCAAUCUUCAUAAAAAUUGCUGAUAAAUUUCUAGUAAGUCUAUACCGAAUUGAUUUACAAUCAUAGUCAUAUUAGAACUAUAUAUGUCCAUUCAUGGAUCCUUUAACUCAGAACCAAGAGUAUUCUUAUUCCUUCACACCUUCAUAAUUCUUUCGAUGACACAAAUUUUAAAUACCUGGAACUCUUCAAUACACCAAACUCUUUUUCUCUUCGCUGACUUGCUUACCAAUCUUAUCCUUUGACCAACAACCUAUGGUAUUUUUAUCUUAUCCUUGAAAUAAAAAUAUUACAUGAAAUCCCAUUUAGGUAUAACAAUCAAAAGUAACCAAAUUUACUACUCAAAUUAUUUUUAAGUCCUUCAAAUGCUUCAUACUCAAUGUGAUCAAUCAUUUCUUACCCCUUACCAAUUCAUACCUUGACAAAACACACUACCACAAAUCUAAACUCAUAAUGAAAAACUUGAAUUUUGAAUUCAAUUAUGUAACUCAAUCCUUUUAUCUAUUGAAAUUAGCUCAUACAUAAAAAAAUAUUUACAUAUUUGGACAUCUUAGCUUAUUAUUGAUCGCCUAUCCAUCGACCUUGUCAUACCCUUUCUUAAAAAUCCAAUGGUACCCGUUACCAAAUUCAAAACUAUAAAAGAACUUAUCACCACACUCGAGUCGAACUGUUUCAUCAACAUGAAUCCUUAAACCCAGUUAUACCAAUCCAAUCCAAAGAACUAACCCACUUUUAUCCGCACUUCCUUACUAAAACUCUUAAUUGUCUUCACAUAAGUAUACUCUUUAGGACUUCCUUUACCCAUAUAUUUGUCAUUCAAUAUUGAUCCAAUUUCUUGGACAUUACGAUGAAAUCACCACUCAUUUAAAAUUCAUAAAAUACAUUUCACGAUCUCAACAUAUCAAUAUUAUACCAAAGAUUCACUACUAAAAGCUUUCUUAUAAAUAAUGUUUAACACAUCCACCCAUACCAACAAGCUAGUUGGGUUCUCAAAUAUGAGUUCAACACCAAAUCUUAUCAUAUGAGCAUGUUUACCAUAGAUAACUCCUUAAGUAGUUAAUAUUUGCAAUUAACAAUCAACAUGUCCGUUUUCAUGUACCACUAGUAAUACAUCGUGAAAAUUCAUUACAUCCACCACUAGAACAUAUCAUAUCUAUUGAGAAGAUCAUUUCCAAAUAGGUCACAUACUUUAUCCAUCAAAUAACUAUAAAAUAUUAUCAGAUUAGUUUUGUAUCUAACCCAAGCUAUAUGUAUUCUUUCGUAACCAAGGUCAAUAUCAAAAGUAACACACUUCAUAAUUCUAACCAAGUACCCAUCAGUACCAUUGUAAUAGUCGUAUCAUGACUUUCUUUGGUAUACACUCAAUCUUGAAACCACAGAAGGGAUUCUGACCUGAAUUGGUGCAACAUCAUUUGCUAAGCAACCCAUUAAUGGUAUGACAACUAUAUCAAUUGUAUUACACUAUUUAUUAUCUAGUCAAUUCUUUAAACAUUUAACUUCUAUUUGUUGAACCACUCCAUAUUUUGCUUACACCAGAUAAGUACUAUACUUAUUAUUAUUAUUUUACAAUGAUAACUAACCUUACUCAACUCUUUCCAAUAUGAUCACACAUUCGUUUCAUAAGUAUAUCAUUUUCACCUUAAUACAAAAUCUAACAUCAAAUCAAUACGCGACAUGCCAAUGAUUCACAAAAAGAACUAGGCACGAGUCAUCACAUAAAUGAGAGCGAAUGGAGUGAAGCGAUAAGAAUCAAAAUGGGACCAAGUACACACAAUAGAGAUCCAAGAAGUGAAGAUAUUUCCUAAAAGUCACUACAGCCUCUCGAAGAUAGGUACAGACGUCUCCGUACCGAUCAUCAAGACUCUAUUUAGACUCGACUUGUACACACGUGACACCUAUGAACCUGGGGCUCUGAUACCAUUUUGUCACGACCCAAAAAUGGACGUGAUGGCACUCGUCUUAUCCCACCAAGACAAGUCAGCCUAAAACUUACAAUAAAAUGCGGAAAAUUUAUAAGUUACUUAAAAGUACCCCAAAACCUGGUUGUCACGUGUACAAGCCUCUAAAGUAUUACAAUUGAUUCAAAAGAAAAACUCAAGUCUCUAAUGAACUUGUUUCUAGAAUAGAACAAGAUCAUAAUUAAGGAGAAGAAAGUCUGCUGUGAUGGAAACGGCUACCUGACAAAUCUCCAAGAAGCCUCGAAAAAGAAGAGAAUGACAAGUACAACAAAAAUCCAGGCUCAUAACCUACAAAAAAUUUGGAGUAGCAAGGGGUGAGUACCAAACCACACGGUACUCAGCAAGUAAACCUCUAAACACAAGUUAAGGGGAUAAAAUACGGGUACUCCUACCACCCCCAAACGAACCUCCGCAACUACUUCCUGCAGUAAAAUCAACCCAACCUAACAGCUCACAGUUUACAUAGCACGUAGCUCAACAACAACACUUAGACAAAUUACACAUCCUCAACAACAACACUUUAACAGACUACACAUCCUCAACAACAAUAAUUCAACAAAUUAUAUAUACGCAAUAACAAGCUCAAUAUUGAUCAAUCAUAAGUUCCGCAGAAAGGCAAUCAGAAGAUCAGCAAAACACGAUAUCAAGUUCACUAAUGAUAAGUAUGUGCAAUGCAAUGGAAUGCAAUGUCAAGGAUAAUGAUGCAUGUCUGACCUAGUGAUACACACCCGCUGUCUCUUAGUCCGGGACCCAUGGGGGACAUAUCUGUCCAUGCAUCUGUCGCGGCGCACGACACGACCCUCGAUAAUAGUAACCAUCGCGGCGCGCGAUACGUCCCUCGAAAUAUAGUAUCCAUCGCGGCGCGCGAUACGUCCCUCGAAAUGAUAUAUCCUCUUAAGUACUCAUUCUUUCUCAAUGCACAUAACACUUGUCACAACCAAUGCCUCAAAAUCAUGUAGAUGACAAGUUCACAGAAAUAAUGAGGAGAUUAACAUUUUCAUAACAUCACACAGUUAACAACCACACAAACAUGAAGUCACAUCAAUAAUGAUUCAACAAGCCUUCAACCCUUUCUCAACACAUCACGCAUAAACAAUUAGUCACAUUGCCUUUUGUUAUCCCUUUUUUUUUUCAUCAUAUCAAUGUGGACAAGUCAACCCAUCACCAAUCCCGUUACUCCCAAACAUAUACCACAAGGACAUACACGCAUUUCAUACACUUAACAAGAGUUUAGAAAUCCACUUGCCUCAAAUAGUAGAACAAUCACUUCGGGACUUGAGCCUUUCCCAUUUGUUGAGCUUCCAACUCAAAGCAAUCUAUUCACAUACAUAACUACACUAAGCUUUCAAAACUAACAACACCCAUAUUGCUAUAUGUAGCCUAGAGCCAAAACUCAUCCGAAUUUAUAAUAAGUUUCUAAAUCUAGAUACCAAUAAACAUAUUAACUCUCAUCUUUUUCAAAAUUUCAAGCCUAGGAUUUAGUCUCAAAUUUUCCUCUACUAAUAUCAAUAUAACAGAGUCAAAAAAUGAUUUCAACAAAAUUGAUUGUUGAUGAUUAUCAAUCCAACUUCACAUUUUUCAAGAUAUGAGUCAAUCAUAUAUAUGACUAGUACUUUUAUUUAACUUUUUUUUUUAUUCCAAAAAUAAAUAAAACUACAUACUAAUUAAGCAAUCUGUUAUUAAAAUUAAUUAUUUUCCUCACUAAUCACCCAAUUCUUAUAACUCUAUAAUUAGACUAUUAAUGGCCAACCAUGCAUCAUAAUUCUCCACUAACAAUUUUUUUAUGUAAAAAUAAAUAACAUUAAUUAUUAAUUUGUCCAAUCUUCAGAUCAUUAAUUUCAUACCAAGCAAAUUUUUCUCCUCCUCCCACUUUGUUGCUUUUAAAAAUUAAUUGUUAUAGUUAUAUAGUAAUACUCCUAUAAUGAUUAAUUUAUUUAAGUCUACAGAAGAGUUGAAAUUGGGUAAAAAGUUUGCUUACCUGAAGAUCUCCAUGCUGAUCCCUUGGACGCCGCCGCCACACAAGGUUUGAUUCUUCCCUUUCUUUAUUUUUUUUUAUUAAUUAUGUAGUAAAUAUGAUAAUGUUUACUUACUUAUUUUUAUUAUAUAUGGGCCAAAAGGUAGAGAAUCUUAAAUAAAUUAUCACUUUAACCCAUUAACUAUCUAUUUAGUCAAUUAUCCAUAAUUACCCAUCAAUUAAUUAACUAAAGUUAAACGAAUAGUUCAAAAUUCUCAAAAUUAACCUAUCGGGUCAUUACAUGUUUACUAAUUAAGUUGUUAACAUUCCAACUCGAUCGUUAAAAGAUUGAUUUCAGUCUCCUUGAAGAUUCCAAUAUGCCUUCUCUCAUUGCAAGCUCCAUUAGAAGUAGUAAGAAUUUGUAUACAAUAUAUUUUGUUUCUGUAAGCAACAAAAGAAUAUAUGAGUAAUAAAGUUCUUAGUGUUAUAAAAUGAAGCUAAAACUAAUAAUAUUGAAAGAUAAAACCAACAGAAAUAUAGUGACAGUUAGAGAUAUUUUUUUGUUUCUUUCAAGUGGGCAAAAGUCUCUUUAUAAUGUGCACAAUGACACCAUUUGUAGGAUAUGAUUAAGUAAAAUCAAAGAGUGUCUUAAACAUGACAUUAAUUUCUUGAGAAUGUGGAAAAGAUUAUACAGGUGUGGGAGAUUAGUGAGGAGAAGGUGAAGGUGUAUAGCAUUAAUACACAUAAUGAAUAAAAAUUAGACCUAGAAAUUAUUGACUUGCACUUUUAAACAAUACAUUUACAAUAACUCUGUAGUAUUUUAUUUUGUAAUAUUUUGCAUAUUAUGGAGAAAUGAAAACUUUUUUAAGAGCUUUUACUAAUAUUAUAAUUAAUUAUUUUUACAACAUUUUAUUUUUCGUAUUUUAUUAUAUCAAAAUAAGUGAACUAUAAAUAACUAUCAGAUUUCUGUAAAUGAAGAAAAUGUAAUGGGAUGAUAAAGUAUAAGAUAUAUAUUUAGUGAAAGCUUUAUUAAGAAGGCAAACAUGCAAAUAUUAAUAUGAAAAUUCAAUUCUAUACUGAGUUUUGAAGUGCAUAUCAAUGACAAAUAGUUUAAGUGAUUUACCAAUAUCAUAUCCUGAUUACAUGUUACUAUUUAUUCUUAAAUAUUUUUUCCUUUAAAUAUUUUAUAGGAGUCAUUGCUUAGUAUUUAAUAAGACUACAUUAAUUAAUGAAACACUCUCAAAAUCUGAAUUAUUCUCCUAGUUCAUUUAUUAGUCAUUAUUAUAAUUAAAGUAAAGAUGUAUCAACCUGAAAAACGUACUAAUCUACAAAUAAAACUGUUGAGGUAUUGCUAGAAAUUAAAAUUAAAAAAUGAUCUAUGAUUUUAAUUCAUAUGAAAAUUUGUAGUGGUAAUUUCAAUUUUAUAUAUAACCAUAUAUUUUAUAACGUUCGAUUUGAUAUAGAGACAAAAUAGUAAUCCAAUGAAGAAUUAAAGUAAGCAUUAUGAGGAGCAUUAAAAUAAAAAUUCAACUAAUUAUCAAAUUAAAAACUUAAGGAGCAGAAAAUUAAAUAACAUGCGGAGAAAAAACCACAAUUAACUUAUUGUUUAAUUAAUAUUAACGGGAAGAAAAAAGAAUUACAACAAAUAUUUAUUAUUUAAUUAAUAUAAUAUUUAACUAUAGUAUAUGGGCAAACGACAAAAUAAUAAUCCAACUUUGAGAUUUUGAUCAUCCCAUUUUUUAUUAUUGGAAUUGUUUUAGAUUGAAGGGCAAAAUGAUUGUUCAUUCAACUUCUGAGCUUUGGCUAUUUAAAACUUAAUUAAUUAGAUAUUUUAUAAUAUAUUAAUUUAGUAUAUGAAUAAUAUAUAUAUAUAUAUAUAUAUAUAUAUAUAUAUAUAUAUAUAUAUAAAUCAAGAUAAAAAUAUUCAAUUGUAUAUCAAUCACAUUUUAAUCAUUUCUUAUAAAUAAUAAAUAAGUAUAAGGAUUAGAGUGUUGUAAAAAAUUAAAAAUAUAUUUUUUAUUAGAAAAAUUAUUGAAUCACACCUUGUUUUGAUGGGUUCGAUGAUAUUUAAUCAUUCUUUAUCCAUCAUUUAACAUAUUAAUUAAUGAAAAUAUAUGAAUUCAAUGCAUUCUCUAUUUCAUAUACAAUAUUUUACUACGUACUUUUUAUCCUUUUUUUGCAUUCUUACUUCAAGCUCUUUACAUCGAUAUAUUAAUCAACACAAUUUAGCUAGAAUAAUUUAUAUGGUAAAAAGUUGUGAAAAUAAAGAGAAACUGAUAACUAACUUACCCCCCCCCCCCAAUCAUUCUUGCAAGCCGUGAAGAGCUUCAAAGUCCAACCACAUAGAUAGAAAUUAAUCGUAAAUCUGUGGAAGGAAGAAAAUCAAAUAGAUUGUUAGAGUGUGUCUAUAAGAAAAAGAAGAAAAAACACAUAAAGUCAAACAAAAAUCAACAAUGAAUAGUGAUAUUGACAAUUAAAAAGUACAACAAACAUAUUAUCAGAGUAACGAUUAAUUGCAACAAAUAAAUUCUUACAAAUGAAUAGUCUAUACAAAAGAGAUACAACUACAGACACGUUAAAUAACUAAAUAGAUUGCCUACGAAAGGGAAGGGGUGAAAGAGUUGGAGAAACUUAUAAAGAGAAAAAACUCUUGAAAAUUUGAUUAUUUUUUCUCUUAAGUUUUGAACUUUUAUAAUAUGAUGCAACUUUAGAGAAGCUCUGAGAAGACAAAUACAAUUGAAGUUAAUAUGAAAAUAUAUAAUAUUUGUAACUGAUAAGAAAUUAAAUAUAUUAUUAAUUAAGAUAUAAUGAAAUUUAUUACUCACCGUCCGGAAUUGUUUGUCAUGCUGCGCUUAUCGAAAGUCAAUUUGACUAAUUUUCAAAGGUAAAUUGGAACACAUUAAUUCGAUAUUUAAAAAAAAUAGAUAUUCUAAAACUAUAUGAAAAGUACUAUAAAUUACAAUUUUUUGCAUAUUAAACUGAUGAAAAAAUACAUCUUAAAAUAUUGAUCAAAGUUUUUAUAAUUUGACUCUAAAUAUAGAAACCAUGACAAACAAUACCGGACGGAGGGAGUAAAUAAGAUAGAAUAUGCUUAGUUUUUUAAAUAAUUGAUAAAGAAAAAUCUGAAAAAAGAAGAUGCGGAAAUGAAUUAAAGGUAUUGAAAUUUGAAAAGUAUAACUUUUGAAGUUAUAAAGACUUCACAUAAAUGACAUAUAAAAAUUGAAGCAAUAUUAUUAAUUCCAAGAAGUUUAAUUAAUAUAUUUUUUAUAUGACAAAUUUCAUCCUUAAAGGGUAUAAAAUUAGGGUCAUUUUAACUGUUACAAAACUUUUAAUUUCCUUUAGUCAUUUAAUUACAAAUGUUAAUUAUAUCUAGAUUAAUUCAUGUCAUAGAUGGUAAGUUCUUCAUUUUUAGAAUAUUAAUUUUUUAUUAUAAUCAAUGUGUAUUUAUAUUUUUGUUCACAAAUAUACAAUAAUAAUAGUGUUUAAUAGAAAAUACAAUAGUUUUUAUUUAUAAAUAAUGUACAUUUACAUUUUUGUCCAUAAAUAUUAUGAUAUUAUAAGGACAUUUUUCUAAUUCAACUUUUGACAUAGAGGCUUCCCACUUAUAAUAUAAUAUGAUCUGAAAUAUGAUUAAAAAAACAACACCAAAUCUGUCAUAAUACAAAUGAUAAAGUGUCACGACCCAAAUUUUGCAAGUCGUGAUGGCACCUAUGUUCCCAACCAAUAGCUAAGCCAACCAUACAUAUUAACCCAACUAAACCAACAAAUGAGUAAAAAAGACCAACGCUUAGCAAGAAUCUCCAACAUUGAGUUCCUUAUAAGUACGAAAUGCGGAAGAAAAAUAUAUCACCCCAAGAAUUGGUGUCUUAAGUACAAGAGCUUCUAAAAUUCGAAGCAAGUCUGAAACUAAAUGACAAAUCUAACAUAAGGGAUAUCCUGUUUGAAUACUAAUAACAGAAUAAAUAAAAGAUAGAGGGAGGUGUGGGCCACGGAACAGCCAAGCAGCUCACCACAACUCCAAGAACUUCAAGCCGGACUCAAUUUGCUCCACGAAAUGUGCUCCUACUCGGAAUCGAAUCUGCACCACAAAGAGUGCAACAAGCGUAGUAUGAGUACGAAACCACGUGUACCCAGUAUGUCUCAUUGACCAACAACGAAGAAGUAGUGACGGGAGUUAUAUAAGAAAAUAAAUUCUUAGAUUGUACAAGUAUAUAUAUAUAUUACACUUACUAUUUAAGUUUCAUCAAUAAAAGAAAUCAACUUUUAAUAUUUUCCAAACACCAAACAAAACAUAUAGUCAUCAAGAAUGAAUGAUGGGAUGAAAUACAAUGCAAUAUGAUGCCAUGUAAUGAUAUGUCUUAGAAUACCCAGUACUCACUCAACCGUAUAUACAUGAUACUCCUCGAAAAUACAUCGAGAGUUCAUGACCCAUGGGGGACUCGUGAGGUCCAUAUACCGACACGGACGAUCUCCACGUGUCUGUGCGGACGAUCUCAACGCACUAUCAUAAUAUCAA